GAGGCUUGGCUUGGAGGUUUUCGUGCGGGAGAAGCCACACGCGUCAACGGGAGGGGUAUACGGUUAGGCACGCGUGAGGGAGGGUUUGUUUCUGGAAAGACAACUGGCACUUAUGAGAAGGUGACGUCAUAGCUCUCGACAUUGGGGUCGUGGGAUGCGGAGGUGGAAUUCCACCUGCGGUUGGUGGAGACGGUUGGGGCCCAAGCUAGCUGGUAUCUCAUCUUCUGGACGCCCGGGGAAACCUGGAAUUAAUAAAUCCCUUAAAAAUCGUGCUUUAUUUUUAUGUGAAGCACAAUGGAUGAUGAAAGCAAUAAUACGAUGAUGACGUGUCAAGGUGGUGGCGUGCUUCACGACAGGAGGGAAUAAAUGAUGUUAUGCCCGUCCCAAUCCCAAUUAAUUUCGGAAAUUACUGGGACAAACACACGAUGAGUUUGGUUUGAAAUUGUCAUUCAUAAAUGUGAGUGCAUAUGAUAAACGAGUGAAGGUGCAAUGUAUAAUAUGGGUGGACGAGAGGGUAACGUGUUGUUAAGAGUAAGUCAAAGUUAUGUUCGUUACAGCAUUGAGGAACGGGGAUUUCUUAGGCCGGUUGUUUAAGAUUAUAAGAGUCAAAUUCUACGCCGAACGUAGAUUAACUUUCUCUGGCUUUCUAACGUGGAGCUCUACCGAUCGCCCUAUCGGUGUUCGGUAUCGCUAUUUGCCAAAGGUUGAUGUCGUCUCCAAAGCACAGGGGGGAAUCUGGACUCGGAAGACUUCCACGAAAGAGGUUACGAUGACGCACCUGAAUAAAGUUGAUGCUUGGUGGUGAAGUGAGUCGUGGUCCAAAUCCGAUGGAAGUGCUGGGUUCGGGACUGGAAUCGCGACCGAACACGCAUGUGGACGUACCCAUGAAGUGGAAACCAGAACGAUGGAGAGAGUGAUAUGAUGCCGACGUAUCACAUGGAGUGUCGUGCAGCGGGCGAACCGCAGCGUCGAGCGUGGGGUACUAUUCCCACUUCCGGAGACACUCGGUGGCAAUUGUCCUUGGGAAUGAAUCUUAUCCGGAUGAAGAAUGCGUAAUGAUUUGAGCUAAUUUGAUUUGAGCAUUGUUAUAUUCAAUUAGAUAGUAACGAAUGGUGUCUGAUUUCACUUAGUAUUGGAGAUGUGGAAGAAUCGAAGUUGUGGAAAGCUACCCGUUGAUGGCAUAUUAAGAUGUAUAUCUACCAUUAAUUGAUCAUUUUAUGUUAUAUUGAUUUAACUUUAUAUAGAUUCGAUGAAUAUGUAAUCGUUAAUUUAUAUUGAUACGCGAGCAUAGUAAAUAGAUACUAUGAUAGUACAUCAUGUCCAUUUGAUCAUCGAUAUGUCAAUCGAAUCAUAGUCUCUCAAAGUCGACACUAUGAUGCUGAUAGGAUUUUGAUAAUCCUAAGCUCAAAACAAGUCAUGACCUUAUGAUUUUAGUUGGAUGAUUCAUCGUAUGAUCUCAUAAUUCAUUGAUAGUCGAACAAUUUAUAUAAUUAUUCUUAAUAUUUAUCUUAAUCUUGACUUAAUACUCACUCUAACAUGCUAUACAAGGAGUCCCUAAGGACUUUUUUUUAACUUUCUUGUAUUUUAUUUUUGAAUCUCCUACUAAUUUAAAUAUUAGAGCGAUUUUUGUUGAAUGUAUCCCCGAUAUAAUUCAUGAGGAUUGUUAUUUGAAUAUCAGGUCCCUAAAUACCUAAGAUGAUCUCGAAAAUGAAACCCAUUUGGCUUUGAACUCUUUCUCCAUAUAUUAUAUUAUAGACAACUGGAAUUUAACAUAACUGAGGCUAACUUAUAAAGAUUUGAUUAGUAUAUACUCAUUAAUUUAUAUGAUUCUAGAUUUAUUAAUUAGUGAGUCAAUUCCUCUAUUAAAUCGAAUCACGACAACAUUGAAGUUUAUAUUAAGCACCUUAAUUUAACGGUGGUCGACUUUUUUACUAUGGCGAUGAUAAGUUCUACAAAGAUAGAAGACGUUUUUAUCGGAGCUCAAAAGAUGGGAAAGGUAAAAAUCCAUCCAAAAGCUCAAGAGAUAGGAUAGAAAAAGAAGUGGGUGAAGGGAAUGAUAACGACAAGAUGAAUCGAUUGGAAUUUGGUAUGCGUAUUCUAGUCAUUUCAUAGAGUCGGAUUUGACAUGGAUUGGUGUCAUGCUAUUCAUGUGUAUCCUAUGCAUGUCACUUGAAGUGUCUCUCGCAAGAAAGAGGUUGAUCGGAGAGUAUGGAAGCGGAACAUGUUAUGAGCCACCGAAGUCUUCGCCCACACCCCCGAAGAGUUGUCGUCAUGUUGCCAGCAUUAGGCAUUCCGUCUUCUGGAAGGUCUCCGUUUCCCUUUACCCAAUUGGGAGCGUUGUUGGGUUGGAUUCUGUCGGAUACCAACACCACCUAACAUAAUGGAUCUGAUUUAAUGGAUCCGGUAAGGGCCUUUCAUAGUAAGUAAGACACGAGGCAAUUGCAUCUGAGGAUGUGGUUAAAGAUUGAAAACGGUUACAAACUUUAUUCGAUCAUAAACAUGAUCAUGAUCGUGCAACGUCGAACUUAGAAGACAUGAGGUAAUGAUUGCCUAAGUCAGCCUUUUUUUUUUGUGACGUGAUCGAUUUUGAAGGGUUGAGUCAGCCUCCCAAUUUGUGCAAUGCAAUGACCACACUAAUCGAACGAGGCUGAGGUGUCAACCCAAUAUUCAUAAUCCUCUUAUCACCAAUCAAACUAAUAUUCAUAAUUAAAUUAGACUCGAGUCAUCAUUAUUAUGUGAGAGGAUAAAAGAAUUUGGGAAGAAGAACUAAAACAAUAAGAAUGAUCUCUAUGUGGUUAAAACUAAAUGUUUAAUAUAAUUUUAUAAAUUAUUAGUCUAACCCAUUUUGACAACUAUAAAAAUAAUAUAAUAAUAUAAAUUAUAGUUUAAAAUAUCUUAUAAAUAAUAAAUUAUUUAUUACAAUUCAUAUUCCAGUCAUUUUGGUAAUAACUACUCAGGUAAAACUUAGAGAUAUAAGUUAUAAAUAAUAUUCACUAAUUUUUUAUCAAUCUAAUUUAUAUAUAAAUAAUUUAAUAAAUAAAAUAAUAAUUAUUAAACAUUAAUCAACAUAAAAAAAAAUUAUGAUGGCUAUAAUCAUGAUAAAACAUAAAUCAUACCUUUAUAUAAAAAAAUAAAAUAUUAUUUAAUAAUUUUAAAUAUAUACAUAUGAAGAACUACACAAAUAUCGAAAAAAUUUAAAAUUUAAAUAUCAUAAGUAAAUUUUUUACCAAUAUAUCAUAUGAUAAAACUAUGAAAGAAAAAUAUAAUUUAUGAUUUUUUAUUUAAUAAAUAACCUAAAUGAGAGAAUUAGUCUUAUUUAAGUAAACAUUUCAUAAUUGAGUCAAAAUUAAGCUAUCCAGAUUAGACCCAACAACCAAUCUAAUUAAAUGAAUCAUAAUUAGGUUUAGUCAAAAAUCCAAUUUAGAAACAAAUUGAUCAAAGAUUGGAUUAAAAUUAGGCUUCAAUCAAAAUUUGAUUAAAGCAUGUCAAAUUGGUCAAUUUUAUAGUUGAAGACCUAAGUCAAAAAUACUUAAUUUUGAAAGGAUAAAAUUAUACUUUUGUUAAGAUAUAUAUUGAAUAUAUCUAAUUUCUGAACCUUAGAAGUGUCAAGGUCAAUUUCGAUUGAAAUUAAAAAAUAUAGAAGGGUAAAAUAGUCUUUUAAUAGGUGAAGAAAGGCCUACUGUCACCACGGUGGGUAGUCAUCCGUUGCCUAUGCAUCGUCAACCCGAACUCCCCUCGCAACCAACUAGCGAUCCCUUUUCGUAGUGCCCAUAUCCGCGAAUGACAAGCGAACCCUAACGGUUGCUGUGCAAUCGUUGAGCAACCUACAUUGGUGGCUACUCAAUGGCUGAUGACUUGGCACAGGUACUAGCGACGCAUUGGAGAAAUAUUGCAUCGAUCAUUAUGCUACGCGCUUGAGCCGCUUUGAACCGUGGCCACCACGUAGUGAUCUCCUCAAUGCGAUGACUAUGCUAAUGAUGUAGCACUGCAAGUGGAUUGCCACUGCCAUCCGCAACAAUCGAAAAAAGCCACCAUCGCGCAUUGUUGUGAAGCACAACCACCUAGAUUGCCCAACCAGAGCCGCACACAAGCAUCUUCCCAUGACAUCUCCAUCACACGAUCAUUGUGCGAACCUUCAUCCGUUCAAUCGUGGGCUGCAAACUUGUUUUAUGGUCGCUUACCUCUCUGUGUAUGGCGAUCGUCAGCUCAAAAAGCAUCUUGGCAUUUGUCCGUCCUCUAGUCUAGCGUUGUAUGUAGCAAUGUUGACGUCUGCAUAGUUACUGCCUACGGUUGGGCCGACGACCACAGUUGUUAGCCACCCUUCGUAAUGUCGUCAUUGAUAACAAAUUUCAAUGACAACUAAUCGAUUAAACAUGGAUAGCAUAUUGUCCCGACUCUACCUACAUAAGACAAAAAAUCUUACAUCACCCAUAAGUAGGCGAAAAGACGAAUGAGAUAGAAAAAUAAAUUGAUAACAGAAACGAUUGUUCAAUCAUCAUACAAAUAAAAUCGAAUAACAUUUUUUCACAAGUGAAGGGUUAUUAACAAAUAGUUCUAAAUACAAAAUAGAUAUAAUAUACUUUUAUAAUAUAAUAUAUUUAAUUUUAAAAUAAUAAAUUUGGAUACCAAUUAUAAAGAUAAAAACUAUAAAUAAGAUAUUGUUAUUGCUAAUCAUAGGUGUCCUGCAAGCCAAUCACGUAAGUUAUGGUACGUGUGACAUAAUAUAUACUAUUUUUAUUUAUUAUAUUAUUUAAUAUUUUAUUAUUAUUNNNNNNNNNNNNNNNNNNNNUAUAUAUAUAUAUAUAUAUAUAUAUAUAUAUAUAUAUAUAUAUAUAUAUAUAUAUAUAUAUAUAUAUAGUGAUGUCCAUGGAUCUAUACAAUGAGAAUCAGAUCGUGAUGAGAUCACAAUAACGAGACCGAUUCGUCUUUAAACACAUAUCCUAAAUAAUCUCGAUCAUAGGUUACUCGAUAGGGAUAUCGAGAUAAUCGGACAUAUUAGUAUAUUGUAUACCCGUCCAUAUGAUGGAAGUGACUGGUCUCAUAGCUGCUCGUGUGGGGACAUUAUGAACAUAGUACAUGUGCUCAUUGGAAAAUGAAUUAAUUGGAAUGCUAAGUCUGGUAUCGAAGAGUAGAGUCUAUUUAUAUUAAUCGAGAACUUCCAGACUAAUUCAAUAGGAAUUAAUCGAGAUUGAAAAAACAUCUAGUAUAUUAUCAUAUAAGAGAUAGUGUCUAUUUAUAAAUAACUGCAACAACAGAUAAUAUAGAAUAAAUAAUAAAAAAAAUCACUUUUAUCAAAAUUAUCUCCUGAUUUUUUUUUCUAUUAAUUAAUAACUACAAUCAAGAUAUCUAUAACAUAUUUUAUCUAAUUAAAUUGAACCACAUAAUAACAUUUAUAUCUAACCUAACAUAUGCAGAUCAAGAGAUGCAAUCUAGAAGACUAAAAAAAAAGUCACUAGAGACAAUUACAAGCAAAUCGAGCAAUUAUCACCGUGUCAGCACUAAGGAGAACAAUUAAACGUGCUUAAGGAGACACAACUUGAAUUCCAUUAAAUAAAAAAAAAAGUUCCAAGGAUCGAUUGCUAAGGUCGAAAAUUUUGAACAGAGCAGUGGAGGAAAAGCGUAAAUUGCGCAAAGCCAGCCAUCGAAUACUUGGCGUCCUCUGUUUCGAACCCGAGCUCACACGACGGAGAUCUUCGCCCCGACUUCCUCCAGCUGCUUCUUGGCCUCCUCCGCCUCCUCCUUCGACACGCCCUCCUUGAACUUCUUCGGCAGGCCCUCGAUCAGGUCCUUGGCCUCCUUGAGCGCCAGGUUGGUCAGCGCCCGGACCACCUUGAUGGUGGCGAUCCUGGCGUUGCUCGGGACAUCCUCGAUGACCACGUCGAACUCGGUCUUCUCCUCGACCGCGGCGGGGGCACUGCUCGCCGCGUCGGCGGCGGCUCCCGGGGCGACGGCCACCGCGGCGGGGGCGAAGGCGGCGGCCGAGACGCCGAGGCGGUCCUGGAGGUGGUCGACGAGGCCGCGGGCUUCCUCGAGGGUGAGGUUGCAUAUGAGGUUGCCGACCUCCUCGACCUUGGGGGAGACGGCCGCGGGCGGGCGGAGGAAGGCGGCGCGGCGGUGGGAGCGGAGGGACAAGGGUUGGGAAGGGAACUUGAGUGCCGGGGAGGGGGCGGCAGAGGAGUUGGUGGAGUAGGAGGAGACGAGGAAGAGCGCGGAGGUGAGAGUGGCCGCCAUUUUCCUCUUCUUUCUCCUCGCUUGUGCCUCGAGCGGAAUGGGAUGAGAAAGGCGCGCGAGAGAAUGGAUAAGGCAGGGAAGCAGCAGCAGCAAGAAAUGGGAGGUUUGGGUGGCCAAAAGUGGUCGCCUUCCUAGGGAGAUAAGCCUGCGGCUUAAACCUGGUUGAGUUCAACCCGAGUCGUAGCGAGAUCCAGUUGACUCAAGAGUCUGAUCCAGACGCAAUCUUGAUUCAACCUGACCCAAUCUAAUUCGAUCCAACCUAAUUUAAUCGCUUGGUUCAUGCAGAGGAACAGUGAUAUCUUCUUUGUAACCGCCGCUAUAAUCAUGCUUUCAGAGUCGUGAAGUUCGUUAGCUCACUGUUAUAUGGUUCGCUACAUCGACGACACUACCGAUGGACGCCGCUCGCCACCCAUCGCUCGGCCGCGGCUCCCGCACUCGACGUCGGCCGGCUUGAUCUCGAUCGCUGGCGAAAUGCAUCGGAGUCAGGUUGGUUCGUCUCGCCUCGAUCGCUCCCCUUUUCCCGUACGUACUUCUUGCGAACCCAAAGUUCGUUCUUUUACGCCAUGGAACAUCCCAAAUCUGAGCACUUAUAUUGUUGGGGGGUCAGUGUUAAUUUGCAUUCUUCUACGGAGGAAAUAGUGGUUUUCAUACCCUAUUACCACCUUUCACUUCAUGAUCAUUGAGAUUCUUGGCAUCGCUGUCAAAUUCACCAGGUUUUUCCGUCGGUUGAUGAUCCACUACCAAUUGUUUGCAACCACGGGAUGAAUGCUUCUCAACGAGAAGGCUCACAACUCCUUUUAGUUCGACUUAGGGUUUGUCCAAACCCUAGGGAAGAAAAGGUGUUAGAACCAGUGAAUUUUGAUCAAUUCUUUUAGGGUUCCCGUAUCGUAAGCUUGAGCCCAUCGAGAUGAGUAUAUCCUGCCUCUUUGGCACUUUGUGUUUCUGGACCCCCUUCGAAGGCUUGGGUAACUCUUUUAUUGCUAUGCAGGUUGAGUUAUAGUCCAGAUAUGUAUAUAUCAAAUGUUUGGACGGUAGAAGGUGCAGGAAACCUUGGUUGAUCGUAGAACACAUAUUUUGAUGAUAAUGCUACCGCUGUGUGCAGAAUCUGAAAUCUGUAGCAUGGUAGUUCAUCUGCGUACAGGAUUGUCGUACGAGAUGUUAUCACGACAGUCACAUUGUUUUUGGUGAUCAAUUAGGCAACAUCUAAGCUCCCGAUUACCUUUGGAACAGUCAUAAAAGCUUUUUUUUGGGGCAUCUAGCUUUUCUUUUUAGGAAAAUGUUCCUGAGCAAUUGUAUAUGUUAUUUUGUUCUCACCAUGCCUUCUUUAGUUUUCCUAGUCCUCUCCACAAACCUUUAAUUUGAAUUAGCUUACUUUAUUGUUGGUCCUUACAGAGGGCUAUUUCUUAUCCAUGUUCAAACUACCAUCCAGUCAUUUUGGACUAUUUGACAUGAACAAAAUCCCAGUCUAUUGAGUAGCUAAAAGUAAAACUGAGACAAGUGCUCCAUGAGGAGCCAGCAAUUUUCUGUAACAUUUGACAUAAAAUUACUGAGUAUAAAGUUUAAUGGUACAGUAGUUCCUUUUUGGCUUUUCAAAGAUGCUUCAUGCAAAAAAGUUGCAUUUGUUUUUUGGAACUACUUAGUUAAUGCCUGGAUGUGCUUGUGCUUAUCUUUAGUCUUGAUAGAACACUUAAACUUGUGUAGAUCCAUAGAAUUUGCAAAAGAAAGAAAAAGAAAGGAAGUCAACUAACUCUCUUGACCAAGAGGAUGCUACAGUAGUUUAUAUACUUUUAGAGGUUGAGAGCCUAGAGAUGCACAGUCAUUGAAAGGGAUCACAUUCCUUAGAUCUCUCAUGAUUACUUUUGUUUUUCGCUCUACAUUUUGUACUAGGCAACAGAGGAUGCAGGGAUGUAAUUGGUUUUGGGCUUUGACAUGGCCACCAUUAUUAAAAGCAGGCCUCAAGUAGGUCUCUCCUUCCAGGACAGCGUCUUCUGGUUUAAAGUCAAGUGAUUCAUCUAGAUAUCCCAACAUUUUGGGCCAGUAAAUCUCUGGGGCUUAGAACCCUAAUAUUAUCCUUGUUUGUAACAAUACUAGAGUUAAGAGCCAUUUUUUGUGCAACUUGUGGGAUUAUCCUGCUUGGACUUAUGAUAAGUUGUGACCAAUGUAAGGCUACCUUAAUUUUUGUAAGCUCAGGCACCCUCUCAUGGCUUGGAAUCAGAUUGUAGACAAGUGGAAUAGGCUAGUACGUUUUCUUAAAUAACAUGUUCAAGAAAUCCUACCAAAAUGAGGUCAGAAAGAGACUGAGAAACACAUGUUUCAUACAGUGAUCGCUGUGUCAGCUGUCAACCACUAAUAUCAUAUCAUGUUUGUCACUUUCCCUAUCUUCACGAUCUAUCUAAAAGCUACCAGCUACAAGACAUUUGCAUUUUUUGGAUGAGAUGAGUCAUAAAGAACGGUUGUACAGGCAAAGGGGUAUCAUUGUCUCAAUAGCUCAUCUUGCUGUGCUCCGCAAGUUACAACUAGCAGCAGGCAAGGGGUUAUCAUCAGUAUGCCUCUAGUUAAAAACACCAUGUUCAUGAAUUCAUUUUUCUAAACUGUACAAGAAGCUAAAUUAAAUAGAUUAAGGCAUACUUCUUUUUUUCUCCCUAGAACUAACGACUAAGAUGAUCCUAUAUGUGUAACUGGAAUCUAGCAAGAAUUAAACAAAGCCUGCUUGCAAAUAAUGCUGCCUUUGGAAAGUACUAUAUGAGUUUCUUGACUAAGUUACCCUAUCAUAAUGUAUAUUUUACAUGUUCUUCUUCAUGGUUUGUUUGCAUCAGCUUAUUUGUAAGUCUAGCAUGCUUGUCGACUUGAGGAAUGAAAUGUUCCAACGAAUUAUCAUCUGCCAAAUGAUUAACAUGUGUGCAGGUUUGGAGAGGCAGGAAGAAGGAAGUAAGUGUCAGCCAAAAGAAACAUCGUCUGUCUUUCUUACAUUCCAAACACACAGCUUGGGGUAAUUGAUGGCAUAGGCAGCCAUGCACCUGGUUCUCAGGUGGGUAAACAGGUUUGAUCUCCUGGAUGAUGCAGCCCCGGAGUCGAAGCGACUAGAAUUGCACCGAAGGCAGGAUUGCCGCCACCAGCAGGUAUGCAAAAGCAACUGUAAUGUGCAUGCUGUCUUAGGUCAAAAACAAAUGGUUUGGAUGUGAAAUAUUAUGUUGGAUCUCAUCGAGUGGUCAACCAAAGGUGUGUUCUUAUACAUCACAUUCAUAAACUUAUUAAGCAGGUGUCAUUUGUUGUUGGCAAUAGCACACUUCCUGAGUUCAAUCUGUACACUAUGAUAAACGUCGAAUGAAGUUAAAACACUGUUUGUUCAAGAACUAGGACUUCUCAUUAUUUGUCAUGUUCAAGAACUUAUCAUCACCACACCUCGUUAUGAGCAUACAACUAUUUUGCAAUAGAGUAAAUCAAGCAUUUUAUUGUUUCUUAUUCUCUAAACUGAUAUCCUUGAGAUUCAUCAAUUAUGUGUGCACUUGUGAUUCGCAGAAACAGAAGUGGAAUAGCCAGAUUCGAUGAUUUAUCUGCCCUCUUGGCAGGGACUUGUCACCGGGCGACUCCCACGGAAAAGAUGCCACGGUCGAGGUUGAUCGAAGACAAUGAAGUGCUUACAUGCGUGCGUGCGUGCUACCUUUUUCUUCACAGGGUGAACAGUCGGUGUGACAAGUGUCCUCGAAGUUUGUCGCCCCUUUUCCUACAAUCCACGAGAGGAGGAGACAGUACGAGUCAGCAUCCAUCAGACGCACCAGGAAAGGAAAGGAGUGAAUCGUCUGCCAUGUCCAGGGAAGCUCACAUGGAUGCAUCACCCACCUCCCAUCCAAGCCCGGGUAAUGAAGUUGCAAUAUUCCUUUCUUAUAUUCUUUGCACAAGUCUCUCAAUUCCAGUUUGCUCUCUCUCUUCUUCUUCUAGAUUUUCCUCAACUUUCCUGCAGAGGCUUACUGAUGAGAGGCUAUCAGAUGUCGAAUAUGGAUUUCGUAUCAUUGUUUCUGUUCCUAAGAAUAGUAUCCAUAUCAGAUCUUGCGCCGACAGAAUUAUCACAAAUUUUGAAUGUUCAAAGUAUACCGACAAGGACAGAUUUCAGAGAGUCCACGCUUCCAAACAAGAAACAUUAGGACCACAGAUAUGCAUUGUCAAGGUCCAAGAUGUGGCAAAUGUUUGGGCUCAUUCUCUUUGAGAUAAGAUGAAGAGUUCCAUCCACCGGUACAGCUUCUAGAGGGGAACUAAGCAAUACCAUCAGCCGAACAAGUCUGCAUGUCUCGAGUCAUCGAGGCAACCCACAAUACGGCAAGCUGAUGAGUGAUCCAUUAAAGAAAGCUUGGGAUGAAUGGAAUCCUACACAAAAGGACUGUUCUGUUAUCGAAGCAGGUAUAAAGCUUGUGCGGACCAUUCUUUCUCCACUGGCAGAGUUCUUUACCCUUUCUUUAUCUUGUUUUGUUUCAGGUUUAAUGAUUCUCCCGUCCAACCACUCGACCUAAAAGCUGCUUCUAAAAAUGAUGUCCCCCGAGAAAUGUCAACUUUAGGCCACUUCAUCUCAACUCAUAAAGAAUGCCCAUUUUGCGUGAACAGCUGCACCCGUUUCUUUUGCUGCAUGUUACAAGUUCGUUUUAUAUGUAUAUAUUUACAUAUAUAUAUGUUGAGGGGCUUCCAUCGACCUAAAUUAAUUAUUAAGAUGAUGUGACUAGUAAUGUGGAAACUAGACCUUAUGAGCCUUUGUUGGUCAAUAAAGACUGCAAGCACAAUGUCAAGGUACAUGUGGAAACAUUGGGGGGACAUCAAACAUAAAUCAAGUCACUGUCACUCCUUAGCAAGUUCAGACGUGGGCACAGUGUCAUCUAUUAUCUUUAUCUACUUAAAGUCUAGCCGGAGUACACAGACUUGAAAAUGCCGCCUGCCAUUGAUGGCAAAAAGAGUUUUGUACCCGGAAUGUGGGCACUGUGAGUUCCUGGUUUUCCUAAACAAGUGUAACAUAUGUAAAUUAUUUUUUUCUAUUUUCUUUUUCUCAUUCAAACCGUAUAAAUUUCUCCUUGAAGCUUAUAUGUUGUGUUUGAGAAUAUAAUAAAGAAAUUGUGAUUCUUAUUUUUUUUUAUGACUCAAAGAACAUUUAUUUAUAUUUUUCACAUUUUAUUUUUUAUUAUCUUCCCUUUGUUUGUUGAGAGGGAAAGGAAAAAACUUGAAAAAAAAAAAAAUCAGAGAUCAACAAAUAAUUUUGUGUCAAUGUUUAUGGAGAAAAUUAAAAUUUUUACUAUGUGAGAAAAUUUAUAAGAUUCUUGAAUUAUUAUCUCUUGUAUCUUCUCUCAUAUAAAUCUAAAAAAAAAAAUUCAACUUUUCUAUAUCCACUAUAGAGAUUCUUUCAAGAAAACUCGAAGUACGUAACCUCUAUGUCUCUUUCUCUCACUAAAAUUUUAAGAUUUAAAGUAUAUUUAUAAAUAUAAAUUUUAAUAUAAAUUUUAAUUUUAUUAAAAAAUUAUAAUCGAAUUAAAAUUUUCAAAAAUAGUUGGAAAAUAAUUAUUCCUUCAAAAGAGACUUUCCGACCAUAACACUUUUAUGGUUACUUUUUCUUUCGAAUCCACGCUUUCUUUCUUUCCCUCCCUCCCUCUCUCUCUCUCUCUCUCUCCCGUGAGCGUCAAAUUUACGAGAGUUCAUUUGACCAAUAAGAUUCAAAUUUAUCGAGACUAAAUAUUUUUUUUUCAUUCUUAUUCAAUAUAUAAUUAAAACAAUUGACUAAUGAUCCAAACUCUCCUAUAUCAAUCGAUCACCCAACUGCUUACGCAACCAACCCAUUGGCUGCAGGUAAUGAACUCUGACCAUCCAAUUCAUUACAUGACUCGUUGCACAUCACCAUUAGAAUAUAUCUAAAUGCACCGGGCAUUAUGCAUGUGCACACUGUUGAUGCAUCACGGCAUCCAAAGUACUUGGUUGAUGUGAACUGACAAUAUUAAGUUGACUCCUAGUUAUCACCUCAGGGAACAACCAGGUCCCCCUUACACAUCCACCCAGGAUCCCUCUCUCUCUCUCUCUCUCUCGGUAAUUAAAGUCCCACAUCAAACGCUUAACUCGCUCUCUGCUCCAACCACCCAUUCAUUGUGCACUGCACCUAAAUCUAUCGUUCAGGACGAUUUGGUCCUCCUAUCGCUUGCAAAUGAUUGAUCGUUAAUCGCAGGACUGCGUCGAUAUCUAUUCCGAGCUCAUGUCUUCGGUAAGCACUCGAGCUGAUAGUGUAGCGUUCAUCUGCCACGAUGCAUUCCGUCGACCAAAGUAGACUCUGCUGGUGACGGUGCGAUAGCUAUCCCCGCGUUGCGUGCAUCAUCUCCCAAGUUUGGUGAAUAGCUCUACAAAUAAGGCCACAUGUGGAUUAGAUCGACCGUGUCAUAUCCCACGAGUUGAACAGAGGCUGGCGGUCGAUGGCGCCGAGCCAACGCCGGAGUUAGAAGAGACGAGGCAGCCGUGUCAUAUUUGUAAACACUUGGUGUGCACCAGCCAGCCUACCAUGGAUGGUCGGGCUUCCAAAUUAUUGUCCUUAAAGCUUCCGGGUGUGGGGCUGAUGGCGCCUGCUACCAACGCAGGACAGGCUGUGCACGUUGCGUGAUGCUUGGCAUCAUCGAAAGACACCUUCUCCUCCUCUCUGGCUCGAUUGUGUUGUGACCUCACUGGUUUUGCUCCAUAAUGCUCGGCACAGUGGUCAGCCACCGCUCCUUUCUCCCUCCCUCCCUCUUCUCCUCGCGUCCCUAUUUGGCCGCUCACCUACCACGGGGCGCGGCGCGUGGCGCGCCGCGCGCCCCCAUGCGAGCACCGUGCAGCAGUGGCGACGGGGUAAUUAAAACGCUUCUCGGCGUCUUUGAAGCGUACCAACGAACGCCUGGUGCGCCCUCGCGGUCCCCUCCUCCCCUCCCCCGUUCGCUGUCUUGAUAGCGACCGCGAGAUGAGAGUUCUUUCCCCUCCUCUUCUCUAUUUAAGCCCCCGUGUGGGUUCGAUUUCGAAGACCUUUUCCGCCUGCGCCUAUGAGCAAUGCUUGUGGCUGAACACCGAGAUCAGUGUCACUUGGUUUGCUUUUGGUAUAAGAAAGAGACAUAUUGGAAUACAACACAGGUAAACUGGUGGAGAAGAAAAGGAUUCUUUUCCUGAAACUGAGAAGGGGGAGAGAGAGAGAGAGAGGAGACAGAGAGGUGUUCGCCGCCUCCUCUUGUGUUUGGACCGCUCAUUUGCCCUUCUCUCUCUCUCUCUCCUUGGAUUAAAUCUUCUUAGAUCUCAGCCGAAGGAACACGGAUGGAGGGAGGAGGUGAGCAGGCCCCGCCAAGGCGGCGGACGCCGUCGCCGGGGCGGAGCCGGCGUCUACCGGACUUUUUGCAGAGCGUCAACCUCAAGUACGUGAAGCUGGGUUACCACUACCUGAUCACCCACCUGCUCACCCUACUGCUGAUCCCGCUGAUGGCGGUGAUCCUCCUGGAGGCGGCGCAGACCGAUCCCGACGAACUCCGGCAGGUGUGGCUCCACCUCCAGUACAACCUCGUGAGCGUGCUGGUGUGCUCCGCGGUCUUCGUAUUCGGCACCACUGUCUACAUCAUGACGCGGCCUCGCCCCGUGUACCUCGUUGACUACGCCUGCUACCGGCCGCCGCCCGAGCUCAAGGCGCCGUUCCACCGCUUUAUGGAGCACUCGCAGCUCUGCGGCGGGUUCAACGAGUCGGCACUCGAGUUCCAGCGCCGAAUCCUCGAGCGCUCCGGCCUCGGCCAGGACACCUGCUUACCCGUCGCCCUUCACUACCUCCCGCCCCGCCCCUCCAUGGCCGCCGCCCGCGAGGAGGCCGAGCAGGUCAUGUUUGGCGCUCUCGACACGCUCUUCAACAACACCGGCGUCAAGCCCAAGGACGUCGGCGUCCUCGUGGUCAACUGCAGCCUCUUCAACCCCACCCCCUCCCUCUCCGCCAUGAUCGUCAACCGCUACAAGCUCCGCGGCAACAUCAAGAGCUUCAACCUCGGCGGGAUGGGCUGCAGCGCCGGCGUCCUCGCUGUCGACCUUGCGCGAGAUCUCCUCCAGGUCCACCGCGCCACCUACGCGGUCGUGGUCAGCACCGAGAACAUCACCCAGAACUGGUACUUCGGCAACCGCAAGGCCAUGCUCAUCCCCAAUUGUCUGUUCCGCGUCGGCGCCGCCGCCCUGUUGCUGUCCAACCGCGCGGCGGAUCGCCGGCGCGCCAAGUACAAGCUGGUCCACAUCGUUCGCACCCACCGCGGCGCCGACGACAGGGCCUUCCGCUGCGUCUACCAAGAGCAGGACGAGGUCGGCAAGGUCGGCGUGUCCCUCUCCAAGGACCUCAUGGCCAUCGCCGGGGAGGCGCUCAAGAUCAACAUCACCACCCUCGGCCCCCUGGUGCUUCCCAUCAGCGAGCAGCUUCUCUUCUUUGCGACGCUGGUGGCCAAGAAGCUCUUCAACGGCAAGGUGAAGCCCUACAUCCCGGACUUCAAGCUGGCGUUCGACCAUUUCUGCAUCCACGCGGGGGGAAGGGCCGUGAUCGACGAGCUAGAGAAGAACCUGCAGCUGCGGCCCAUCCAUGUGGAGGCCUCCCGGAUGACCCUGCACCGCUUUGGCAACACAUCCUCCAGCUCCAUCUGGUACGAGCUGGCUUACACGGAGGCCAAGGGGCGGAUGCGGAAGGGCCACCGCGUGUGGCAGAUUGCAUUCGGGAGCGGCUUCAAGUGUAACAGCGCGGUGUGGCAGGCGCUUCGCAACGUGAAGCCCUCCCACGAUGGUCCAUGGGAGGACUGCAUCCACGGUUACCCUGUGGAGAUCAUCGAUGGGUUUCCUCCUCGGGAGCCACAGCAGCAAUAGUGGCUGUGUUAGGUGAUGGUGUGUGUGAUCUGGGUCGGGCAGAUCCUUUGGUAUUCUUCACUUGCAGCUCAUAUCUGCACGCCGAUUUGUUUGUUGUCAUCUGAUCAUGGAAGUCUUUAGCGUCUCUAUCUGCAAGCGCUCUUCGAUCGAUUGCUGUGAAAGCUUUUAGGUGCCAUGCUCUCAUUGUCUUCUUCUUCUUCUUCUUCGAUUCCUCUUGCUCUUCAGCAUCACUAUGGUGGUAGUCUUUUCUGAUCUCUGAUCUCAGAUCUCAAAUCACAGGCGUUCCCGACCACCAGAGGUUAGUUGGUCAACCAGAGGUUAAUAUAAUCCAAGUCUCACAUGGGUAGUACUGUUUCCAGAUAAAUCCUCAAGAUUUUGGUUUGACUUUUUUGCCACUUACUUGCAUUUUCCGAUAGCACAAUACAAUGAUUCGUCGGUGUUAUGUCUUAAUCCAACCCCAUGUAGGCUUUAUAUGCAUCUCUAUAGAGAGAGAGAGAGAGAGAGAGAGAGAGAGAGAGAGGUUCCCUGGUUGAAUUGAUGUUGAGGUAGGUGUCAGCCCAGGUGGCACUCAUAAUGCCGUAAAGAUAACGAUGUCUCUUUCUAGAUGGUUUUGCAUAUGCAUUUUUCUUCUUCACUGCUUUUUUUAUUGUCUAUAGCUUGCCAUAUUGAUGAAGAACUUGCUUGGGGUGUUAGAAGGAGGUGUCAUCAUGUGGAACAUCAAUCUGAAUCCUGCUCAUUUUCGCAUUUGCCAAAUCAUUCAUUUUGACUUUAACAAGUGUUCUUCAUUUGAUUUUUAAUGAGCUACUGAUUUCUGACAUGAAUUGAAAUACUUACGUAGGCAUCUAACAAUCAAGGAGAAAUUUAGAUGACACUUAAACAACUUAGGCAGUAGUAGCAUACAUCAUAAUAUUCCUUCCUGUUGUGAAUUGAUGUUUGAGAAAAUGUAAUGAUUGGACCGACUGCUGUUUCCUUUGGUGAAAGAAUAAACCUUAACAAAGACUAGGAGGAAACUAUUCUAUUUCUCUUCCUCACUGCAAUCCCUUUGAGACAAAAGAAAGACCCUCUGUCUCCUACUCUUCUUACCUUAUAAAAGAAUUGAUAUUGUCUAUAAAUAUGGUAUGCACAUAUUUGGUAAGAAUUAUCCUUUAGACAGACGACUUGUUAUAGAUUUCUUCAGAUUGAGAGCUGAGAUUGGAUUACUGCUGUGUCUCGGAAAGUGUUCUCUCUCUAUUUCUGUUCGCCGCCAGGAUGGAUACAAGUGUAAGAUUGUGUUAUUGUGUUGAAGACUGCCCCUGCAGUCAAAUGCCCACUUUUGACCGCCGACUGAGUCGGCCUCAUCGAUUGCCGAGCCUCCAAACUCAGCGACUGCUGCCAUCGCUGUGCCGUGCUACAGCGUCGUUGUCCUGUUAGACAGGAGAGCAGAGAGUGCGUGACACAAUGAGGACUAAACGACGCCAAGGAGGUAAGAGAGUGUGUCAUUGGAUGAUUCGUCCUCGCACUUUGCGCGAUGCCGUCGUACCGCAGCUUAGUCUUUUCUACCCCUAAAUCUACGGUUACCUCCUCUCUUGUAAAAACUUUUUAAAUUAUUAUUAUUAUUGUUAAAUAAAAUUAAUUAGAUGAAAUUUUAGACAUAAAUAUUGAUUUAAUUUAAAUUAUAUAUAUAUAUAUAUCCAUUCGAGUCUAAGUAUAUAGGAUUAUUGGACUCAUAUCCAAAUGGUUAUAUAGGUAUUUUUAAAAACAUUAAUAUAAUUUUUUUUAUUUUUAUCUUGAUUCUUUUAUCUUUUAUUUGGUUUGAUCAUGGGUUAGUAGUGCCUUGUUAAGAAUGAGUUGUACUUAUAUGAUCUCUCCCUUUCUUUACAUAAUAUCAAAACCUCAAGGGUGAUAAAAUGUAUUUCAAGAUCUACUAGAUAAUAUAUUUUUUAUUAUAGAUUAUCAAGUUCGUUGCUUGGUAUUAAAUUUUUUUAAUCAAUCUCUCAUAAAGAGAAAUCUAUGGGAUGUGAUGGUGGCAAUGCAAUAACAGGAGCGAAAAGAUGAAAGAUAUUAAGUGUAAAGACUAAAUUUGUAUUAAAAAGAUUAAUUUCUCAUGAUUUGAAUACAUUAUUGGUUGUAAAUCAGUUUCAUAUAUUUGGAUCACUCUUCAUGCAUUAUUUAAUAAAAAAUAAUAUGGCUCGAUUAUGAUUUUUGACGAAUGAUUUGAAAAAUACUAUCUAAGGUAAUAUCUCAAUUUCUUAAUACUUUUUAAAGAUUAAAAAUUUAUAUUCAAAGAUAUCACUCUUAGAUCCAAAUGAGCAUAUUUUCGAUUAACGAAUGAAAUAUUAUAUUAUUCACUAUAUUCAAAAAGAAUAUAUUUUUUAUAUUACUUGAAGGAUGAGUUCAACGACCAUAAUAGAGUUGAAAAAUUAUUUUUAGUUCGAGGUUUUUCUAACUCAUGACGAAAGUUUCUACUUUGAAGGGGAGAUGGAGAUGCUCUUGUUAUAAAUAAAAAGACAGAGAGAAAUAGGAUGAUACUAAUUGUAAAUCAGUCUUCUUCGAAUAAUGAUAUAAAUCAAAAAAAGAUUAAGUGUUACAAGUGUGGCAAGUCACGUCAUAUUAAGAAAUAUUAUCAUAUUAAGAUUAAAGGAGAAAAUAUUACAAAUAAAGAAGAUUAUUUCAAUGCUACUGAUGAAUAUUAUAGUAAAUAUUUUAUAGCUAAAACUACUAAGGUCUCGACAUUUACCAAUUUUGAACGUGACUGUGUAGUUGAUUCAAGAUGUAAUCAUCAUCUCAUUAGUGAUGAUAUCAUUAGUGAUGAUAUCAAAUUCACCAAUCUUUAUAAGUAAUGAUGUAAUUAUCAUAAUAAAUAAUGUUGUUCACCAAGGAGAGAAGAAAUAUAUCAUCCUAAUCUAAAAUAAAGAUAAUGAUUGUAUAACAUUAAGGAAUAUGUAUCAUUUUUCAAGUAUAAAGAUUUUUUUUUCUAUUUUAAAUGCAGUUGAUGUUGAAAAUUAGAUUCUUUUUUAUCCUAAUAAAGUUAGGUUUCUUCGUAACAUAAAAAAAUAAAUAUAGAUAUAAUACAUAUUGAUAAAAGGGUCAAAUAUUUAUAUAUUCUAUCAGUAUCUAACUCUUACAUUGAUAAAAUAAGUAUAAAUGAUGGUACAUCAAGCAUAUUGGACUUAGUCAUAUAAUUUUUUUAAAAUUAAAUAUUAUGAUGCAAAAAAGUCUUCCUAAUUUUACUAUUGUUAAUAGUAAUAAAGUUUGUGAAGUUUAUUAAUAUGGCAAGGAACACAAAUAACCUUUUCAUGUAUCACUUUUAAGUUACAAUUUUUUUUUAGAACUUAUUCACAACAAUUUAAUGGACUAUACUCAAACUCCAUAUUAUUUAGGUUCUUGUUAUAUUCUUCUUUUAUUAAUGAUUUUACAAGAUUUACCUACGUCUGCUUUGUGAAGAAAAAAAUCAAAAGUUUCUUUAAAAUUUCAAGAGUUUAAAUUAACAAUUGAAGGUAUUCUUGAAACAAAAAUUGAAUGGUUAUGCAUCAAUAACGAUGAGAAGUUUACUUCUAACCAAUUCUUCUCCUUUUGCAAAGAGCAUGACAUCAAGAUAAAACUCACAUGCGCAAAUACACUACAAUAAAAUAAUAUGACAGAAUAAAAGAUUUGAUAUAUAUAGUAGAGACUUAUAAAUGUUGGCUUCAUAUAAAAAAAUUAUCCAAAGCCUUAUCGGUAAAAGGUAUGACAUGUGCAACUUAUAAUAUUAAUCGAAUUUCUCUUGAUCCAAUAAAUUUAAAGUCUUCAUGUGAGCUCAUAUUUAGUUAAAUAUUUUAGAAUAUUUGGUUCUCCAUGUUAUGUUCACAUACUAGAUUCCAAAGAAGUAAGCAUAAAAUUAAGGUUAAGAAAUACAUCUUUAAUGGCUAUGAUGAAAAAUAAAAAUAAAAAUUUAUGGAUCCGUAAAUACAUAAGUAUGUGAUAUCUUGAGAUAUUUUGUUUGAUAAAGUUUCUUUUUAUUAUUCUCCACAAAUGAUUUCUUUUGAAAAUAUCAAUCAUAGUAGUAAAAGUGAUAUAAAGUUUCCUUUGUCAUCUAGUGCUCCUAUGGAUUUAAACUUAUCUUUUUUCCUUAUAUAUAUAUCUACUACUAGUAUUUCUUCAUCAUUAGUGGUGAAGCAAAGUAAUAUGGAGAGUAACGAUGUUCAUGAAGAAAAAAUUCUAAUAUUGAGAAGAUUAAAAAGAAUAAUUAUCAAAUUAGCACGUUAUAGAGAUGGAGAUAGUAUAAGCAUAUGUUAUUAUUAUUUUUCUAACCCGAUUGAUGAUCUUAAGGCUAUUUGUUUUGAUAAAGCUAAGAGUGUUUAGAAGUGAAAGAAUGUCAUGGGUGAAGAAAUAAAGGCUCUUCAUAAAAAUAAAACUUAAGAUCUUGCGUCAAGCCCACAAAUGUGGAUAUAAUUACUUGCAAAUAAGCGUACAAAAUGAAACAUAAGCUAGAUGGAAGUAUAGAUCGUUAUAAGGUAAGACUUUUUGUAGGGAAUUUUUUUCAAAAAAUAAAGAAGAUUUCAACGAAAUUUUAGUUCUAUGGUUAAGAUGACAUCUAUCAAUAUAGUGAUUGCUCUAACAAUUAAUUUUAGAUGAAAGCUUUGGCAAUUUGGUAUGAAGAAUAUCCUUGUAAAAUUGAUAAGAACAUUUAUAUAGAAUAACCACCGGAUUAUACUUCUAUUUCCAAACCAAAUUAUGUUUAUAAGCUCGAGAAGUCUCUCUAUAGGUUAAGGUAAGCUCCCAAAAUAUAAUAUGAAAAAAUUAUUCAGUACUUAUAUUUCUAUGAUUAUUAUUAUUUAUUCAGAUCCUAACUUAUUUAUUAAAAAGUACGAAAGCCUAUAUAUUAUUGUUCUUCUGUACGUGGAUGAUAUGAUCAUUAUUGGUAAUUUCAAAGCUUUAUGGUGAUCUUUCUCUCUAGUCUCAAAUGAAAAUCUCAAGGGAGCAUAAUAAUUUUCUUGGUCUGGAGGUGAUAAAUAUAUAAAAAUAUAUAUAUUUAUCUCUUAAACAAGAUAUGCAAAGAAAAUCUUUGAAAAAAUUAGAAUUAGCAAAAGUAAGAAGAUUUCAACUCAUGCAAAUAUUUAAGUUGUAACGAUGGCAAGGUUCUUUUUGACCUUCGGUCUCUUCAUACUUUUAUUAGUAGUUUCAUUUACUUACUAAUUACAAGACUAUAUAUACAUAUAUAUAUAUAUAUAUAUAUAUAUAUAUAUAUAUAUAUAUAUAUAUAUAUAUAUAUAUAUAUAUAUAUAUCAUAUUUUCAACUAGUUUUGUAAGUUGCUUUAUGUAAUUUUCAAAUCAUACUCUUAUUAGUAGUUUCAUUUACUUAGUAAUUACAAGACUAUAUAUCAUAUUUUCAACUACUUUUGUAAAUUGUUUUAUGUAAUUUUCAAAAAAGUCACAUCUUGAUGCAAUAAUUUUUUUAAAUAUGUGAAUUCUACCUUUAAUAUGGAAUUAUUAUAUAAAAAGAAUAUAUAUCUUGAAUUGUAUAAUUAUAUAGAUGUUGAUUGGAUAAUCGUAAAUUCAUUUUUCUAUAUGAUUUUGCUUAGUCUCUCUUUAUACAACUAAAGCAGAAUAGUAGAUAUAUUUAUCAAAUCUCUUUUUAAAGGAUUGUUUAAACAUCUUUGAAGCAAGUCAGAAUUUAUCUUCAAAAGUAUACUCUCUUGUAGGUUAAAAUUUAAAAUAUAUCUUUUGGAAGAUUUUAUAUUAUUAUCUUUUAUCUUUUUUUUUAAUAAAUUGAUUAGAUCGAGUUAAUAGAUAAGAUUUUCUCAAUUUAAAUUAUUAUAGUACACCUAUAAAUACUAUAUAUAUAGAUCCAUCCAAGUCUAAAUAUUUAUAUCUAUAGGGCUCAAAUUUAAGAGUAAUUUAAUAUCUUUUAAGUAUUUUGUUUUGAGAAGUUCAAUAUAAAUUUGUUUUACUAUUUUGAUCUUAGUUUCUUUUUGUUUGAUCUUGGUCUAAUAGUAUCUUAUUACUAUUAUAUANNNNNNNNNNNNNNNNNNNNNNNNNNNNNNNNNNNNNNNNNNNNNNNNNNNNNNNNNNNNNNNNNNNNNNNNNNNNNNNNNNNNNNNNNNNNNNNNNNNNNNNNNNNNNNNNNNNNNNNNNNNNNNNNNNNNNNNNNNNNNNNNNUAUAUAUAUAUAUAUAUAUAUAUAUAUAUAUAUAUAUAUAUUGUGAAGUAGGUAUGAGAGAGUAAUAUAAUUGAUAUAAUUGUUAUGACAAAUAAUUAAUUUAUCCAUUUUAAUAUAUGAUGAGAAUGUAAAAUAAGCACCAGCAAGGUAGAGAAAUAGAUAUGGGAAUACAUCAGAAUCACUUUCAUUAGGCAAACUAGCAAUACAUACAGCAUCGUCCUAGAUGGACGUAGAUACAUCUUUGACUGAUACCAAAGCCAGAUAUUAGGAGAUAAGUGCGGUCUGAUCGUUCAUUACCUUCAUCCUUGUGAUUCUUUAUACAUAUGCUUCCCACCAUAUAUAUACACUGAAGAUUUGAGACCCUCAGCCUGCCACAUAAAAUGUGAUUUAAACCUCAACUUGCAAUACAAUCUAAGCCUGGAUAUGUAAGACAAUAUUCAACAGGACAAGAAGAACAACUCAAAGAAUAAAGCGGUGCAGGUGAGUGUGACCCCUAAAGCUUCUCGGUCAGCCAUAGCAUUUGACUGCAAAAAGAUAGCUUAUCAAACCCAUUAAGUGAUUCUUUGCAUUUAUAUCAUUAUGGUUCUUCAUCCUUGAAACUUAUGAUUACGAGAACAUCAAACCCAACUUUUAAUGGAUGUCAAUGCAAAGGAUAUGUGUUAAGAAUCUUAAUAUUUGAAGGGAUAUGCAUGCAUGCUAUCUUUAAUUAAAAGUAUGUAUAUAUAUAUGUAUAUAUGUAUAUAUAUUUAUAGAGUAUAUGUUCCCUAGACGGUAAGCAACUUUCAAGCUCAUGUUCUUCGUGAAGGCAUAGGCUAAGAACCAUGCAUGGAGAAUCUACGGUGCAAACAAGAACAGAGGAACGAAGCGAAGAAAAGAACCACCUCUGCUCCUGUCGGCGGUGCCGUUGCGGCGCCAGCUAUUGGAGUUGGGGUAGCUGUAGAUCGGUUCUGUGGUGGAAUCAAUGAGCUUGAUGUCGUUCUCGAGUUCUUCGUAAUGGCGCUUCACUUCCUCCACCGACUUCCCGCCGACGGCCCUGGCCACAUUCUGCCAGCGGUCGGGGGUGUCGUCGUAGCGUGCGAUGGCUAUCUCGAACCGCUUGUUCUCCUCUUCCGUCCAAGGCUGCUCCAACUUGCGGGAGGAGCUCUUUGAGCUGGACGCCAUCUCUGCUGCUGUGAUGGCGGCGAGGGACUCUUGACCAAUACCCGUCAGUGAAGUCUUGAGUGCAUGGGGUAGCAGUUGCCAUGUCUGCUCCUUAUAAACCGGUAAGGAAGUGGGGGUUGUGGGGUAGUGCUGGGCUAUUGGAGGCUAGUUGGCGAAUAGCAUUUGCAAAAGGACCAAAUGAAGGAGCCGGAGAGUGACGCCAAAGAACUUUAAGACGUGCGUAUGUCGGGAAGUUGGAGAAUGCCCUCAGAACUUUCGUCUUCUUACGAUACUUGUGAUCACUACCCUUAAACAGCUGAUUUCAUUUCACGUACUCGCUGUACUAAAAAGGGCUGAGUUCUGCGUUAAACAAAUCAGCAAUCUCGUCUUCUCGUCAAGUGAUGCAUGCAAGUGGGUUGUGAGCUAUAACCUUAGCAGUUCGUGUCUUGGCCAUUCAUCAUUAUUGAUGGUUCCCUAAUAAUUCGAUCCAGAUGGUGAUACCAUGCAGCACCAUGUUACUUGGAUCCAAUGAGCUAAACCUGUGGAUCGAACGAGCGGUGGCUCCACAGGGAAACAUUAGCACACACAGGAAGGAGAAGAAUAUUGGAGUACACGAGCAGCCUACUUUAUAUCUAGAAUGACAAACGAGGCCCAGACUUAAAGAUGGCGAAUAUUUAAGUUCGUGCAUGAGAUAGAUAGAUAGAUCUCCAGGAAUAGUAGAUCCUGCCUAAAGGGAUCCACUCAUGCUGAAGAAUACUGGACGUUCAUGUCUCAGACAGUGGUAGUUCCCUGUAGAUGAAUGGAAAGAACAUAUUGUCGUUAUGCGAGACAAGCAACGUUAUAUUCCAGAUUGACGCAACCGAAACAAACAAAAACAGGUUCUAUAUCCAUAUUCCAAACUGUAAAAUCAUGUAGCCACCCUCUAAUGCUGACGACUUUGUGUGCCAGUUGAACCUCAUCUAUGAUCACUCUCCCAGAUUUGAUUCCAUAUAUACAUAUAUAUGGACAUGGAACAUGGGCUCUGUAAUAUGAUGAAGAACCCUACGGCAGCAGGAAAUGAGCAGCUGCGGCUUGUUGGAGAAGUUGUUUACAUCAGGAGAAUGAUAAGAGCAAGAGAGGAGUCAUCUUUACCUAAAGCUGCGGUCCAUAUACAACACGACUCAGCUUUCAUGGAAUCGUCGCAGGGAAAGAUAGCAGCAAGUUGGUUGGGGCAUGGAGAACCCUCACCUAUUGGGAACCUGUUGAGUUGAGCUUCCUUUUGCCCACUUGAUCUGCAAAAGAAAUUCCAUGACUGUGGCUAAAUUUGCAUGGAAGAGUUCCAAGGAUGCAUGAGUAUUGUACCCUCAAUCGACUGCUGAAACUCGACUACCAAGUCUGUCUUAACGUUCCCAUCAUUGGCAGCAGCUUUCCAUUAACAAUGAGAGACACAGUCGCCACUGGGUUCAAGUUGACAAGAGAUGCUGUUUGCCAGUGGGCAAGGACAAUAAUUGCUACAAAUUCGUUGUAUUUAUUCUUACUGUUCCUCCUCCUGAUUGAGAUAUAUUAAUUACAUCACUGUCAAAUAUAUUUUAAUCCUGCUGUUUGGUGAAUUUGGACUCCUCUAUCUUUGUUAUGUUUAUUAUUGCUAUUCCAUGAAUGAGUCAAAGUGGAAAUUAAGCAUCAUUCUGAUACGACAGCUUAAACUCUACUUAUUUAGACAUGUGGGACAGUUUCAUAAUAUAUCUCCAUCGAUAUCUCACCAACACCCAAAUCUGGAGUUUUUGUGAUCUUAAUAUCAUAUGGUAAUCAUCUCAAUUGUAGCUAUAAAGAUUAAAUUCGAUUUGAACAGGGGAACCAACAUCAUAUAUUAGUCUUCUUCCUUCCGAGAAGGUGUUUAGACGGCACUUAUCUGCUUAAUCAUGUUAUUUCUUCAGCUGCUCAUAUUCCAUAUCGCAUAUGGGGACUUAUAAACUCUGUUUAUAUUCUUUUUGGGGAGUAAUGACCAUAAACUUACGACCUUCUUUUGAUAAGGUUUUGUUUGUGAUUAGAGCUGAAGUAGCAGAGAGUUGCAGUGGCUGCUAAAGAGAAUUAUAUUGAGCUUAAGUUUAAGUACAGUAAACAAGGCAUCUUUGCGUCUGCCUGCGAUGUAUGUACAACACAGAUUCACAGGAAGAGAAACAGAAGUCUUUUGAGCUCAGUGAUGUCUGAUAUUUCUGUCUGGUUCUUCUGGCUGAUGAUAUACGGUAGACUGCUGCCUGUAAUAUUCCAUGCAUAGGUAAUGAAUUCUUUAUACUUCACUCCGGUUGACACUUCAGCCUGCCAAAAAAGGGGAAGAAUUUUUAGAUGAUACAGUUCGAAUUUGCUUGAUGAUAGCUACCGAAUUCCAUUCUAGAGAACUAAGUUCAUGAAGCUUUCACGAGCAGAUUAGAGGUCUUAUUGUCAAAAGGAUAGCAACACUGGAUGGGAGUGAAACGCGUUACUGAGAUGCCAAAAGGCAUCCUAAAGUUCGCUUGGAGAACGGCAGACAACAACCCAUGAUAUCAACAUUUCCUAAAAGUGAAUGCAACCUUAGGAGAACGCAGGAGUAGGAAAGGGUAAGUGAGAAGGAAGAGUACCCCUGUUGCCGGCCGAGUGGUAAUUGGCGCGAGGCAUUUGUCCCGUCUCGAUGCGAAGGAGGUCCUCCACGAGCAGCUGGUAGUGCCGCUUCACUUCCUGCUCGGACUUCCCGCCGACGGCGCGCGCCACCUUGUGCCAGCGGUCGGGCGUGUCCUUGUCGUACUCCACCAGGGCCAUCUCGAACACCUUGUUCUGCUUCGGCGUCCAGGCGGAGCUCAACGAACAGGACGCCAUCUCUAAACAGAACAAUAGAAGUCGGCUCUAAUGCUAAUGGAUCACUUGUCGCCUUCUGAAAACUGUGCUGCUGCUACGGAGAGGAAGUCGUCGUGGUCUGAUCUUUAUAAGCUGUGCUGCGGUGGGGUGUGCACAGUUGUGAAUGAUAUUUCCAUGGGGUAGGAAAUCAAAGGCAGAACAGGCGAUCACUGGAUUGGGGAAGAGAAUAAGGCAGUGAUUUGAUGGGUGGGAGAAUCACACCGUUCUCGUAAAGCCAUGGAGUUAUUUACAAAUCUUUAUCUGAGCCUUCCUCCUCACAAAUCUUCUUUUUCUUAUCCCAUGCCAUAUGCUGAAACAUCUCAGUGGAUAUUCGUUCUUCUACCCGCAAGAACACAUCGACUCCAGAGCACGUAAAGCUGCGAGCCAAAAGCAUAAGAGAGAAACUUUGUUCGUGAGGGUAACAGAUGUGACAACAAUAUCACCAGUCUGGUGAUUCCUCCGUUUGCUUUAGAGCAAGUUGCGUCGGAGAACCUCAAUCUUGGGGAAUUAGGAUGAUGUUUGAUGCUUUCCCUCUGCAAGUUGAUCCAUGUGUGAUACUGUUACAGAUUCAGCAGAGUAGCUCUGCAGGGUGCAGUAGAGCCAAAAGGGAGAGGAACUAUCAGAGAUUCCAAAGGCUUUCUGCCAUUUGCAAAAGCAUGAACCCACUUGGGACAUCAAAAUAAAGGAAACAAAUCUGCUAGUCUCCUGUGACUCCGGAGUGGAGAGGUCAAGCCCACCAUUCGUCGACUCUCACAGUCGCAUCUUGUGACCGUAACAGGACUCCACUCCACCAGGAUCUUAACCUCUACCCAACCCUGCAUUGGUUCUUCAGUUCUUUACUGUGGAAGAUUAAGAUCCAUGAAACCGACAGGUCCCCCCCAUGCAGGAACCCAUACUUCCAGAAAGUGGUCCGGGAGAUACUGAUUCCUGCUGAUAAUAAGAAUAAUAUCACUAUUUUCUAUGAUGCCCACCUCCAGAAAGUAAUGACUGGAUUCCUUCCCUUUCCACGAUCACAGGUUGGUCGGCAUGGAUUUCAGCUAUGGUGCUGCUUGGUUUGCAAGUUGACUGCUUCCAUGGCAAUCUUGGUAUCGAUCUCAGCGGAAUACGUUCACAUCACCAGAUUCCAGGAUUCACAGGCAGGGGAGAAAGCCAGCCAGGCGAAGCUGCUGCAUCACCUCAGGAGGGUGGAAGAUUAAGCGCGGGGAUGAUUAGUUUAUGGAGCCACACGAAGCUCCGGCCGUGAAAGGAAUUCCUGUUGUCUGCUGAAGUAGAAUUCAUCCUCAAGCCCCGCAAAGACCAGCGGUCGAUCAGACGACCUUUUUGAGGGAAUCUCGCGGGAAAGAGGCUUUCCCGGGGUCAAAGAUAUGCCGCUGCUCUCGAGCUUUACACCAGAGAGACUUAAAAGUUCUUCCAUUACCAGGCUGUUCUUUGCUGACAUGAUCACAUUUAACAGAAAAAUCAAAAGAAUAAACAUAUGAAUAAUCAUUUUAUUCCUGAUAAUGCAUUUAUUAACGUAAGAUGAUUAGCUUUUCAUAAUGCUUCCUUUUAUAUAUUUUAGACAGUGAAAGAAAAGCUUUCCAGCUGUUUUACUUGAGAUUUCCGGCUUGCAAAUCUGUGGGUUUGCCAGUGGUUGCAAUCCAAUUUCACGAACGGAUGUUAUUGCAGCUUCAGCAGUAAAGAAUGAAGAGACUCUGACAAAUAUUGGUAGUGCACGCUUUCACCGGUUCCGAAUCAUCACUCCGUCGUUCACGUGGCAGCCAACCUGAUUUAGCACCGACGUGAAGAAGCCGCCUCCGUCGACUCUCGCAUCCAUCGAUGGCGGAGAAAACGGCAGGAUGACGUCCCUGAGCGUCACCAUGCCCUCGAGUCGCCCAGCAUCGCCGUCCAAAAAGCCGCUCUCCCUCAUCGAAGCGGCCAUGAUCUCCAUGGUUUUCUUGAGGCUGUCGGACUUCCGGAGUACUGCUGGGUUGCUCAACCGAAGAAACCUCGCGUUCUUCAUCCUUAGAAGACCAGCUGGGGGAGCCUCCGUUUCUGUGUAUCGAUUUCUGCUCUGUUCACUCGCAGCAUAUCGAACCUUAAUGAAUUCUUCGACUGCAAACGUCCUGCAAGAGUCCUGAACUUUAAUUACCAGCUUUCUUCUUCUGAGCAGUGAACAACUAUUUUGUCUCAGGGGAGAUCAUCAACUUACUUCCUGCGGAUGAACAAGGAAUCGUCCUCCAAAAGGAGAUAAAUAUCCGAUCGCCUCACACAUCCGAGCAGCGUUCCAGACCUUCGAUCCACCACCAGCACUCCAUCAAGUUGCUUAUCCCACAGUACGUGCACGGCAUCUGCUAAACUUUGAUCCGAGAAGACCGAAACGACUCCAGCAGCAUUCAUCAACCUACGACAGCAACAUUAAGUUAGUUCACGUCGCUUUGGUACAUUGCUAUGGUAGCAUUGUGUUGACUACCGGUAUUCUGAGAGGGAUUUCUCUGCAAUCUCAUCAAACCAUUCGAGUCCACUCGACUGAAGAAGCAACUGAAUCACUGCAUGCUAGAAAACAAUGAAUACAUAUUAUUUUCAGAACGCGGAUAUCUGAAACAUAUACUCAACAAGUGUAGUGACUCACAUACGAUUGAUUACCUGAGUAAUAAACCCAACUAUGCUAGAGUUGGAUGACUCGAUGACUGGUAUGACAUUUAACUUGUGAUGCUUUGUGAAAAGCAGCAGCACAUGAAAGAGUGUGUCAUCCUCAUGGGCAGGGAAGAAGGGUUCCCAUAAGAAUGACUUGGUCAGCUCUAUGAUCUGCAUGAAAUAGUUUUUAGGUACACACGCUGCACAUUUGAUGCUCGUUCAAACAAAUAUACACAUAUUUAUCGAAGACAAUUGACUGUCAAGAUUUGUACAAGAGAAUGCUUUGAUUUUUUUUCCUUUAGAGAACAAAAGAAUACCUUAGUCUGUCCGAUCUGAUAGUACUUCUCUAGCGUAUCAAAGAACCCAUGGUUGCCUUCCUUUGAUGCAGCUCUCGCUUUGUCAAUUUCCUGGUAACAUACGCAUGUAUACGAAAGGAACCUAAUAUGUUCUUCUUCCUCUGUGAUUUAGAGGCUCAAAACGACACUACGAUCACUCACCUCAAGCGACCAUAAAACCAUACUCGAGAACUCGAUGAAGCCAAUAUCUCGAUCCAUAGACUUCUUGGACGCAGAAUCCGCAGGAUCAAUGAUCGCUGCGCCGGAUACAUUGUUCUCAUACAGCAACCGGAUUGCAUGCGCCACGCAGUCGUCAAAUUUUACCUCCAAAACUGUGAUAACAUUAACAUACCACACUGGUGAUUCCUCCGACUUAUUCGUCAAACAAAGCUUCAGAAAGAAAGCAGAAACCGGAUCAAUAGCAUCAGCCAUUUUGCUCGGAUUAAGACACGGAUUCUUAGAUGCUGUCAUCUUCCUCUUCUUCAAAUACUAGUGUUUCCAUUAAACAUGUGAAGGAUGCAAGGAAGACGAAGGGCAUGCAAGCGCACCUGGCACGGAACCACGAAUACCAGGGAUGGCAGUGAUAGGAAUGUGAUCGAAAAAGGACUGCAGCACAGAGCCGGAGUCUUCUUUUCGAUCGCUGUCGCCGUCUCCUCUUGCUCCUGGAGGCAUGGCCUCUCCCUUCCUUCCGACCACCGCCGAAGUGCUUCAUGUUAUCACUUCCACAGCCCCUCGGAUCCAAAACACAUCCGUGUGUGCGCGUUGGUGCAGCCCGGCACUAUCGCCGAAGCCAUUAACGUGGCGGGUGGCGCAACAGCAUCAGGUCCUGCACGCAUGCUUCUUCCAACACGUGUCACGAACUCGCGUCUUUGGCUCCCCUUAAAGACCCAAUAUUGACCCAUCCAUUACGAUUUCCAGGACAACUAAUCUCCGCCGUUGAUUUGACUCAAGAUUAGAACUCAUUCCUUCCUCUCUUGUACAAAUCGAAUGAUUUAUUAUUCUAACAGAGAAUUCAGAUGCGGAUGAAAGCAGCGGAUCAAACAAAAGCCGGUCUCAACGCAUGACGUGUGCCCCAGCAGAAGCAGAGGCGGUGGUUGAUGGGAUGGGCGUCUCCUCAUCCUGGCUCAGAGGCGGAGGCCGUCGCCGCGUGGGGCCGUCCGGCUCCUGAUAGGAGGGCCGCUAUCCUAGCGGACUCGAUCAGAUACGCGUCAUCCGCCGUCAUUCGUAUUCCCCUUCUCUCUCCCUCGUUCUCGUGGAAGCUGAGAUCAAGCAGAAGACGAAGAAGAAGAAGAACAAUGCAAGAGAAGGAAGACAUUUUUUAUAUCCUUCUCCGCAGGGGUAAAUCCCGAGCUUAUUUAUUUGAUUUGGUCAUCGGAUCUCGUUUUUCCUUUUUUCUCGUGAUUUGUUUCGGAAGAGGAAUCAUGACAUCUCACUUUGUUCCAAUCGUGUCAUGAUGCCGGAACCUGGGUUUUGUCAGCCCUAAUCGAUCCGACGCUGGCUUCUUUUUUUCGGCAUCGCCCAUUAUUAGAUUGAUUUCGUGUUCAAACUCAAGAAAGAGAUCUUGUUUCGAUGGAUUUGGAUGUGAAUUUGUACGAUUUGAUUUAAGGUUUCCAUCCAUUCUGUCGAAGUUCGCACUGAUUUAGAGGUUUGGGGAUUCUGGUCCCUGAAAUGCUGAAUGCUAUAGCCAUGACGGUGAUUCGUUGACAUCGCGAUGAACUUUCUUGACGCACUUAUUAUUGGAGUGUUUUUAUGUAUUACUCAAGAAAUAGAAUGAUUUAUAAGGCUAGAUGUAUUACUAUUAUUAUAUAGCCAUGUUAGUUUAUAUCUUUUUUCCUACAUAUGCAAUGCAUAUGCUUUAUUCAUUCAUAGGCAUGCCUUUUAAUUCAAUGAGUGAGACAGCUUAAUUUUGUCUCACAUUAGAAGUGAGAGGAUAAGAGUGAUCGCAUCCAAUAUUAAUGAGUCUAUCAUCAUUAAUGUUGCUUAAGCAUUUUGAGCAGCCUUUUAAUUAAUUAGUCCCAUGUGUAUUGGAUAAGUACUCUUAUGAGGUCACUUCAAUGAAACUUGCAUAUUCAUGCAAAUAUUGAUGUUACUUGUGAAGCGCAUUGAGUUGGUAGCUAAGAGCUUAUAGUUCAUUGUAGUUGUCCUUUCUUUUGUUUGUUCUUUCUAUAGAUGAUCCCUACAUUUUAUUCUUACCUUUCCUUUGGAAUCAAUGAAUGUGAUGUCUUGAUUUAGCCUCACUAUGUGGUUGUCUUUUCUUUUGUUUCUUUUUUCUAUGGAUGAUCCCCACAUUUAAUUUUUACUUUGUCUUUGGAAUCAGUGAGUGUGAUAUCUUGAUUUAGUCUCACAUCGAAAGUGAAAAAAUAAAUAUAAUAAUAUCUAAUGCUUCAUCAGCCUACUACCUUAAACUUGUGAUUAAGUAUUUUGGAUCAUUGGUUUAAGUUAACGGUUGGUAAGAGCUGUGACUUCCCCAUGCAAAGAAUCCCAUGUCGAAUUUGCAUUCCUUGAUGACGUGACAAAUUUUUGACAUUUGUUCAAUUUGUUGUCAUGUUGAGAAGAAUGUGAUUUAUAAAGUUAAGCCAAUGAACAAGUGUAUGAGAGUAAUACUUGGUGUCAGAUAUUCUUGCUAUCCAUGGAUUCUACUUAUAAUUACUACUAAAUGACAUUUAUCUGAAAGACAAUUUGAUUGGCUAUAUAUAUUAUGCAUGUUAUUUUUUAAUUCCUCCUGAUGCAUUAACUUUUGUCCGCGACGUGGUUCUGGUAAUCUUUUCCCUGUUAUUCUCCUUUCUACUGAUUUUGUCUUAUUUUUACUAAAUUAUCCUGUGAGUCUUCAAGUCAUCGUUUCUAGCUAUUGUCAUCAUCACAAUUUAUUUUGCCUGCCUAUUCUGUUGCAGCUUCUUAAGAUUCAUCAGAGCUCAUCAUGUCGGACAUGGAUGUCGAUAGACAUAUGAACCAAAAUGCCGAGACUGCCGUGCCAUCAUCUCAGCAGGAGGUGAUAUUUAAACUUAUACUUUUAUUUUAUAAAUUUCUAUUACGUUAAAUGAUGUACGUGACGUUCACACGUGGAUUCGAACUUGAAACCUCCAUAUGUCUCAACAAAGACAACUUGCACCUUUUAUUUAUUCCUUCCUUCCAUUUUAAGCACUCGCUAAUGGUAUUCAAAUUAUAUAUGCACAGCUUUUAAGAAUGUCUUGACGAAGAUUUAUCAGCUCGUGAUUAUGUAUAAUUAACUUGUUGCAGGAGGAAGCAGUCAAGAAAAAAGAUGGAGGAAUUUUACCCAAAAAGACCACCAGUCAUAUCCGAGGUAAUCAGAACCAUUUCUGUUGCAAGUUUCAUUGCUGUUAUAAAUAUUCUUUCUUAAGCGUGCUGAACGUUGUAAAAGUGGAAACAAAUACUACGGUAGGACCAUGAACUGGCUUACUUUGAUUCAGCAGGCUGGGCUUUAGGGAAGGUAUCAUUAUCAGCUCAUACAAAACUAUUUCGAGCUAAGACGCUAUGAGGCCACUUCCUCUGGUUCGACUAGAUUGUGAAAUUACAGCAGGGGGAACUUGCUCAUAAGCCCAAAGAAUCCCUUGAGGCACUCCGACCAAAGUUGCAGGUAUGCCUUCCUCUCCUUGUCCCUGUGUAGUCUCACACCAUUCUGUUAUCUGCUCCCACAUUUGUAUGCCUUCCUCUCCUUGUCCACUUUAUCUUCGCAAGUGCCAUGCAAACCUGCUUUUGUUUGUAAUGUGUUUACAGUGUGCAUACAGUCAAAAAAGUUCCUUCAUAAUUGAUUUUGUGUCUUUUCUUUUUUUUUUUUAGCCCACACCACAUCUGCAAGUACAUUCUCGUCGCACAGCCUAUGCACACUCUGAUAGCAAAGGUACGGUCAGUUGUUUGGCUUCUGUUCUUCAGAAACCAGUUAAUGUCAUCUCUUUCUUUUUCAACCUGUAGAGGGAGGAAGUGCUACUUCAGAGGAUACCUAGGAUGACAAUGUUAACGAUCAGUGAUUUCAAGUUGCCGAUUCCGUCGACCUUGUCUCUGACAGCUACCUUCUUCCUGUAUGAGAAAAGAAGUUUGAGAUCAUUUUCAGAUUCCACAAAUAAAGAACGAGGGUGGUUUUGUAUUUGUACGAAAGGUUACCAUUGUGACAUAAUUUUGUAGUGCACAAAUAGAUGCUUCUUUAUGCUAUAAUUAUCAUCUAUUAUGAUGAUAGAUUUUGAUUGUCCGAUAUAUCAAAGGUUUCAAAACCAAUUUGGUUCAAUAUUCCAAGGUUUCAAAACUAAUUUGGGUUUAAUAUUCGAACAUGAGCUUUGGUGUUCUAAAGUAACUUGACGUUUAGGACUCUUGCAAAAUUAUGUUGGUAUAUACCCAACAAAUGUUCUUUCAUUAAGUGGAUUUUAGAGGUUUGGAAAUAUGUUCCACCAUAAUUUAGUUCGUAUACUCUAAUUGUUGAACUCUUUGGAUUUGGAUUAGGUCGGAAGAUCCUCCCGAAACAAUUUGAGAAUGAGUGAGUAAAUUCAAAAGAGAUUUUUUUUUUCAACCAUGGUCGUGGUCUACGUAUGAUUAUCCUUUCGUAUGAUCCAAAUAUUCUUAUUCUAGCAUCAAUAUGUUAGGGAAUAUCAUGAUUUCUUAUACUAGAAUAGUGAAGGAUUCGAAAAAUUAAGGACUAUUUUAAAAUAAUUUUUGACAAAGUAACGUAGCUAAGAGGAUCUUAUAGUAAUUUUUGGUAACUAACUAGAAUAAAUGGACACUAAUUCAUUGGGCAAAUACACAAAAUCAUCAAACGUCACUCGGAUCUAAAAAGUCAAUCGAAACAUUCAAGCAGUGUGUUGGGUUAAUAAAAUAGGUAUUGUAUCAAGUUGAUUAGGAAGAGCCAUUGGAUCAUCCACAUGCUCAAUUGUGGGGUAUAUACGUAUGUUGGUAGUGUAGUACUGCUUACAACAUCAACUAAUUUGUCCCCGUCGUUCUCUUUUCUCCCAAACACUUUUUGACUUCCGUAAAUGCAAUUAGCUUCGAAUGGAAUUGCACAAGCAUUCACAUGGACUACCACUCCAACAGAAAUCCAAUCCACACAUCAUUCCCCAUGCAACAAGUCACGUCAGCAGCAAACUCCUUAGCUAAAAAGCAGCAAGUUCUUCAUCCAUAGAUACGAUAUACAUCGAGACGUAUUCCAAUUUUGAUAUGUACUGAUGGUACAAUAAAAUUAUCAAAAAUAACUUCAUUUUUUUAAAAAAAUAAAAAAAUUGAAUCAGAGUUUUUAAAUUAAAAAUAAAUAUAAAUUUAGUAUGAUUUUAAUAAAAAUAAUCUAAAUUAAAAAAAUAAUGACACAUCAUUUUCAAGUUUUGCGAGAGUACUUUUAUAAUAUGUUCCGGAUCUUCUUUCGAUUAAUAUUAAAUUAUUUUUAAAAUUAUUUUUAAAAUAAUUUAAAUAAUCAAUCGAUGGAUAUAUCUAAUUUUAUCAUUAAAAAAUGAUGAGACUCUACAAGCGAUGGAUUGAGAUCCUUCAUUCUAAAUAUCUAUAUAUCAGUUUGAUAUAUUUAUCGGAUCCAAUCCUAAAAAUUAUCUCAUGACAUAAUAUACUAAUAUACCAUAUGUCUUUGGUGCAUUGAUGUGAUGAUGAUCAUAGUUUGAUCGUUGUGAAUCACAUGUUCGAGAUGAUUGGUGAUGCAAGGACGAUUAUGACAUAUAUUAGUGCGAAGCAUGAAGAAUGUCAAACCUUCUAUUUUCAUCAUUAAUUUACUUCUUUGUAUCAUAAGAUUGAUCGCUAUACUACUAUUGAUCGUAAGAUUCUUCAUAAUAUGACAGUUGUGAAUACGAUAAGCUUCACUCUAUGUCUAUGUCAUGUAAGCUCUGUUGCAUCUGCUCAAAAUCAUUCAUUAUUUUCUCCUUCCUUUUUUGUGUAUAAACUUUUGACUAAUACCUCAUUAAACUCUAUAAUCUAAAUCUUGAGUGACAUGUGUAAAAUACUAUUCCUCGAUCCACACACCACCCUCUGCUCAAAAUCAUUCAUUAUUUUCUCCUUCCUUUUUUGUGUAUAAACUUUUGACUAAUACCUCAUUAAACUCUAUAAUCUAAAUCUUGAGUGACAUGUGUAAAAUACUAUUCCUCGAUCCACACACCACCCUCAAAAUUAUGUAGACAAGACCAUCAACUCCUUGGUGUCAUCGCUAUCGAUCAAACCACUACUAUCCAUAUUAUUGUUAUAUCUCUAGACCAAGCGAGCCGUUAAAUAUGAUUAAGAAGAUAUCUCAUCGCUCGACUGAUUGUUUGUUCGAGCCGUUAAAUAUGACCAUGGCAAAUUCAAACGAUCAAAUUGAUUGUUUGAAAUAAAGUAAUCUGAACUCUUGAUAAAUUAAUAGAUAUCACGUGGCAGAGGAUGGUCCACAUGCUAAUCCCCUUUCGGAUCGGAUCAGUUGGUAUCAUUUGUGCCAAAUGGUACAGUUCAAUACGACGAACCGUGCUUACAAUCUAAGUCAAAGAGCAAACCAGUGAACAUAAACAAGCAUUGUCUCAUAGCUAUAACGGAGAUUAAAAUAUUCAGGCAUAAGCGUACCAUCCAAGUAGAGCAAAAAGUGAAGAAGAAUUUUAACAGAGAAAAAAAAAAUGGCAACCGUACCAAAGAAUUAGCAACCUUUGAAGAGCAAUCGGAGCAUAAUCAUCACAUUCCCUAUCGAUGAUGCAUCAUUACAGUAUCAGACUAAAAGAUGCAAAGGUCAGAUGAUGCACACUAUACCAACAGCAAGCAGCAGGGCAAACAAUCGGGUUGCAGCAGCACUACCUACUCCACAAGUUAAAAUAGCUGGAACAGUGUAUUAGAGUGAAUAACAUUGAAAUAUCCUCUCUUUCUUGGGAAGGACCAGUGAGAAGAUAAUACGCCAAUCUUCACCUUGGAGAAUAGGAAAUGACAAAAGUAUCAUGUAAUCUUGUCUGAUGUGAACUUGUAAAUUAUCAGACAAACCAGCUUAACGAGAGUAUCAUCACUCCAUAUAGUGCUCUUUUAAACAUCACAUACUAUAUAUAUCAGACAAUGUUUAACACGGUCAACCAUAAAAGCUGGUUAAAUCAACAAAGUUUCUUCAAACAACUACAGUUCACUAAAGCUAAUCAAAUAAAGGAAUUGUGCAUGUGUUAUUGAUCCUUGGAGCAAAAUGAAAGUUUUAUUCGAUGCAAAAAGCCAGUUGUGUUCAUAAUGUCAUUAAUUGCAUGUAGUGAUGUCUAUAACGAAGCAAUGAUUUUAACAAUAAGUAUAUCCUGCUGCUUAGUUUCUCCAUUUACCACUCCAAAUGUCGAGAGGAAACAUAUAAGAACAGAAGAAAAAAUAAGAUACAAAAAACAAAUAAUAAAUGCCAGGUAAUAGAAAUGCCAAAUCCACUUUGUUUUACAAACAAAUGGAAAAAUUCAGAUUGUGGAAUCCUCAAACCGAGACAAAUAUUUUUUUAGUUGUGGCAACUAAACCAUGAUACUGUGAUUUGUACUAUAUUCUAAUAUGGUAAACAUUGUCUAUUCAAAGGAUUUCAAGUGUUACUCAGUAUUGAACAUUGUCUCAUCAUUGCGGGUCAUAAAAAGAUGAGGAUAUUGUGGACGAUAAACAUUGUCUAUUCAAAGGAUUUCAAGUGUUACUCAGUAUUGAACAUUGUCUCAUCAUUGCGAGUCAUAAAAAGAUGAGGAUAUUGUGGACGAUGAACAAAAUAAAGGUUUGACUUAUGUUUGUACAUAACUUCUUUGGUUAAAUUAUAAAUAAAAUCUAAAACUGAAAACACAUAUAUAGCUAGGUUUCGCUUUGGCCGCAAAAAGGUACAGAAUCAAACCAAACUGCAACCAUCUUUUUUGAAUUUCCACAGACCAAACUGUCUUUCUUAAGGUCAAAAACAAAUCCAAACAGCAUUUUUAAAUUUGCUUUGGUUUGGUAGGUUAGACCAUGAGAUGAAAUAAUAUGUUGUAUCGAGGGGGAAUCUAGCGAGAAGUAUUGGCAAUCUGCUGUACACACUCUUCUUCAAAAUGGAGAUAAGAACUUCUAAUAUAACCUUAACUGGGUAUUCCAAAUUACAAAGAAAAUGAAAAAGAAGCAAACAAUUUUUCUUACCUAAAGCAUACGGUUUGAUCAAACAAAUUUAGCUGGCUUCCUUAAGAGACUAAAAUAGCAAGAAGUUAAUUCAUUAUAUCCAGGACUUAUAUCCCAACUCAAACAGGACACCGAACACAUUGUCCGUUACUCUUUUAUCAGCAAAAGGAACAGCUAUAAUGUUUAAGUCCUUCAAAAGUCCUUAAACAGAACAUGAUGAUCACCCCAAUAAAACAAAUAUGGUUAUCAAGAUCUCUAAUAAAAAAGAUAACAAGAAGAUCUCCCCAACAAUUGUUAGAAUAACAACAUUAAACUAGUGAAAUCAUAUCUCACAAAUCAUAUAUUUCAUUGUGAUUUACACAUCAUCUUCAUGAAGUUCAAAAAAAAGAUGCAUCAUGUGGGAGAUGUGUGAGAAGAAAAGUAAUCAGACCAUAAAUGUACCAAUAAUCAGGCUGACUCAAAGUUAAUCCAAACUUAUCAGUUUUAGAAUAGCAAUGUGUACAAGAACCAACAAAUACAUGCCACAAGCAAUGACAGCAGACAUCCGUUUGUAUAUCGAAUUAUUGAAAAUAAGCUUGAUAUAACAGCAAAUGUUCAGUCAACGAUAGAACAAACAAGCAUUCUGGCCAAAAAUUAUCCAUAAUGUAAACAACAACACUUCUUAAACCUUUCAGCCUACUAAUCAAGCAUGCAAAAAAGAAAAAAUCUCACAAGUUCAAAUUUUGAAGAUAGAGAACAACAUAGUCCUCAUGAUCUAAUUGUUAUUUAUGACAAAGAUGAAAAAUAUAGAUGAAGAAUGCAAGUACCCUUCAGACCACAGAAGCAUCAGUAUCCUUCUCACCCUCUGCUGCUCCAGCUGCAGCAUUGGCCUCUGCUUCCGCUACUUCAUCGACAGCAUUUGCUGUGGCAUCUUUCUCCGCAGGUGGCUGCACCUGCUCCUCCUCUGGCAGUGGCUCCUCCACAUAUUCAUUCUCAAAUGCAUCCGGCGGCACCUCAUAUAUCCUUACCUGAGGCUUUGCUGGAUCCUUCACAAGCACAUAUUUUCCCUCGUUAAGCUUCAUGCAAAGGUCCACGAUCGAUUUCACAAUCCCCCACAUGUUAGAGGUAUUAAGGUUGAUCUGAGCAGCAAAAUCUUUCAGCUUGUAGCCAAUGACACUCAAAAUAACAUGGUUGAAGUGAUCCCGGGGAUGGACUCUGGAGACAUAGCCCAGUUUCAUCAAAUCAGCGCCCGCAAGGAGGGCUUGAGCUGUCCACUUGGCCAGCUUGUUGGCGUUGUUUUUGAGUUCGGUAGCAAGAACUGCUCCCCUCUGCGUCUCAAGUUUCUGCCUCCAGUCUACCCCAGAAUAUUUUGGAUCGAACUCGUUGAGGGCGUUAAGGGUCAUGAAGGUUUGCUGUCCCUUGACCUCAGUCACACUGUGCACCUCACAUCUUGCAACGAGAUGAGUGUUCUCGUCCAGCUUCCAACGGCGGUAUCGGUAGGCAACGGAGGCGACCUCCUCGCCUUCAGAAGCAAACGGGUUGGGCUCAUCAAAGGUAACCUUGUUGCCAUCACGUACAAGGACCUGCUGGGAGAAGUUCUGGUUGAUGUAAGUGGCCUCCAUGGCGAGGGAGUACGCCGAGUUUAUGUCCUCCUUGGCCUCGGGUAGCGGAUCCUGCGAGGUCUCGUUGACGGAGAGGAGGUCGAGUUGAGACCCGUCGCGCUUGUCAAAGAAAAGCUUGUUGCCAACCCGCUGGAUGACAAUGUCCCAAGAGGACACGGAACGCGGGGCGCACAUGAGGGCAGAGAGGAUGGCGUCGGUGGCGAAAACGGUGGCCUUGUCGUCGGCGGCGAGGCGGCGGAUGACCGGGUCGUCGGUGGUGGUGAUCUUGAAGAAGUUGCGGGACUUGAAGCGCUCCAGACGGCGCUCGUUCUUGGGGUUAACGCGAUCGAAGUUGCGGUCGUAGAAUUCGAGCGCGCCACAGAUGAGGAGGUCCUCCGGCGGAUCUGGAACAGCGAAGGAAAGCUUGGAGAAGGUGGAGAAGGGGAUCUGGUCGAGCAUGGUCCAUUCCGGCUGGAUAUCGACGGAGGACUUUUGGUUGGGGGUGUCGCGACGAGAGCCGGCAAAGCCGGGACCGCCGGCAUACGCGGAGCGGCGGUGCAUAUUGUAGAGACGGUCGCGGCGGGCGCGCUCCUUCUCGGCCUCGCGCUUCUUGGCCUCGACCUCCUCGUCGCGACGCUGCGGCAGCUGUGGGCGCUGCUGGAAGCGCCAGCGGGGGCCGAACUUGGGGCGAGGAGGAGGCUUGCCGUCUACGAGGCGGAAGGAGGAGUCAUCUGCGGCGGCGCCGGAAAGGGCGGACGACUCAUCGAGCGCGAAGUCGAAGACGGCGUCGCGGGUGCCACCGGCAGAUCGGGAGGCGUUCGCGCUAAAGUUGGGGUUACGGCUCCAGUCGGCAACGCGGCCGAGCUUCUCGGAGCGUGAGAAAGGGGCGAAGGGUAUGUUAGCCGGGUGGGCGGCGCCGUCCUGCUUGACGAGGAGAGGCCCGACGGGCGUCUCCGGCGGACCCCAGCCGUCAGGGUUGAAGGGUACAUUCCCCACGUCGAAGCCCAUCUACACUCUAGGGUUUCCGAUGCGAUCCGCGGUGGUGAGCCGAACAAGACAACACAAGGUUGCUUGUUUAGGUUCCCUAUUCACGGCCUUAUAAAGGCAUCGCUUUAGCGAUCGGGAUUAUCUGAUGGUUUCGGAUUCAGCGUCCGUUGGUGACGGUUUGAUCUUAAUCCAACGGUCGGAUGGCCACCCGCAAAACGUAAACAGCCCAUUGGGCCGGUCUAAGUGCUCCUAUGGGCCGGCCGAAAUCAAACCAGUUGUAGGUUUUACUUGCAGUCGCAUAUUGUCAGGUCUACAAGUUCUGCAAACAGUUCUUUAGCGGAAGAUGAUGCAGUUGCAUCUUUGUUUAACUUAAUUAAUGCACAUAUCAAGUAUUCAACUUGACCUUUGUUAAAGAUCGUUGGUGCAGAAAAUCCAGCUCUUGUAUCAGCAGCAGAGCAAAUUUUUGGUGCUGGUGGAAAGAGGCUGCCACCAGCUUUAGUUUUCCUGGUGUCAAGGGCCACUGCUCAAAUAUUUGGUGUUAAGUCAUCUCAUUUGCCUUCUGCAGUAAUCUAUGGUUGGAACACCAUGGAAGAUUUAUUGAUUUAAUGCUUAAAACAGGGAACUGACUGUAGAACACCGACGUUUAGCAGAGAUAAUCGAGAUGAUUCAUACUGCAAGUUUAAUCCAUGAUGAUGUGCUAGAUGACAGUGGGAUGCCACGAAGUAGAAAUCUUAGAUAGUGAUCGGGAAAAUAUCGCAGUGGGAUGCCACGAGGUAGAAAUCUUACAUAGUGAUCGGGAAAAUAUAGGGGAUCACCGGUUAUUUGAUAUGUAGCACGGUUAUAAGCUAUUCUCUCUCUGUUUAGACAAGAGAAAGUUUUCGACUUUUCCCUUAAAAAAUAUUUCAUAGAAUAUUCUCACCUUAUCUCAUACAAAAAAUUAUUUCUAACACAAUAAUCAAGAUCAAUAUAUACAUAUAUAUAUAUAUAUAUAUAUAUAUAUAUAUAUAUAUAUAUAUAUAUACUAUUUUUGUCUGAGACAUUAGGUUAAAAAGGUUGGGUCAGAAAACCCUCUCUAAGUUAACGCUUCCAUCUUAGGGAUACUUCUUUCCGUUGCAACCCACGUGAGAUAUCUCCAUCAUCAUUCGUAAAAAAAAAAAUGAUACCUCAGUCUUAUGAAUCAAGAGGAUUAGAAUAACAAUUAUGGUUCAUGUGAUAAUUUCUUUUCAGAAACAUAAAAUGAGACGCGAGUGGCUGUAACAGCGGGAGAUUUCUUGUUUGCACAAUCUAGAGAAAAUGGAAGUUAUAAAGCUCACAAGUAUGCCAGGCAGAUUUCACUAAUUAUUUGUUAGCUACGAACAAAUAUCAUGAUUUCUUGGGAAGUUGCUAUCUCGCCGCAGGCUAUCUAGGAUUCGGCCGACUAUGAGAUUAAGCAAGCAUCAAGGCUCUUCAACAGUGACCUUAUUCUUAAGUAUUUGCAGCUUUAACCGCCGCAAGCUCAAGGUCUAGGUGAACAAAUGUUUUGAGUAGGGAAGAACAUCGGCAUCUAUUUCCAGGUAGUUGAUGAAGAGAAAUUAUUAUCUAAUCCAAGUUCAGCCAAGAUAGUUUGUUGGCCACCACGAUUGAAUCAACUCUCAAGUGUGCCGAGGGCUCCAUAGAGCCAGAGGGCAGAGAUGGCCAUCGAGAAGCAGAUAUGCCUACCUGAGAGACUGAAGACUCGAUAUGCAUGUAUUCUUUGAUCAAUAAAACAUUAUUAUUAUUAUUCGACAUGCUGUUGAAGACGAGAGAGAAGGCAACAAUAAAACAAGAAAAGAAAACCAGAAACCCUGUAAGAACUGGACUCCAAGAAAGGUACCACUAGGAAGCAAACCAAUAACAAGGAAACAAUCCAAGGGAAGAACAAUGACGACCAAAUUCCUAUAUGACCAUAUCGAGGUACAAAAGAAUUCAUACAAAAAAGGCACGUCCAGGCCAAAGAUCUAGGACUUCAGUCUCAAAAAUCCACAUCCUCAUACAACGUUAUGAAACAGAUCAAAAUUGAUUUGAUGGUAAAACAAAACAGUGGCGACUGACAACAGCAUAAAAAUGGCAUUUAUCAAGUAACAAGCACAUUAAAUUGAUAAUUAGAUGUAGGCACGUGCAUUUGCCAUUAACCACAAGAGAAGGUAAAUGGAACUUAAUGCAAACAGCAUAAUGCCAAUAGAUUUAGGCAACAGGGAAAAAAAGGAAACCAAACAAGUCUUGGUAACCUCGGCAAAGUUGCCCUACAAAACUGAAUCAGUAGUUUCUUUACGAUUAUAUUCAUUAAAUGUAAGCGAUGUGGUUUGGCCAUAACUGGAAAUCAGUCAGUUAAAUUUGCAAGAUAAAACUAGCAAACUGAAUUCUAAAAUAUGAAGUUUCCAAUAGUAGUAAUGCAAACCCAAAUAUUGAAGCACAAAAUUAUAGUCAAUGAAUAAAAAUACAAUUAAAAUAGGUGUUCUAAAGCAACCAUACAGAAGGAAAUAAAAUAAUACAAAAGUAUAAGAUAUUUACAGCACAGAUAAAGGGAAGACAACAAACAGUUUGACAGCAUUCACAAUGUUAAAUUUCUAGCAGUUCUCGAAACCAUCAUAUAAUCAUACAUUAGUAUGCUAGAAAAAGCUCAAAAGUAAUUCCCAGAGCAGGGGCUACCAGAGUACCAUGCAAACAGUUCAGCCUAACUAUAGAUUUUAAUUAAAUAAUAAUAAAUCAGUUCAAACUUCACCGAAAGAUACAUAUGUUGAUUUGCAAUCCAGGAUAAAAACAAUAAUUCAGGAAAUCCUCAAUGGAAGGAGCUUGUGUCAUGCAAUAUAAAAGAUCAAACAGAGCAGAUGUUCUUGGGAAGUGCUCAAUGUAAAAACAAAGACAUUUAUUGAAGAACACCUCACUAAACCACCAAAUGAUCAGCUACUCUGUUUGCUCAGCAAACAUCAUAAUACAAAUAUGCACUUUGCAGUACCACUUUAUCAAACAUGUUUCUCAUUCAAAGUUUAGUCUACAUCCUUGUGCUCAUAACCUCAACUUUUUCAAUCAUCCAUUUACUAAAACUAAUACACCAUCCAUCAAAUUCAGUUGAUGUAAAACAUAUCAAAAAGCGCAUGUAGCAAUCUCAAACAGUUCAGUGAGUGGCUAUGAAAAGCACCAUUAAAUGCAACAUUGAAAUCAUGUAAGCUUCCACAUCUUAUGCUACUAGAGAUUCAAAAAUAAGCAAACGCCGAAUGAAGCUACAUAAAUAAGUUUGGCCUCGAUGCCUUAUAUGUGGUUUUCAACUUCCUGGUUGGAGGCCUAACCUUCUUAAACACCAGAGGAAACUUGAUUUUUGAGUCAUGGAACUGCUUAGUACUCUCCCUCUUGCAAAGCUUAGACGGAAUUGUAGCUGUUUUAAUUAUUUGAAUACAGUGAUGCCUUACUCGAUGACGAGAGGCCAUCUCAUUAUACAUCUGCUCGACAGCACCAUUGAGAGUAGUAUCACGGUAUUCCUUGUACAUGUUGUGAUAGCCUGUUCUGCUCUGGUAUCGUAACCAGAUGCCAUAAUUCUUGAUCUUGGUGGGUUUACGCUCAAAGAUCUGAAUUUGCAUAGGUACACCAGUAAAGAGUAGGAAACAAUAAUGAUUAAAUAAUUAGCCAACACUGAAAGACAAGCAACAUAUAAAGUCACCAAACUAAAUUUCUUGCUCAAAAACCCUAUAAUCAAGAAAUUUACUAAGGCUUAUACAAGCAGAUAAAUGGCGAACAACAAGGAUUUGACCUAAUAGCUUAAUAUAGCAUGCAAAUUUCCAGUAAUUAACAAUUUUGCUUAUUAGUAAGGUAGGACACAUGAGACAAGGAGCCACUUGACAAGGCAACAUGUCAUAUUAAAUGUAAAAAAUUUGGGUUUAGCUUAUGCUUUCAAGCUUUUAAAUCUAGAUAACAAAUACAAUAGCAACACGAACAAACUGGCAAUGUGGCAUCUUCCUUAUCUAAAUAUACAAAAUACAUAUGCAUCUGUACUCAUGCCAAACGUUCAAAUAAACAAAGAAUCACUAAUAUCUCAAAGCAGACAAAUUCUAGUAUCAACUAUACUGACUGAAGGGUAGAAAAGACCAGUACCCACAUAACUGACUGUUAAAGAACUUUUUCUCUCUCCAAAGCCCUCUGCAUCCAUGGGAAUAGACUGAUAUCCAAGAGAGAAGUAUUUAUGUACUUAUAUCCUCUGAUAAAUCUUUACUACCUUGUAAGGCAUUUUGGUUCUCUACUCGCUGAUUCUCGCAUAACAAUGAUGAAGUAAAUAUUUCAUCUCGCCAUACCCCCAAUAGUAGAAAAGGAGCAGAUUUCACACAAAGGACAAAAUCUCAUACAAAAUCAGCAUCAAUAUAAGGAGCACUAUACAUUCAAGGAAAGAACUGAGAAAAGACAAAAUAAAUGAAACCUCGUUGAUUGCCAGCACUUGUCCAUUGCUCUUCUUAACCUUCUUAAGCUUCCUCAAGAAGUACCUACAUUACAUGGAAGUAGCUACAAUAUGAGAAAAAUGCUGCUCGAUAAAUCGAAAAAUGUUUGGAUCUACAGCAGGUAUAAACUUCGUGUCCCACCAAAACUUGGAUUUGGCGCGGACCUCGUUCGUUGCCCACAGUUUCAUCCGGUAGAUCUUCGGGUGCUCAUCGGCGGCCGUAGGGAGCGCCCUCCCGACCACUUGAUACUGAUGGAACUGCAAACAACCAUCAAAUAGACGAUCAAACAAAGAAUCCCACCCAAUUAUCAGAUCCACGACACUCGAAACGCCAAGAACGUAACAGGCAUCGACGAGGAGGAAAAGAUGAGAAUCAAGCAUAAAGAGACUCGGAUCGAAGAGCAAUGUAUACCGAACAGAGGAUUCGAAGACUCACCCUAAAGGCUACCAUGUCGAAGCGCCGGCGGCUGAAUAGCUUCAUCAACGAAAGUAAAAGGCUUAUUUAUAGAGAUCCACUGAACCCUAACGAACUGGGCGACCAUUGACCUGGACGAGUUAGUUUUGGGGCUCUUGUUAGCUAAACUGGGCCGGACCAACUAGUUUUGGGCCUACUCUAUCAUAAUAAUCGGUACGAACAACUCGAGAAUAUACAAAAUAGAAAAUUAAAAUAAAUAAAUUCAAAAUAAAAUAAAAUAAACGAUUAAUAUAAUACUUUUGUGAAUGAUGAAAUAAAUAAUAGUUUGGCCAAUUUACAUUUAACAGCCCGACGACGUUCGAGUGAUGCAGUCUGCCGACUUUGAGGUUUAGGUUUAGGAGGGUAAAUACGUUACAUCCUUACCUGUUCUCACUCCGAGGUGCGAGAGACGACCGAGCGAACCGUUAACGGUAGAAACAUCGGAUGGGCGGCGGCGGAGCAUCGGCCGAGACGGCGAACCCCAAGCCCUCGCCCCUCAACCCCAACUGGGCGCAGCUUCAGCAGAAGCUCAAGUCCCGCCGUCCCCCUAAACCCUCCCAUUCCGCCGACCCCGGCGCCAGAACCCUAGCGCCAUCCGUGUUGGGAAAGCGCAAGGAGAGAGCAGAGCCCUCGCCGGAGGCAUCUCCAUCCGCUUUUCUCUCUCCGACCUCCACUGACUGCAGGUUUUGUUCCUCCUGUCGCUGUUCGAAGAAACAUGGUGGCUUUUGCUCUUGCUCUCGGAAUUGUUUGUUACGUCCGCUUCCUCGAAUUACAGCCUGACGGAUGCACUGGCUAUGGACUGUGAGAUGGUCGGCGUGAGCAUCGAGGGGAGUAAGAGCGCUGUUGGAAGGGUCACGCUGGUGCUUAAUCUUUACUCUUUGCUUUCUGUCCAUUUUUUUUCCUAUUUUUGUUUGAUUGCUUAGAUGACUCCGCCUAGAAGUUCCAUGAAUUUGAUAUUAAAUAAGGAAUCGUGACUUGCAGAUAAUGACAUCAUGAUGAGUUGAUAAACAAAAUGUAGAUCAGAAAUAACUAAGUAAUUCUGUAGGAUUUCAUAUCUCAAACAACAAUCAAGUUCAUUUGACCUGAUUCUUCAAAUUAUUUAUGACAUAACUCAAUGAAAGAAUGACUAUAUAUUGCUCUUUCUACUUACAAAGAUGAUCUUCGGUGAGCAAGUAAGCAUAGGAGAGCUCAAACUUUUCCAAUGGUCAAAUUAAUACCAUAAUACUAAAACACAAGCAAGAGCUAUCAAACAUAAAAUAUAUACAACAAGAUCAACAUUAUGUUUUCCCUAGUUACUUCAGUAGGCUAUAUGGAAUCUUGUUGAACUUUGACAAGGUCAGUGUCACUGGAUAAUUUCCUCCCUUGGCAAAUAUAAUCUUAUUUGAUCUAACUUGCAUCCUGGUACAUUUAUAAAUUUACUGAUAAAGAUAUAAGUUCAAAAGUUUAGUGAAAAUUGCAGAUUACCCACUUGUUUUUGAGCUUUAUUUGCAAUCUGCUUGUUGUUUGAGAAGCAUCACUUGGUUCACUAGAGUCUCCUUCCAUUUGUUAUUCAACCUUGCCAUUACCCACCUCACAAAAAAAGAAAAAACAAAACAAAAGACAAAAAUAUACUCUCCAUGUUUUCUGGAAACUUUGCCCUUUUAAAACAAGAGUAUGUUUAUCCUUGUUGACAUACAUUUAGUAAUAAGACGUGUGAAAAAACAAAUGAAUAGGUGGACAAAGUGAUACAUUUCUGUGGGUAAAGUGCAGACGUACCUAAGCAUAGGUGAGUAAUAUGUGAUUUUCCAAGAAAAAUUAUGUCACACCAAUGUACAGUUGUACAUAAGUGCUGUGUUGAAUAUACCACUUUUUCUACAUGGAUUUUUGAUCUGCCAUUAUAGUCUCAGAAUUGUAUUUCAUAUAUAAUUAUUCUGCUCUGUUCUGUGAUAGGUGAAUUCAUGGGGUAAUGUAGUAUAUGAUGAAUAUGUUCGUCCAAUAGAGCGUAUUGUUGACUUCCGUACCAAGAUCAGUGGCAUCCGGCCCAGAAACAUGAGAAAAGGUUUGUGUCUAACUAUUAUGUCUAUUUGCAUAGCUGUUCUGGAAGUGGAUGAAACUGUCAUUCCCUAACAUUAUUUUUUGUUUAAUUAUGGCAGCAAAGGAGUUUUGGGCUGUUCAAAAACAAGUGGCUGAAUUGAUUAAAGGACGAAUACUCGUGGGUCAUGCUUUGCACAAUGACCUUAAGGUUGUGAACAAUGUAGACUUGUAAUUGUCUAUAUUAAUGUCAUAUUGUAGAAGGUGACAAUCAUAUAUAUAUUUUCUUUUACAGGUGUUGUUAUUGAGUCACCCAAAGAAGGACAUAAGGGAUACCUCAGAAUACGAGCCCUUAAGAAGGUUUGGCUUAUUUUGACUUCACAAACAUUAUCAUUAUGGAAAAGUACUUUGCAAUUAUAUUUCCAAUAAUCUCUUCUCUGAAAGAAGAAUUAUUAUAUUAGGGGUGGUCAAAAGAGGGCACUGAAGCAUCUAGCAGCUGAAAUUCUUGGUGCUAAGAUCCAGGAAAAUGAGCACUGUCCUGUGAGUAUCAACUAUGUUGAUAGUUUUUGUAGUGUUUCAGUUUUAUCAAGUUGAAAUGAUUUUUAUUCUUCACAAGCUUGGUAUAGUUCUAGUAGUUACAUUCAUCUGUUUAAUUGUUUCUAGCUCACUCCGCUUGCCUCAGUGCUUGCAGUCAUGCAUUGUUGCAUCUCUUAGCUUAUUGCUUUCAUGUACAGUUUCCUGCACCGCUGCAUGAGAUGAUUUGGAAUCAGUGCUUGCAAUCAGCUUCUGUUGCUGCAAAUUUUGAUGAUUUGGAUUUUUUUGCUGAUAUCAACAUACCAUAGGAUCACAUUAGCUGUUAUAAGUAUCUGAACAUUUAGAUUGGUUACCAUACCUCUGAUACUAUGAAUUGCACGUUUGAGUAAAGCUAGUCACUUUAGGUAUGAAUUUCCGAAACAGGAACCAUUAAGCUAUGAGGUUGGGAAUAGAUCUUCCACUCAAUAAUUUUAGUCGAAAUGGUUUUGGAUGCAAGUUUGUUUAUAUCCUCAUACCGAAAAUUAGAUAUAAGAUUUUUCUUUAUAUGGUGUACUUCAUAUAUUAAAAUAUGAGUUUGUGAUGUUUGUCUGAUAUCUAUGAUAGCUAAAAUUUCAUUUAUAGUUGAAAUGCAUUAAAGCAAGAUUCUUGUCUUGUACAACUAACAUCUAUGUUGUUCCCAAGCCAGAUAUUAAUAUUACAAUCCAAAAAGACAAAAUUGGUAAUGGAUCUAGUUCGUCUUAUCUGAUUGAGACUUGAUCAAAAGUAAAAUCUUAUCUGAAUCUGGCUCGAUAUACCCCUAUGAAUUAUUGAUCUAGCUACUUUCUUGACAUUAUUGUUUGCUUUGGGAUCCCUCCCUGUCCUAGGAUCUCAGACGUAUUGUACAAUCUUGCGUCGAUUACUCCAGUUCCAGUUGGCUGUACCUGGUCUUUUGCUGGGAUAGGCGAAUGGUGCUUAAAGAUCACCAUGGUGUUGAAUCCUAGCUUUCUAGAUGGCAGCUAGACAGUAUGUCUAUAAUCAAACCUUGUUGACUGUUUUUUAACUUUUCACAAAGAUGUUGAAUCUAUCUAUUUGCUAGAUUCGUGCAUUUUUUUAUCUGUUAUUAUGAAUUACCAUUGUGGCUCCACUAAGAGCUCGUUAACAUUCUGAGGACUAGGUUAUUGUCAUUCCCUUAUGACACUCUUGGUAAGUUGAUGAACAAUCUUCGAUGAGAUUUCUAUGUUAGCCUACGACGCAUUUAUGUACCUGAAAAUUUGAGGCUUUUGUAAACUUAACUAAUUUGAACUUUGUGAACUUUAACUAGAUUGAGGAUGCCCGAGCUGCAAUGUUUAUCUAUAACAAAUACAAGAAAGCCUGGGAGAAGAGCAUGAAGAAAAAUUUCAUGUUCAAAGAAAAGCUCAACAAACGGAAGAAGAAACAGAUGGAGGCAAAAAAAAACUGAUGUUCCAACAACCAUUUAAUGGAAAGAGAAUUUGUUUUCUGCUCAUCGGAGUCUCCACACCUGGCCUUAUUCACAUUCGAGCAUGAUCCUGAGCGCCAUAUAGUGCAGAAUCAGUGAUUGUAAUUAACUAGAUCUCAAACUUCAGAGUUUUGGUGAGAGUCUUGGAAUCAUAUAAAAAUGUGAAUACCUGGAGAUACAUGUAGGUGAAUCUGAGAAGAAAUAGUUCUUCAAAGUGGAUUUGUUGAGUACGUAUGGCCAGUCUUCUUUUUUCACCUAUUUGAAGUAGAGUGAAUUAUGUUUGUUGUGGUUGCCGCAGGCAACUCAUCGAGUUCUUUUCAUUUUAUUACUUGUUUAUUAUUUUGUUGAGUAUGUAUCAUCGAUCAACAUCACCAACUCAUCGAAAUUAUGUCAGGGCAUCCAUCAUUUUUGUUGAGUCGUCAACGUGAUGCAUUUGAAGCUGACACAGCAGCUACAAAGAAAGCAACUGUGCACCAACAGCUGCCUCUUAGAUUUUAUUCCUUCCAAUACUUUCCCCCAACUGACAUAAUUUGUUGAUAUCGGAAUUAAAAAAAUCACCGUAUUUUAAAAGGUUUGAUAAACAACCAAAUUGUGUGUAAGAUAAUAAACUUCUGAUAAAAAUUGUGACUACUUACAAAUAAAUAUAAAAGCGUAAAUAUUCUGUUUUAAUGAUUGAUUGCGUUUCGGCUGUUGUCAUUAUAUGAAAUACUCAGCCAAAUAACGUCCGACAAGUUCUAAACAUGGGUUGGUUAGGCGUUAUUUCGUUGAAAUAGUUCUCGAUAAUUUACUACACAAUAGCACAAAACAAAACUUAGCCAAGACUUACCUGAGACAUUGUGUUCCAUUGCAUGAUUGUUCAUUGGAUUUACAAGUAGUAGUCAGAAUUAGUCUCAGGAAUAAUACAGCGGACGAAACAAGAACAGCAUCAAGCACUAGAUCACAAAAACAGAGAAGAAACCAUAAGAAAAAAGUGAAAGGAAGAUGUGGUGCAGGUACGUACAGUAACACCCGCUCAUGGCACAGUGAGGGAAGAGCAAGAACGAAUGGUUGGAAUAGAUGUAACAGAGCACUCUUACCACGUCCAAUUCCACCUCAGAAUAGAUAACCGGCAAUGGCUACAAGCCCUCCGCCCACAAGGAGGCUCCAUCCGACACCCCUCCCAUGCAAGCCAGCUCCGCUGGUCCCUUCCUCCGCGGCUGUCGAAUUCCCAGACGGGCUCUUCCCACCGGCCGUCGAGGGCACCGACGCCGGCGGCUUUGGCCCGAAGAGGUCGUACGGCAACAGCACCUUGUCCAGCGAGUACACCGCCAGCUGCUGGGAGUCGUCGAAGAUCUUUUUGGCGAUGCGGGUGUGGACGAUUCCCGUGGAGAUGUUCACCUGCAUGUUGCUGUCGGUGGUGACGUUGAUGGUGUACGCCCCGUGGUUGCCGGACGCCUGGGUGCGCACCGGGUUGCUCGCCGUCUCGAACAUGUCCAGGCUGUAGUAGCGCGGCAGGAUGUGGUAGAGCACUAGCCCCACCUGGUCCUGCUGGACGAGGGUGUUGAGGGUGCCGGACUUGAGGCUCUUGAAGGCGGCGUCAGUGGGGGCGAAGAUGGUGAAGGCGUUGGCCAGGUCGUUGAGCUCCUCGUUGAUCUGGAUGUCUACCUGGGUUUCGCGGAGGAGGUGGAUGAAGGUGUUGUAGUUGGUGCCGUUGACGAGGAUGGCGGUGAUGUUGAGAGGCUCGGGUGCCGGCUCGGGGGCGGCCGGUUGGGCUCCGUCGAGGGGGGUGGUGAGGGCGAGCAAUGCGGCUAAAGUCAUCACCAUGAGAAGCGGGCAAGUGGCCAUGGCGGUGGUGAUGUUGAUGGUGGCGGUGGUGGAGGUGGAGGAGGAAGACCUUGCUUAUUUAUGGCUGGAAGCAAGAGUGCGGAAGGUGGUUGGAAUGAGCUGGCUUUUGGAAUCCAGUGGAGGAGGGAGUUCUGUAGUUCUCCAACCAUUUAGAUGUGCCAUUUAGAUGUAUUGGAGGUAGAAAUGGGUCCCUUUAGGGCCCCCCAAUGAAUCAUCAUGCUAUUCAUACAUAUGGAUAAGCAAUAACCGGUAGGAAAGGCGUCGUUCUCAUUAUAUUUUCAUUAUAUAUGUAUAUAUAUAUAUAUAUAUAUAUAUAUAUGUGUGUGUGUGAAAUUAAAUGUUGUAUAUGAAAGUUUACCAUUAGUAAAAUGUCUUAUAUAAGUAAAAAAAAUAUAGUAUAUGACUCGUUUAUGUAGUAUCAAUUCUACCACAAAAAUAUGCUCAAAUUAAAUGAUACAAGUUAUGUCAAAAGGAUUAAUAGAAAGAAUAUUACAUUUAAACAUUAAAUAUAAAAUAAUUAUGACUCAAACUCUAAUAUCCAAAUGGUACGGCUCAAGCUUAAUAGGUUAACUAAUUCAUCAACUUUGACUUAAAUCAUCAAUUAAAAUACUUAAUUUAAAAUUAAUAAUAAUAUAUUCACCGUAUCUUUAUAAGUUAAUUCUAAUAUUACUUAGUUUUGAUGUUGAACUAAUCGAAAUAUUAUAAUUUUGCUCACUCAAUGACUUGACGUCAUCAUCAAAGCCCAACAUAAUCUGGGUUCAAACCUUAGUACAGGCAUAGCCCAAUGGUAAUUUCAUAUCAUGACGAGUCAUCUGAUUCUAUGAGUAACUCUUUCCUAUUCGAGCCAUUUCACUAUGCCCAAAUACUAGAUCAAAUCCAAUAUCAAAUGUUAUGGCUUAAGCAUAAUAGACUAAUUUGUAUUAAAAGGAAGACCUUUGCUUGAGGGUUGGGAAACCCAACACUCACUUUGUCGAGGCGUGGAAGUUGAGAAACUUAACCCUCACUUUACGUUAAGGCACAAAGAUCAAGAAGUCCGACCCUCACCUUUGUUAAAGAUGAGGUGACACCCAUCAUGGGGGUUGAACCCACGACCACUCGAGGAGGGUGUAAAACUCGAUUCCCACCUUAUGUUGAGGCACGAAGGUCAGGAAGCCCGACCCCCACCUUUGUUUGAAGUGUGGAGGCACCCAUGACCACCUGAGAAUGUCUGGAAACCCGACUCUCACCUUCACCCGAGGCAUGGAGGUUAAGAAAUUUAACCUUAUCAAAUCAAGAUACGUCUCUUGAAAAUAUGAGGAGAUGGUCGACGAUGAAUUCCCAUCAACAUCACUCGAGCAUGAUGAACUAGAUGUGUUAAACGAACUAGACGUGCCACUAGAUUGCCGAUAAAUCGAAGAGAUGUAAGCUUUUGAUGUGUCAAAUGAACUAGAAGCCGCAUUUCAAACCUCUCUCACAAAGAGUCCCAAAGCAUAUCUUGGGACAAGACAAAUGAUAAGAAAUACACUAUUAUGUUAGCCAAUCUUUAUUCAAUAUAUGAUCACCAUGUAGUGUCUAGAGUGAAAGAAGAAGACGAAGGCCACCCUCCACUUGUCUGCCCACUUAGGCAAGGGUUCAAGACAAGCGGUUAUAGGUUGCUCUCUUUUUAUUGCCCACAUGGACAAGAGAUUAAGGGAAAGAAGUUGGAGGUGGUUAGAGGUUGUCUCCUUAUAAAAUAUUUUUUAGAAUAUUCUGUCCAUUUACAAUGAGGUAUAAAAGCUUGUUUUUAACAUAAUGAGAAAGAUGACUUAUCUUUUUUUAACAACUCACGUUUGUAUUUAUAUAUCUCGAGUUACUAACUGGACAUUAAAUGAAUCAUCGGGUCAAAAACUUGACCUUAGUGUUCGUGGAGAUCACACCUCGGAUAACCCUAUACCUAUACAUAUGGAUCCGAAUUAUAUCGAUCUAAUCAAAAUGUUAACUGCUUCUUUUCCUAGGUAACAGAUGUUAAAUCUUACCCGAGCAUGCAUCUAAUAUCAAUUAUCAACCCAAGUCAUCAAACCAACUUUUACUUGCCACAUGGACAUAUACUAGAUUAAUUGAUGCAGAUCGGUCAGAUCAGAUUCACUAUAGAUUCCAUUCCAUUAACCUACAAGAAUCAUCAUCCGGGUUAGGAUGCCAACGAAGAUGGUACUAUAGUCAUUAAUUUUUUUCCUUUUAAAUAACAGGAAAAACCCCAUAAAUUGUACCAUAUUUAUAUUUUAUGUUGAAUUAUGCACUUUGGUUAUUAAUAUUGUAUAUAUAAAUCCGUAUGGUACGUUCGGUCACAUGUCAGCCAUCAGAAUAAAUUGGUUUUAAAUCUAUGAUUUGAUGCUAUAAAUUAGACAGAACUCGGCCCCCUUUUUUGUUAUGUCUCCUUUGCACAAGACAUAUUGAAGCCCGAAUUAGCUACUGAUGAUGUUCAUUUGUAUUGGAAAAAGGCUUUAUGUGGGCUGGUAAUGGGCCCAAUUAUAGUGCAUACGAAGGCUUCGGUAAAGGGCACGAGAAGGAUUGCUAGCUGGUAUAUUAUAUAUAACGGCUGUUAAAGUGACACGGGACGAAUUGGCUGGUAUAUAAUAUAUAACGGGAGUUAUAACGUGUUACUGGCCGAGGUAACCGCCCUAAGCGUGAAAAGAACGCGACCGUAAAGUGAUAUUACCGCUACAACAAGACUUGACCGUCAUAUUUAAAACAUCACGCCGUCUUCACGGUCCCUCCAUCACCUCCGUCUUCUUCCUCCCGAAGAAAAGCAGCAGCGACAUAGUGAGAGAGAGAGAGAGAGAGAGAGAGAGAGAGAACGCAGAGCGGAGGGCGAAAGAAGAAAAUGAUGCAGUUGCUCGGCUUCCGCGGGGGAUCCGCAGCAUCCUCCCCUUCGUCGUCGACGGGAAAGGAGAUGGAGCCGUCGCCCACAUCGGACCCACGAGGCCCUAGCUCGAGUGUCGCUGUCGCCUCGCCGGAGCCCGGACGCCCUCUCCGCCUUGUCUACUGCGAUGACAAAGGCAAGUUCCGGAUGGACCCGGAGGCUGUCGCCGCCCUUCAGCUCGUCAAGGGCCCUAUUGGCGUUGUCUCCGUUUGCGGCCGCGCCCGCCAAGGCAAGAGCUUCAUCCUCAACCAGGUGUUCCCUCUGCCCCUCUUGUAGAUUGUUGGCUCCUUUGGUUCUUUCCCUUGAUGAAUUAUUUUUUUUCUUCUUUCCUUCCUGAGUCGAUUUAGAUGGCUAUUCGCUCAAUAAACGUUGGUAACUUUGAUCUAUAAGUGCAAAGUUAUCCCGGGAUUGUUCACUUUUUACGGGUUACAGGAGUAGUGACCUAUUUAUAUGUCUCAUGUGCAAGCUAGGGUUUGCUAGGGAAAUGAAAAACCCUAAUUUAAGGGUUGAAGGGGCGUUUUAAAUUCUUCGAGCGUCAUUCGGAUUAUUCUUUCAGGUCAUAUGAAGUCUGUAUAUGUGAUGAACCUGAACAAAUCCGAUGUUAUUUCAGAUAGGUAGACCUGUAAAUAAGAAGGUACUGGGCAUUAUAAUAGCCAAAAAGGAGGCUCAUGAAGACUGUUCAAGCCUCUUCAGAUAAUCAAUUGAAUAAAACUGCUGGAUGAAAAAGUAAGUUGACCAAGCCAAAGUGGUUUUGUCCCUUGAAGAGCUUUUUCACGCUAAAGAUGGCCAUUUGGGAGCAUAGAGAAUGGACUUGGGUAUUCCAUGUUGAUAUGGUAUAUUAUUCUGUGAGCAACCAUAAAUUAAAAUAAAGCUAGUAAGAGUCAGCAAGCUUAGCUGGUAAGGAUUUUGUCAAAAAGAAAUGCUGACAGAGACUGGGAUGAACAUUGAAGUGUAACAAUAACAUCCGAAAAGCAAGUGCUUGUGUUGUAUGAUGCCAUACCUAUAUAGGCAGCUUCUUAACGUGCAGUAUAAACUCUAAAUACACAUUUAUAUAAUUUCUAUGUAUGAGUUGAUUUAGAUUAUUACUCUCUAUAUAGCCUAGUAUUAUGCUGAAAUAUUGGUGGAGCUUUAGAUUUGUUACAUGAAAAAUUUGAGGGCUUGUCUGUGAAACAGAAGAUAGUGUAUACUUAAGUUGUUUUAGGUUGUGAGUUCUCUGGGAGAAAGCUGGAAUAAGUUUCUUGGGGAUCUGUCAUAAUCUGUGUACAUAUCUAUUAAAGGCAUAGCCUUUAGGCAAUUAGAGGAAGGUUCCAGUGGAGGUGGAUUAAAGAGACAGACUUGGUCAAUGAUGUUUGAUUUUGCAAUUCCCGUAUAUUGUUGUUUUCAUAACUCAUCUUCGUUGAAGUUUCUGGUUGAAUUUGCAUGAUUCUAAAUAUGCAAGGUUAUCAAAUUUUGGAUCUUUUUAACUUGCUAUUACUCAUUGUAUAUCAACCAAAAGAUGAAGAGUUGUCAUUGAUUCGUGACUGACAUGCAUACUUGAUCUUGUGGACCAGCAUGGUAAUAAUUUUAAAUGAAAGAAUGCAAAGAUUAAAUAUGAUGAAAUUUAUAGUUUAUAGCAACGUUCGUAAUUUCGUACUGUACCGGAGUAUCGAGCUCAGCUCGGUGUGUGUAUAUAUAUAUAUAUAAAGACGACGUCGUCUCAUUUUUCUGUCCGCGUGGGGAGAAGAAACCGCAAAAAAGGACGACGAGGAGAUGUCGUCGCCUCGUUUCUUCUGCCCGCAUGGGGAGAAGAAACGUUGCCUCGACGACACUCGGUUUCUUCUCCCCGCGACGUCACCGAGGCUUCUUCUCCCCGCGCGAAUGAGGAGAAGUCGCCGACGACGUUGAGGCCUCGUCGCCUCAGAUGAGGAGACGACAUCUCAUCUGUGGCAUUCGGCGAGGGAGCGCGACGACGGAUCGGGAUCGUUGACGGAGAGUGGUGUUGGAUCUCCAGGUUCUCUCUUUUCUUCUCCCCUUUCUUUCUUCUCCCUCGGGUAAUACCACCCGGUAGUGGGGCGGAAACAGCCCUAAUCGGCAGUACUGCCCGGUAGCGGGCGGUCCGUGUACCAGUCUCCUGGCGGACCGGUACGUACCGCCCAGUACAGGUGGUAUUAUUCAAAAUUAAAAUCAUUGGUUUAUAGUACAUGUGAUGAUGGUGACCUCGAAGAACCACGAUUGAAGUUAGCUAAUAUUCUUGAGGCUGUGUUAUUUGCUUAUGCUAUAGGGAAUUUGUAGGAAAAUAUCAUCUUAACUUGGCCUUCAACUUUGGGUAUAAUUAUGAUAUUACUUUCAGUUUUUCUGCUUCAACUCAGUACAGCUAGUUACAAAGUUGUUAAUAUGUCUGCCCCCCCUACUCAGUGAAAUAGACCUUUAAUGCGUUAUUUGAUGCUUAAGGGCAGAAUUCAUAGGUUCCAUUGCUCAAGGAAAUUUGACCUAUUCUUUUUCUUGAUAAACUUAGGAUUCUCUUCUUGAAAAAAUUAUCAAUUAUAAAUAAUUGGAAAAUGGUUAAUUGUUAUGCGCUCUAGUUUUGGGUGGGUGUGCUGGUUGCCUUGAGAAAUAUAGGACAUGGAUCUGGAUUCUGAAAUACAAAUUUUAUGCAGACCACUGAGAGAUGUUUGUUAUUGAUUAGAUUGGAUGUUCUGAAGUUAAUAACUUAAUGUUCCUUACCUUGCAAUAACACUACAAGGACAAUGGCUUUAAGGAACUUUGUUUUUCCUCAGUUCUACUCUUUUGUUUAUCCUAUCAUAUAAAAUUCUUAUUGUUUUGUGUUGUAAUAUGAGCCAUCCUCUUCAUAUUUUAUAUUACAAUGACGGGAUUGUUAGUACUCUAUACCUUGGAUACAUUCUGCAGGAUAUAUUCAAUUCAUAUAGUUUGCUUAUAACUAUAUUUUAUGCAGGAUACAUUCUGCAGGAUAUAUUUUAUAUUACUUGUUUUAUGCUUAUAACUAAGCAGCUAAAAUAAUUCUAUCUAAUGCCCUAGGCUUUUUGCUAAUGCUAAUUUAGUUUUUUAUAAUUCAUUUACAUUUACAAGGCACCAUGUAAGAGUCAUGCAUAAUAAAUGAAUGAACUGUUUGUUUUUAUUUUUGUUGUCUUCUUUUAGUUAAUUAAUUCUGUUGAUGUUUAAAUUGAUUGUGGUUGCUUCCAUUUUUUUUGGUUUAAAUAUAUAACUUGCAUUCGUUUUUGUAAAGAAUUAACUUCUCUUUCUUGUGGUAGCUUUUGGGCAGAAGUAGUGGAUUUCAAGUAGCUUCAACUCAUCGACCGUGCACUAAAGGGCUUUGGAUGUGGAGCACACCAUUAAAGCGAACUGCUCUUGAUGGAACCGAGUACAAUCUUUUGCUACUGGACAGUGAAGGAAUUGAUGCCUAUGACCAGACAGUUAGAUUUGCUCUUCUUAUCUUUUUCUAUUGGUUAUUUUUUAUUCUAGUUUAACUGUACUGAAUUCCUAUAAGGAAUACAAAAUAAAACUUGAUUAUAAUGUCUAAUUUUGACCUUAAUCCACUACAGUUUUUUAAAGGGUCUUUGCUUGCAGAUACCUCUUUCUAAUUGGUUAAUGACAUAUUUGCUUCUCCAAUACAUGUACAUACAUUCUCAGAGAACUUAACUUAUUUACCUUAGUUCCCUUUAAUAGAAACUGUUAACCAUGGUUCAUUGGAUUAGGUGAUUAGAUCAGUAUUGGCCAAAGCGUAUUUCAUGCUAGUCACUUUCUCGGUCUUAUUGCUAGAAAUUGGUCAGAACUGCAGAUAUUAGCUGGUUGUAGCUGACUUGUUUAUUUCAGAAAGAAAAAAUAGAAAAGGACAUCCUCUCUUCUAUAUCUCCACCUCCUUUCUUAACAUUCUAGCAAGGAAAUUUUAAAAGGGGCAUAUUGGUUAUCUUGAUGACAAUUGAUUAAAAUAAUAAAUAGUUUAUGAAAGGUAGCUAACCUCAAGGACAUAUCCAUUACUUUCAGGUAUCAGUUGAAAAUAGAGAGCAAGGCUUGAAAUUUCUGUUGGGUACUGACUCUAUUUAUUGGUCUGACUAACAUGAUAUUGCUAUUGAUCCAUAUCGAGAUUCAGUAUGGUUUGAUACAGAUUGUUAUGGAUCAGACCCUGCCCAGUAUCUACACUGGCAUGUUUCUUUUUUUGUCUUAGUUUUUAUUUAUUUGUUUUGAAGAUCCAUAAUGGUUCAUAUAUCAUCUGAACCUAAGUAUAGUUUCUAAAACGUAAACAAUGAUGCUAAUUAUGUGCAAUAUCAAUAUUUGAACCUGAUUAUGCAAAUCUGAUGUAGAUCCAAUACAAAGGUUGAUCCAGAUCCAGGGCUUUAUGGUUUUGGUAGAUGUUGGACUUGGACUUGGUCUAAGAAGCUACCCUUUUUAUUUACAUCAUCUUUUACCUUUUUAUAAACUUGUGUUUGUAUUUCUAGUGACGUCUCUUUAAUUUUUGUGGGAUACCAAGUGAUGAUGUCAUAUUUGAUAGUCUUUUUAUGUGGGGUAAUAGGAUUUGACCUAGGCCUUUCCUGCACAAAUGAACAACGUGUCACGAGAAGUCCCUUGUUGAGGGUCUGUGGUCAGAGGGUCUGACCAGAGUCCUCUCACCUCGUAAGGCUUUAAAAGUGGUAGGAUCAUCGAAAAUGUAAUGGGAGGGUUUUUCUCUGACAGCCAUGUCAAUAUCUGAUCUAAAGUUACUCUAGAGAGGGUUUUUAAUUACUUAGAGAGAGGAUAAAUAUGCAGACAAAAAGAAAUAGAGCUUCUUUAACUGUGAGGUCCCCUUUUAUAGCUUGUCUUGGCUUGGGUUAGUGUUCCGUUGGGCAAAGAGUUGGUGAACUACAAUGGGACACCACACUAGGACAGGGCAUAUUUCCCUUGUGGCAAACUGAUGCCAGUAGUGUAAGGCUGAUCCAUGGGCCAGCCUCAACCAUUUUCAUUGGAUUCUGAUGUGCCUAGUAUGGUAGCUGUCACCAAGUUUCUCAUAUUUCAGUUGCUGUUUAUCAGAUGACUUUUCUUUUUUCUUGAUUUUUAAUGAUAUUUUCAUUGUCAAUUAUUAGUUGUUUCAUGUUCUUUUCCUAUAGACACGGACCUUGUAUAAGUAACAAAUAUAUCAAUUAUUUAAUUGUUCUGCUCUCAUAAUUUGAACAUAUUUGGCCUAUGCUGAACCUGAGAUCUGAUCCAGACCAAUAUCUUGUGCCUGAUCUAGAUCAUGAUUUGACCUUAAUGGAUACAGUUAGGUCCAAUUGCCUACUUGCCAGGAUUGGGUUUAAAUUUGUGGUAGCUGAUUUUUGACCUGAAUGAUGCUUGUUAUGUAGCAUAGAGUUACAUCAUAAAAAAUGAAGGGUAAAAAGAUCCUCUUGUAAAUUGGCCAGGAAUUAACCUAGGUUUUGACUAGUAUUACACAUAUGGAUGGAUUGUGACAAUGAAGGCACAGGCACAUAUGAAUCCAGUUUGUUGUUGGAAUAUAUAUGCAAAUUGGUAUUUUUGAGGGUUAAAUAUUGUAUUUAAGAGCAUAUGUUUGGAAGAAAAAAAAUCCUAUACCGGAUUCUCUUUGGUGGAUGCCAUUUGCAUUUGGAGUAUCUUCUUGGGACUCAGAGAAACAAACUUGUGGCAUAAUCUUGAUUUUAUACAUGUAGUGUUGGUUUGACUUAAGGCAUCAAAUGGGAAGACCCUUACCUGUAAAGCUCAUAUGCAUUUCUUUUCAGUUAUAUGUGCUUCCUCUUCCUUGUUAUGUUCGCUAAAAAAAUUAUUUUUUUAUAUCUACAACUUGUCAUAUGAAUUAUUUUCUUUUUGGCAGGGCUCAUACAGUACAAAGAUAUUCUCUUUAGCUGUUCUGUUGUCAAGCCUGUUCAUCUACAACCAGGUAAAAAUUGUGUUGCGUUGAGCUGUUACUGAUUCUUUGCAAUGGAAUUGGGAAUUAGAAAUCUUCUUAAGCUUUACAUUUGGGCUUGCAUAAACUUGUUGUAGUACCUAAUGCCGUCUUAUUAAUUGUUGACCAAAUAUAUAUUUUAUAACACCUGUCCUUUUGUUUUUCUUUUGGUUUCUUUAGAUGGGUGGUAUUGAUGAAGCUGCACUUGAUCGUCUAUCUCUUGUCACUGAAAUGACUAAACAUAUUCGUGUUAGAGCAUCUGGUGGAAGAUCCACGGUAUCUGAGCUUGGACAAUUUUCUCCAGUAUUUGUGUGGUUAUUGAGGGUAAUUACAUCGGUAGAUGGCUUUUUUUGUUGUUUCUGUUACUUAGUUUCACCUGUUCUGCUAAUUGAUUAUAAAUAAAUAUUCUGCAGGACUUCUAUUUAGAUCUUGUAGAGGAUAACAGAAAGAUCACCCCUCGUGAGUAUCUAGAAUUAGCCUUAAGGUCUGUGCAAGGUGGUGGGAGAGAUAUAUCAGCUAAGAAUGAGGUUCAUUGCAAUCUCUGACAUGUAAUCUAAUUAUAUUGAUUCACAACAUCUUGUAACAUUCAUUGAUAAUAAGCAACUAAUCAUUUUGAUUAAUAGAUUCGGGAGUCUAUUCGCACUUUAUUCCCUGAUAGGGAAUGCUUUACGCUUGUGCGGCCACUGAACAAUGAAAACGACCUUCAACGUCUUGAUCAAAUUCCUGUGAGUAUUCCUUCCACUUUUUUUUGGACAAUUUCAAUCUAUUUAAAAUUCUGAUAUUGUCUGUUGUGCAGUUAGAUAGAUUAAGACCUGAAUUUAGAUCAGGUUUGGAUGCAUUGUUGAAGUACAUUUUCAUGCGAACCAGACCAAAACAAGUAGGUGCAACUGUAAUGACAGGCCCCAUUCUUGCUGGUAUUACACAGUCAUUCUUGGAUGCCAUUAACAGUGGUGCUGUGCCUACAAUAUCUUCUUCAUGGCAGGUCAGUUGUUUUGAAUAUUUAGUGUUUUCCAAGUUUCUAGUUACAAUAUCGCUCGUUUAAAAACGAUGAUUACUAAAAGUCAAGUUUUUCUGGGUACUUUUGAAUGUGAAAGACUAUAUUGACUUGUUUCUUUUUAAGUAUUGGGUUCAUUGGAACAGCAUUAGUGUUGGAUUAUUCCUUUGCUACAAUGGCUAUUUCAAAAUUUCAAUAUUUACAUAUGAAAAAAUUUUAAUUGAUUAUACAUUUUGUAUUUUUAGGUGUCUUUCUUUGUUAUAUAGUGUGAUGACUUUUCCUUGGAAAUUUUUUGGCUUUCUUUAGGAUCUUUGCUUCUAUUGUCCUGCAUUGUCACUAGGAAAAUCGAUAUCUCCUCCUAAUCUUAGCUGAUACAGUACUAGCUGUCUUAGUUGUGAAUAUUACUAUUUGUAUCAGCCUAUUGAUUAUUUAAUGCAGUCACCUAUAAUGCAGACAUUUAAAUGUAGGGAAGGAUUAGAGAAUCUCGCUUCUAAUUAUCCUUUUGUCUUAAAUGUUAUGAGUUGAAAAUCCAGCUAAUUUGAUGACUUAUCCGGCUCUUAAGGCAUUAUGUUCAGGGCUUAACAACUUUAGUGCGUGCAGUCCUUUAUCUGCAAUCUAGAUGAUUUGUUGAUCUUUGUUAGCUGGCAUUUUGGCUUUUGGCAGUAUCAUUAAAUGAUCUUAAUUUUUCACCCACUUUGGGGCUUUCUAGUGUUAUAAUAUGAUUAAAUGUUUGAUAAUAUAAUGAUUACAAUGAUUCAAUUGAUAUGCUGCUUUGAUAAGAUGUCCAUUAAUACUGUCUUUCAGAGUGUUGAAGAAGCAGAGUGUCGGAAAGCUUACGAUUCUGCUGCUGAGAUUUAUAUGUCCUCCUUUGAUCGCUCAAAACCGCCAGAUGAGGUAUAGGUCAAUAUUUUUUUUAGUUGUUGUCACAUACCACUUCAUUUUAGUUUCAGUUGCACUGAUUCAUAAUUACUUUAGACUGUUCUAAGAGAAACACAUCAAGAAGCUGUUGAAAAGGCUCUCAAUGCAUUCAAUUCUGGUGCUAUUGGGAGUGGAUUAGCGCGUCAGAAUUAUGAGAAGCUUCUCCAGAAUUUCUUUAAAAAGGCCUUUGAGGUGAGCUCUAAUUUCACAUUUUGGAAAUUGUUGGUUCCUAAAUAGAUUACUGUCACAACUAUCACUAUUAUCAUCCUAUAUUUCAUUUUUAUUUUCAAUGUAUUUCUCAUCCAGAGUUUUUCUUUUUGCUAGUUCUGCAUGUUCCAUGACAUGUGCCUGCUUGAAAUUUCCUCUUUUUUAUUUGGCUUGAACUUACGACCGAGUAAUAUUCAGAAAUAGAUCAAAAUUUUUUCAUGAAGUUAUGAUCUUGUACUAAAAUAAACUUGUUACUGGUGCUACUCUCUAGUCUGUGGGAAUGGUAUGAAGUUCAAUUGGAUUAUUAUGUAGCGUCACCAUGUGUAGCUCAUGAAUUGGCAAUACAUUCAGAGUAAAAGGAAGAAAUGCAUCAAACAGUCAUUCCCAACUGCCAUCUCAUUUCUUUUCUCCUAUUCUUUGUCGUAAUGCUUCAUGGUCUGAGGAGCUAAUGUGAAAAUUACAAGUAUAUGUUGACGUUAAUCUAUCCCUGCUGAUUUAGUCAUGAUGGAUGGGAUAUCCUGUUAAUUGAUCGUCACAAGGGAAAUUUUGCAUCCAACUGCAGCUUACAUUUUUAAGCAAUCAGAGCAUUUAAAGUUUCAUUUUAUUUGUUGUUUAGUUUAGAGCUUGCAAGGAUGACUUCUGCUCAUGAUAAUAAUGCCAAUCUUGGGAAGCUUUCAAGUGGAUGUUUUGCACAAGUAACUUUUGGGCUGUCCGAUAACUGUGUAGCCUAGGAUAUUGCUGAUUGUAUCUAUACUGCUUGCGCAGGACUACAAAAGAACAGCUCUUUUGGAGGCAGAUUUGCAUUGCUCUAAAGUAAUCCAGGGCAUGGAGACGAAGUUGCGAGCAGCUUGUCAUGCUCCUGAUGCAAAACUUGAUGAUGUGAUUCAGGUAAGGCACUGUUUGUCAGAGAACAUGUAUAGGCUUAUGAUGCUGAAGCAAGGGACAGCAUACCAAAACAUGUAGAGUGCAUUGCAGCAUGGCUUAAAUCAUUACAUGUGUUUUAUCAUCGGCAUAAUCACUAUUCUUUCCGUUAUCAUUGCCUGUCAUUACUGUGUCAGUGGUUUUGUUGGACAUGUAGACCUUUUGCCCCUUUUCUAUUCAGUUUUAUCUAUGCAUUUGGGUUUAUCUGCUGGUACACAGGUCCUCUUUUUUGCACCAGCUAUUAGUCUGGGUUAUUGGCUUUGUGGAUAAUGAAUACUUAUUGUCAUGCUUGUUCAAUCUCUUGAUGGCUCUCACAUUGAUAAUAGUUGAGGUCAUCACUUGUGAAGUUCUAUCUAUGCAUUUGGAUAUAUCUGCUGGAACACAGGUGUUCUCUUUUUUGUACCAGCUAUUAGUCUGGGUUAUUGGCUCUGUUGGUGGUGAAUACUUGUUGUCAUGCUUGUUCAAUCUCUUGAUAACUCUUGCAUUGAUAAUAGUUGAGGUCAUCACUUGUGAAGUUUAUGCUGGAAUCUUUCACUAUGUAUGGUUGCCGAUUCUACUGAUCUGGCAUCUUUCUUUUGGUAUUCAUUGUAGUUUUAUGUUGGCUUAUAUGUACUUUUCUUUGAAUCUUGUCAUUUAGAAGAUAUGGACAUGAGACUCGGUUGCAUGUAGUUUAUCCAUGUCCAAACAUGUUUUUUACGUAAAUGCAAACCAUCAAUAAGUCGUGGCUCCAUGGAGUUUUUUAUUUUCUUUGUUUUUUAUUUGCUUAAUAACUUGUUUCAUUAUUUGACUAGAGGCCCAUUAUUGGUCUUAAUUAUAUCAACAAACUUUUGCAAAACACAAAUGCUUCAGAUUGUUAGUCCUAUUAGUAUUAGACAUGUCAGCUAAUAUACCUGGAAGAAGCUUCUUCGAAAUGUGUUGGAUACUUUCAAGAAAUAUCUAUUUUUUAAGAAAUAUUAAAUGUUUUUAGUAUAGAAUCUUGAACCUCCAACAGCAAGAAUUUUAGCGUGUGAACUCUCUCUCUCUCUCUCUCUUUUGCCUUAUUUUAAGUAUUUCUAUUCUGGUGGUUUUUCAAAAAUAUAUGUUGAUGCAUCCAUAUUGUGUCAUAUUCAGUAUCCAUGAUCAUGCUUCAAAGGCUUUAAACAUGCUCUGGAUUGAUGCCUUUCUUAUUGCUUAACUUUCCUUUUAUCUUUAAACAUAAUAUGAGAUGAGAGGCUUGAAUGUCACUGCAGCUCUUGGGCAGUUUGCUAGUUGGCUUCGAGUCAUCUACUCAUGGUCCAGGGAAGUGGAAAAAGUUGGCUGCCAUCCUGCAACAAAGGUUUGUCUUUUUCUCUGUUUCUCUUACAGUUAGGUAGGUACCAAAAAUCUGAUUCCAUCAGGCUGCUGAACCAAUGUUUUCUUACUUUUAAUUGUAUGAAUAUCUUUUGAGGUCCGCAUAUAAUGACCUUGACAUGAUUUAUUAUCUUCUGGUUGAUCAAAGUUCCAAGAUUGUUUCAGAUUAUCGGUGCUAAAAGAGAAAAAAAAAAACUAUUCUGUCAUUGAACCUUUUUUCUUUCUGCAGUUUGCAGGGACCAAUUUUGGACUUAUUCAGAAGGCAAUUAAAUUGUGUUGAAUCAGAAAGGAACUCACUGAAGUCUAGAUGCAGCUUAAGUGAGGACAAACUGGAUUUGCUUAAGAAGCAACUUGAGGCAAAUGAAAAGCACAGAUCUGAAUAUUUAAAACGCUAUGAGGAAGCUAUCAGUGACAAGGAAAAAAUAUCCAAAGAUUACACUGGUCGGAUUGCUGAUCUGCAGAGCAAAUAUAGCAAAUUAGAGGAACGCUGCUUGAGUUUGUCAAAUGCUUUGGAACUUGCUAGACGUGAAUCCUCUGAUUGGAAAAAUAAAUACAAUGGGAGCAGCAUAGAGCUAAAGGCUGAGGAAGACAAGUUCAAAGCUCAAGUUGCAGCUUUGCAGGCCAGAAUAGGUGCUGCUGAAGGAAGGUUAACUGCUGUUCGUGAACAGGCAGCAUCUGCUCAGGAAGAGGCAUUAGAGUGGAAGCGGAAAUAUGAUGUAGCAGUUGGAGAUGCUAAAACUGCUUUGGAGAGGGCAGCAGUUGCACAGGAACGCACAAAUAAGAAGGUACAAGCCAGAGAAGAUACUUUAAGAGCAGAAUUUGCUGAGCAACUAGCAAAGAAGGUAAACUGUCUCUUUGCUUAUGUACAUAUAUGUCUUCCAGUAGGUAUAUGUAACAUGUAUCCAUAAGGUUUUCAUCUGUAUGUUAUGUAUUCACAAAUACCUUUUUGUUGACUAAACAGGAUGAAGAAAUCAGAAACUUGACUGCAAAGAUCGACCAUUCUGAGAAGCAAGCAAAUACUUUGGUCCUGAGAACAGAGGUAUCACCUAAGAGUACUUUGAAAAAUUCUGAUAGAUGCUAGAACAUUGUGAUUGUGCUGUGCUAAAGGAAGGUCAUUUUUAAUUGCAGGCUGCCGAGGCAGAACUGAAAAGCCGUGAAUCAGAGUCCUCGGUUUUGAAAGAAGAAAUCCGACAUUUACUUGAAAAUUUAGAGUCUGUUAAAACCAUGGCUCAGUCACAUGAGAGACAAGUCAAAAUUCUAGAACAAGAAAAGAACCAUCUUCAGGAGAAAUAUCUCACUGAAUGUAAGAAAUUUGAUGAAACAGAUAAGAGGUGCAAGGAUGCUGAAAGGGAUGCAAGGAAAGCAACUGAGUUGGCUGAUGUAGCUCAUGCAGAGGUCGUGGCAGCUCAGAAAGAAAAGAGUGAAUUUCAAAGGUUGGCAAUGGAAAGAUUGGCACUAAUUGAAAAAGCUGAGAGACAGGUUGAGAACCUGGAAAGAGACAGGAACAAGCUGAUUGAUGAAAUUGAGGGGCUUCGUCAAUCAGAAAUUUAUGCGAUUGACAAGGCUGCGUUACUUGAGUCAAGAGUCCAAGAGCGAGAAAAAGAAAUAGAGGAGAUGUUGAGUCAGAGCAAUGAGCAGAGGUCCAACACAGUCCAGGUUCUUGAGAGUCUUCUGGCAACCGAGCGAGCAGCUCGUGCAGAGGCUAAUAACAGGGCGGAGUCCUUAUCCUUGCAGCUACAAGUAACUCAAGGCAAACUAGAUUCUCUCCAACAGGAGUUGACAUCUGUUCGGCUCAAUGAAACUGCACUUGAUACCAAGUUGAGGAAUUCUCGGGGGAAACGCCCGAGAGUGGAUGACAACAUUGGUACGGAGUCGGUCCAUGAUAUGGACAUCGACGAAGAGGUUGCCAAGGGUAGAAAGCGGUCCAAGAGUACCACAAGCCCGUUCAACUAUGCUCGGUCCGAAGAUGGUGGUUCAAUCUUUAGAGGGGAAGAAGAUAACAAUCCGAGUCAGGGAAAUCAAGAAUCUGAGACUGAAGAUUAUAAAAGGUUUACGGUGGUGAAACUCAAACAAGAGCUUACCAAGCAUGGAUUUGGCGCACAAUUGCUGGAGCUGAGGAAUCCCAACAAGAAGGAUAUUCUUGCAUUGUAUGAGAAGCAUGUCAUCCAUAAGUAGUAGCUGUUUUUAAACACUGGAUGUAUCUCUAAACGUUCUCUAAACGUACCUAACUUAGGUAGUCUCUCAGGUGGCGUGUGUGGGUCAUGAAUAGUUAGUUGUGUUGUUCUUUGGUUUCUGUAACGUGCAUCUUAAGCUUUUAUGAUGCAUGCAUCAAUUCUUUUGAGGAAGGUGUGUACAUUCAAAUCACGUUGCUUCCCUCGUCUUGUGUGCGUGUCUGUAUCGUGCCACCAUCAUUUCUGUGUGUGUUGGUGAGUGUGUGUGCGUGCCUGUUUUCCAUUUUACCAUGCGUUUGUGGUACGUGUGAGCCAUCUGUCCUAUUUGGAGUCAUGAGAUACACAUGGAUUUGUUGGAAAUUAGAUGUGGUAAAGUAAGUAAAUGAUUGUCUACCAUCUGCUUCUGACGCCAUGAAGGAACUUAUGACAUCUUCUUUAUGGGUCCGCAUCCAUAAGAGUUGCUCGAUAGCACUUGAUUUGCUCUUCGUUCUGCUUUCUUGUUUCAUAUUAUUCCUCGAUUCAUAGUUCUUGCUUCUUGGCUUCUUCUCGAUGACGCGGACAGCGACAUGUAUUGUAUUUUAUGGCUUAUGCAACCCAAUAAUCAAAAAGUUAUAUGUUAUGGCACGACAGAUGGAUCCAAGACUUGUUAAAUAAGCUUCGCAUAUUUUAAUGACAAAUCCACCCACGCAAAUCACAAGAUUUCAAUUGUCAUGUAGCUUUUUCCUUUAAUGAAAUAUUCGCCUAUUCAUUAUGGGGGUUCGACAUGUGAUGUGGUGUGUCACGUUGAUCGAAAUAUUCUUCCAAGUAUUUUAGUGUACGUGUCGAUCACAUCACAUAUUCUGCCGAAGAUAGGAGGACCAAAGGCUCCUAACGAACGUACGUCAGUCGGAUCGUAACCAAGUCGAACUGAUCGCCUGCCACCGGCAUGGAUACUGCUGCUUCGCAAAGUUCUGUGAUAUCUAUCUUUGCAUAAGCUGGAGAAAUCUCAUACGGUAAUCAUCAAAUCAUGGUUACGAAAGAAGAAGAAGAAGAAGAAGAAGUAGAAGAAGAAGCAAAAGAGAACACCACUGAUCCUUGUUGUGAAUAAAGCAUGCAUACGCGCCACCAAAGGUUGGCCACCGUCAUUUUUAUUCAAUGGGUUUCAGCUGAACAACUUUGUCGGAUGAAUCGAAUCUACAUAGCCCUGAAUUGUUAAGUUCUGUCGUGCUAACUGUGAAGUUUCCACAUCAUCAUCACAGAAUGCACGGUUGAAUGGAUGGAUCUACAUGGAGUCUUCCAUCUCCUAAAAUUAAUCGAGGACGAAUCCUCGUCUACUCCACUCGUGUUCAGGAAAGGAAGGGAGGAGGAGCCCCGGUGGCAUGCAUGGUGGGAAAGCUUGGAAAUAGAUGGGGCGAGCUAACUCGGUCUUGGCCACCUUGGGUGUAGGCCAUCAGCGACGGCGUGUAAUAGCCACCGCCGUUUCCAUCCCUCACCGCAUUGCCAUCGUCGUCCUCGUUGUCCUCCUCUUCCUCAUCCUCGUCCGCCACCAGACCCUUGAGUUUGGUCUGAAAUGUAUCCUUGAGUGCCGAGCCACACUGCCGAGGCUGCGUCUGGAAGAAGAUCUUGGACACCACCAACUCUCCGUCCUUCUCUUCUUCGUCGAAGCCCAAGUGGUACUGAUGCAUUAUCCAGUUUGUCUUCUCGGGCUUCCGCUGCUUGCCGUAGUUGGUGUAGAGAACGAGGAUCUUCUUGUACCCCUUCAGAUCACCACCUGCGAACACCGGCCUCGUCUUCCCGGUCUUAUGCCACCGCGUCUCGCUUCCAUGCACGUCGGUGUGCACCUUUCGCCUCUUCCUCGUCCCCGUCGUGUAUGCUCUGGAAGGGCGAUGGAAGAAGUGUCGAACCAGCCCAUCGCUUCGCACGCCUGCAUAUCAUCGCAGGAAGAGAAAUGCCAUGAUACGACGAUGGACAAAGCUUAGCACAAUAAUUCAUGCAUAGAAACUUUCACUAUUGAAAAUAUAUGUUAUUUAAUCGACCAGUAAGGAUAAAUUCCUUUUUAAAUGAUAAGUAAGGAAGACGAAAUUUGAACUUUCUUACUGUCUUCAAGUGAGUGUGAAGUCACAACUACAAAGUCAAGUCAGUCUUAUGUUGCUUAGAGGCUACACUACAAAAAAUUCAUUAUGCUUUAAUAUAGCCUUUUCUUAAUUUUUUAGAAUACCAAUAAAUAUUUUAUGAAGUUUCAAAUUGUUGGGGGAAAAUAUUAUUAGCAUUCUUGUCAAUCCAAUAUGGUUCUGAUCCGUAUGCAUAGAGUAGUCCGAGAUGGAAAGCACCUCCUUUAGAAAUGAAAACACCGUGCUCUUAAGGUGUUACCUGUAUAAAGACCGAAGUUGGAAGAGGCUUUCCGAGCUGAUCUCUCCGACACUCAAGUUAGUCUUAAGGUCAACUUUUGUAACCUCACAUAAGUUAACCUCAGGACUAACUUGAGCAUCGAUGGGAUCGACUCGGGAUGUGUCUCUCGACUUCGAUCUUUGUAUAGAUAAUACCUCAUAAGCACGAUGUUUUCAUCUCGGAAAAAGGUGCUUUCCAUCUUGAUGACUCUGUACAUAUGGAUCAAGGCUAUAUUUUCCCUUAACACAAACUAUACUUGCCUUCUCUUAGUCUAUACAAUUGCAAAGUAUACAUGAAGACAUAAAAUUUUCAUACCUGUUGCCAAUUUUUUGACUUAGUUGGAUAACAAUAACUAGAAUCUGAAAACUGCAGUCAAAUAGAAACAAGAUCUUUUCUUGCACCUCAUGAGAGAGAGAGAGAGAGAGAGAGAGAGAGAGAGAGCAGACCAAGUGACUCUCAGUAGAAAAUACGUAUAUGUGGACUUGACUGACGUUUAUUUUGAUUCAUGACGAUGACAAAAAUGGACUUGUAUUGUUGGCUCUAUUGGAUAGUCUAAUAAAGCCACAAAAAUGCAUAUGUCGACGACCAACAUAAUUAACAACAGUGGUAAAUUGUCAAUCGAGACGCAAAGAUGAGUAUUUCUUUGAGUAGCAAAAAUCAUGAUGUACUACUAAUUAAGAUUCUUCUUGGACGUAGGAAGUUUCAUAGCGUUCCUUCAUGUGCAAAACACAAAGCAUAAAUGACUUGUGUGCUCUGGUCGAGCAACGAUGAUAAUUGUGAGGAGGCAAUUUUAUGACGCAAAACCUACGUUGAUGUUAAUGCAUGCAACCCUACGUACAUGAACACCGUUAGAUUAUGCUGCGAUGCCAUGUACGUAUGCUAUCGGGCGCAAGAAUCAUGUCAUAGAUGGAUGGUCUCAAGAGAUGGAGGAGGGCGAUUAAAGAAUCGAUCCAUGAUUCAAUUACCAGGGAGCUUCUCGGGGUGUGUGUAGCAGAUGCCGUCUUCUCCUUCGAUCGUAGGGAUGAAGUCGUCGAUGAGGGGGUGAAGCCUCUGGGGAUCUGACCUCGCCUUGCCCUCCAAGUGUUGGAGCAGCUCUUGGUCGGUGGGAUCAAACUUGACGCCUGCAGGCAACCCGAGAAAGUCUUGCAUGGAGGGAGCAACCUGAAUACAUCGAUUCAUAGAUUUCAUGAUCGUGUUAGGUCUUCCCCUACACAACAACUUCUGGCAUUUGCCUUCGACAUGAGAUGAAGAAGGUGACACGUAAACUUUGUUCGUAUGAUCUAACCAUGCACCUGUUUCUUGGUCGAAAUUACGGAAUAAUCUUUAACUUGUAGAGAGAGAGAGAGAGAGAGAGAGAGACCUGGCGUUGAUACUGAAUGGGAUAGCCGCAGGAGGGGCAUGUCCGAAUCGUGUUCUCGUGUGACUUCUUGCUGAUGGAAACCAUGGCAGAGAACUCGUGGUGUCCGACGCUAAGCGAUGGUUGUCUUGUUCUCCAUCACCUCCUCUCCUGUGUUUCUCUUAUCCAGAUCAAUAGGAACGAUAACCAGAGGCACCGAGGAAGAGGAAAGAGGAGAGAGAAGAAAAAAGGGGGGGGAAAAAAUGGAAAAGGAAAAGAAGAAAGAAGCUUGUCCCUCUUAAAGCUAUUGGAGCUCUCGUCCCCCCCCCCGCCCCCCACCUCAGUCUCUCCUUGAGAUCGAAGAGAAGGAAUAGAAUUGUCCUCGACUUUUGUUCAUCACCCAAGUGCAGCAAAGGAGAAGAGAAGACGGACCCUCCAAUGGUCUCUCUGCUGCUUCCUCCGGACAACAAAGGGGAAAAGGAAAAGACAAAAAAAAACAAGUGUAUUUGUAGAGAUAGAGGGAGAGAUGCCUCAGCAAGCAAGCUUAGGUUGCUUGUCCCUUAAGCUUCACCUUGCUAUAUAUGCUUAUCACUCGCAUGUUUAUCCUCAACAGGAUGAUAAAGAAAAGAAAAUAGAGAAUAACAAGGCAUACAUCUCUCCAACUGCUACUCAAUAAGCCUUUGGCUGAACCCCACAGAGAAGAUGGCGAGAAAAUAGAAGGAAGAAAGUUAUAGGACAAAAGGAGCGAUUGGGUUGAGUGGCGAUGGGGCAACCUGAUUCGCAUGAGACGUCUCACCUCCCUGACUGGGAUAGUUAGACAGAGAGAGGCGGAGGUCGAAGGUGAUCAUCAUCUCCUUUUAGCUCCGAGGUCAACCUAGAGUGCCUUCCAAGCCAUAUACCGAGCACUUGCCCAUUUGCAUUAUCCACUAUCUCUCCCUCUCUCACCAUCUUCCUGAUCUCCCUCUUCAACCAAAGCACGCAUUACGUACUGUGCAGCAUAAAUGUGAUAUUUCUACCGACCAAAAACUACAUACACAUUGCAUCAUAUCUGCAGUACCAACGUGAUUCUUCUCUCUCUCUCUCUCUCUCUCUCUUCAAUGAAAACACACAUUCGCGUUUUCCGCAGUAACGCAUUCGAGAGUUAAUGCUGUAAAUGCAUGGGAUCGGAAAGCAUAAGGUGAGGUGAAUCAGAGUCGACGUGAUCUCUGCGUAGAUGAACAUGGGAUCGGGCAACAAUGAGGGUGCGGUGAAUCCUGGAGAUUCUGGGGGCGUAAAGGAGGCGUGAAGGAUACUAUUAAUGUCCGAAAGCAGGAGGUGAGGUGGGUCUUCUUGUCGGUGGAGUCUCGUGGUUGCGAUUGGUGNNNNNNNNNNNNNNNNNNNNUAUAUAUAUAUAUAUAUAUAUAUAUAUAUAUAUAUAUAUAUAUAUAUUUGAAACCAUGGCAUGAUUCUUGUUUACAUUCGAUGUAAGAUUAUGUGUGUUGUAAUUAUCUUUUCUUUUGUUUCAUUCAAAAGCUCAGUAAAUUAUAGUUUCAAUUAAACAAUAUACAAGAUGCUAAAAUAUGAACUCCAGACUUAUCAAAUGUGAAUAAUAUACUAAGAUAAUCUCCAUAGAGACCACAAAUUGCAAUGUUGAUAUUUGAUUUGAUGUUAUAUUUAUAUCGUCAAAGAUUUGUGAUUUAUUUUUCUUUUUUUCUAAUUCAAGAAAGCCAAAAAAUUACUCGAGGGGUGAAUGACAUUAUUACGAUCUGCUUCUUGCAUUAUCCAUUAAAUAUUAUGAUUCGAAUCCAUGUGUAAGCAUCAUAUAUGCCUACAUAAUCAUUGUUGUGGCAUCCAUUUCAUCGUUAGACCAGAUCGAUUAGCUUCAACAUCAAGAGACAACAGCCAAAUUAUAUGCUUUUGGAAUGGGGAAACCUUAUGAAUCAAUCUCUUUACUGUUCCCUAUAAGAUGAAAUAACAACGAAAAUACAAAAAAAAAAAAAAAAAAAAGGUUUUUGCUCACGCAUAUCAUUUCAUAUUUGUUGAAAGAACUCGGGACAUAAUAAUUCGUGCUUACAAGUUUCUCUCGGAAAUAAUAAAGGAAGUGGGGGUCAUUUGCGGAGCACUAAUGAUCUACAAAUAAGAAAAAACGUAGGUGCGUGAGAGUUAAUCCCACAAGGUUUCGACAGAGUACUGUGAGUAUUACUGAAAUCAUCUAAAAAAAUACUUGCCCAAAAUGCCUCUUCGAUUAGUGAGAAAGGAGAGAAAUCACUAGGGAUCAGUUGUCGGACGGAAACCAUUCAAGAGUCUCGCCCGCAAACAUAGGCACUAUUUCUCCGGAUGUGUAUGGAUACGAGUCAGGUACUUUCCAGGGACUCUUCCUCAAUUUGACCUUUGAAGUGUUUCUUGGAAGUCCAUAGAAAUCAGGGCCAUUGAAGCUUGUAAAGGCCUCCAGUUUGUCAAGUGAACCAGCCUGAUCGGAAAAAAAAAAUCAAGAGACUUGAUUAGAACAACUUAAUGAAUAAUAAUCACAUAAAUGGUUAUGUAUUCAGGUUUAGAACCGGAAAUUUCCGACAUAACCUGCUCAAAUACUUUAGCGUAAAGGGAUAACGCAACAGGAGCAUUGUAUAUUCCCGCACAUCCACAAGGACAUUCUUUCUUUUGUCUCUCAUGUGGAGCACUAUCGGUACCAAGAAAAUAACGAUUGCUACCUCUUGUUACAGCUGAUACGAUAGCUUGUCCUACAGAAGACGACAAAUAGAAGUGAUACUAUCAGCAUAAAUUAAAACUUCAGCAAACUAAUGAAUUGACCAGUUAAACUAUCUUAAUUCCUAUACAAACUAGAAUAUGGUCAAAACUAGAAAUGCGACAAACCUGAGAAAAACCACUGUGGAAUAAAAGGAAAUAAACCAAAUGGUGAUGUUAUCAUGUUUUUAAGCACUAAAUCUUUUAAAUAAGCACUAGAAUGACUCCUUUAAGUUAUGAUAGAAUCUGUAAAAUGAAAAAUAUGCUUACGUAGUAGUAUAUAAAAAGGAGUCACUAAGGACAACAAACCAAAAACAUCCAUAUAUUAAUUUUGGUAAGUUGUUCCUAAGCAAGAGCAUCAGUAUUUAGGUUGCCAGUCGUUGCAUGUGAUUCCUGACUUUCCACAAGUGUUAUAAACAGUUGAAGUAUUCCAUAGUAAAUGCAAGAAAAAAAAAUUUUUCUGUUGGCAAAGGGAGCAGUUGCACGUACUAUGAAUCUCUCGUUUUAGUACUGGAAGGCAGUAAUUGUGAGGCUGUAGUCCACCUUGAAAUAAGGAAUUUCUGUUCAGAAGAAGGUGCUGUGGCGUGACAGUGGCAGCAACAGAACCUAAUAACGAAAAUAUAUCAAAAUAUAUAAUAAAGAUAAAAGUAAGCUCAGUGCAUGAGAUUUCAACAAUGUGCGGGAUAAAGAGGGUCAAUGCAGUCUUCCUCCAGGUAGAGAAUUGUUUUGUUGGUCUGAACCCUUGACACCCAUGAAGCAUAAAAAUACAACCACACCAUAGUGCAAAGGCUCAUCCUUACUGAAUUAUAGAAACAUGAAAAAAAGGAAGAAGAAAAAAAUAAUUCAUUCUGAAGCCUACCUUCAUUGCAUGAUUCAAUAAAUUUAACUGCGUCCAUCGUGGUAAUAUGUUCCAUUACAACUUUCAGAUGAGGAAGCUUUAUUAGUAGUGGUGAUAAAAUAGUCUCAAUGAAGACCCUUUCUCUGUCAAAUAUAUCAAUAUUCGGAUCUGUCACUUCCCCAUGCACCUGUUAUAAGUUUUACAUGAAGAAAUCAGCCUCAAGAUUACACCCUCGAUAAUAAGGCAAUAAGUAAAAAAGAAGGAAAUCUUUAGUGUACAAAAUAUUAUUUACAGUAAAGCUAAUUAAAGAAUUUUUUGAUCAACUAGACAUUUCCUCAGAAGAAACUUAAGUAAUUUCUCUAAUACAUAGUUAUUUUACUGAGUAAAACUCAGAGUAUGGUAAACCGAUAAGAAGGAAUAAACUAACACAUACCAACAGUGGCAUAUUAUGUUUUGCCAUUUCUUCUAGGACAGGCAAACACUUCCCAAAAAUAUCAGUGACUCCAUCUUGAGAAUUGGUAGUUGCUCCAGCAGGAUAUAAUUUUACAGCAAAUACCACUCCACUUUUUCCUGAAAGCUAAAAUCAGCAAAAAAUGGAAAGAAGAGCUAGUAACAGGAAACUGGAUCAGAGCCAAACUUUUAGUGAGCCAUCAGUUCCCUUUAUUAUAAGGAAGAACAUAAAGCAUAUUAAGUAGCCUGAGAAAAAAAAGAGAGAGAUAGAACAUAUAGUACGGAAAAAGUUCAAAUGGAUGUAUUUUUUUCUAAUUCUUUCUAAAAAUAAGUCUUAUUGAGCGCAUGUUUUCUUGAGUAGUUGAACACAAGGUAGUGUAUGUGCAAAAUGCAGAAGCACAUGCAUUCACAAGCACAUAUUUAAAAAAAAAAAUCAAAGUAAUUAGUAUAAAUAAGAAAUAUGGUGAUGAAUAAGUGUGAAAGAAUGAUAGGUAGAAAUAUAUUAAAACAAAACAAAAGAAUCUUACGGAUUCCAUUUAUACUGAGUUAAGAACUUUUUAUGUGAUAAGGUGUGGAAGUGAGUCAAAUUUAUGUUAUCAUGGACACCAAGAUGGUACAAGUAGUUGAAACAAUACUACAAAUAACAAGAAAAUACAAACUAAACCAUGCAUGCGAUCGUCUAUUCUAUUCUAAGUGGUUUAUUCAGAAAGAGAAACCAAACAAUUUGGCAUAGCACCCAAAAGAAGAAGACGAAAAAAAGGAGCUCACUGGCAAGCUUGAUCUCUUCGGGGCUGGUGUUGUCUGUGAGGUACAGGGUCAUGAGGGGAUCGAAUCGACUGUCGGGUGGCAGAGCCUUUAAGAUGGAUUGGCGGUACGCCACCGCUGCAGCGGUGGUGGUGAUGGGGGGCUUCAAGUUGGGCAUCACGAUCGCCCUUCCAAAAUGCCUUGCGCUGCGUCGUCAUGAUCACGAAUCACCCAUCAAAUUCCCCCUUUCUUUGUCCGUCGUAAUCGAAAAGAAGAGGAGAUCGAGAGGCCUAUCACCUACCUGUGGGAGACGACGGCGCGGAGAAGGUCGCCCUCGCGCAGAUGGAGGUGCCAGUCGUCGGGCCGCGUCAAUGAGAGCUCCAUCCUCGACCCGGCCGAUCUCACCACCAGGCUACGCCUGCUUCCCUUGUCGGAACUCGUCUGGAGAGGGAUCCAAGCACGGGUAGCAACGUAGCAGCCGGCCUGCAUCGAACUCGACCAGUAUUCACAGGUAGCGCAAAACGAAGCCUAGCGAUCGACCUCGUACUUUUAACGGACCAGAUCGACGGCUUUGAUUAACUGGGCUAACUAGUGGGCCAUUGAUUCGGACCAUAAUUGACGCGGGCCCAAAAUGACACAAAUGGGGGCUUUACGGGCCGGAUUAAAAGGCUCAUGUAGUAACUCAUGAGAAAUUUUAUCGAUGUUAUUCCAUAAUUUUAUUAUUUUAUCCCUAAUGUACAAUUAAUAUUUUAUUUUUUUAUAAAAUUAACGAUAUAAAUAUCACGAUUUCAUUAAAAAAUUAAAGUAUUUUAUUAUAAAUUAAAUGUAAUAUUAUUUCUUAUGAUUAUCUUAUUUUUAUUAAUCUAAAUAAUAUAUUUUCAUAUUAUUUUUUUGUAUUUAUAUUAUAAUAUUAUUUUAAACCGAUUUAAAUUAAUAGGUCGAAUUGAUUUGAAAAUUAGUGGGUUGAUUGAAUCCGAUUCAAUUGAAAGGAAAAGAGGAGAGAAAAUGCCUCUCAAACUCGUUGAGAGUAUUUUUUUUAUCCUGUUGAAAAUAGCACUCUGCCUAGUGGGAAAAACCCAAAAUUGAUGACUUUUAUAGGGAAUUUACCCAAUAUCCAAUCUGCAUUACAUCUCAUUGAAAUAACAUAGAAGUAAUUUUAAGUAACGAAUUUUUGGCUUGGCACUUACAUUUCCAACCUAUGCCCAUGCAUAAUUAGACAUGGAUCUUUGGGUUAUUUGGGCUAGAGAGAACACAAAGCCCAACCAUACAUAACUGGACAUGGUGUGGAUGUCUCCAAUACGACAGCUUAAGAUAAGCUGCAGUGUGUCAAACCCACUCUACUCAAGCCGAGACAGGACCAAGAAUACUUGCAUGUGUAAAUAUGAAAAGGGAACAUUGUGGUUUUUAGUCUUGUUAUUAGAGAGAUUAUUUUCGUACUUUUAAACCAUGAUGAUCACUUAAAUAUAAAAGGAGUGAUUUGAUUAUGACACCAAGGUGCAGUUUUUAAGUUGGGCAUGAAUAGAUGUCUAAGAUCCAGACGUGAACUCUGCAUGUAGCACAGGUCGACUCGUACAUAAUUAGCCUAUCUACCGGCCAAAUAUUUAUGAACAAAGAUCAACCUUAUUCAUGGACUUUAUUCUAGUACUUGACAAAAGUGAACAGGCACAUGCCACUAAGUCUGCUUGGAAGAAGGGGAAAAAGCAAAAAAAAUCGGAAGGUCAACCAAAAUCUCAAGACUUCCAUCUUCUUCUCCUAGCUCGAGAUGGAUGUCAGGUGAGACACCACAAUGAGAUGUGAAUCCCACAAACCCUGCUCUUUCCAUUCUUGGAUGCCAUUUUCCCUGCAAUCUGACAGAACCACACAAGGGCAGGCAAUCCAACGUGAAAUGCAAAGGGGGACAGCACAAUCGAGUGUUGGUUGGUGCCAUCAAAGUAGGACUGCACUCUUAGCUGCUAGAAUCUGAAAUCCAUCCUUCCCUCUUCAUUUCCAAGGUAUUCUUGGACACUCGAGUGCAGCAUGGAAAUGAAUGUGACCAUGGGUAGAAGAAGGAUUAGGAUCUGAUUGAUUUGAUCCCACAAACAAACAAUUGGAUGCGUCAAUGGACUCCUCACUAAGAAAUCGAUGGGCUCUAGGCACACAGGAGAUGUGUGUAGGGGCACGGACGACUUAAGUCACGGGCAUUCCAAAGGGCGAGAAGAGCCUCGUAGUCGUGAUUCACAAACAGAUAAGAAUUAGAUACCCGGGCGGAAGCCAUCCAUUCGGGCAGGGCAAAAUGGCUUUAAUCGUAUCUUAUCUAAUGGAACUCCAUUGCGAGCACUAUGAAGGAAGGGGGGAAGCUUCGUAGAUGCUGUCCCAGGUGCCUUGUUAUCGUGAACCGAUGCUGUCCCAAGGUGUCGCCGGUUUGAGUUGGGCAACGAAGUAACUUUUAUGAUGCUUAGAAACGACACAUGGCUUUUUCUUCCAAGUGUCUCGACUUGGUGCCGAGUUUUACCGGUCGUUAUAGUUCUGUCACUUAACUCGAACAUGUACCCAAUCGACGAGUAAAAUCUACAAGGUUUAGGUCUCAUUUCACUAGUAGGUCGGUAUCCCAUAUCCAGAACCGAUCCAAUUCGAUAUUAGCUUUCCAGAGAGAGAGAGAGAGAGAGAGAUCAGUAGAUAUUCCCACUUCAAAAGUCUGCCUAAUUGUGGGCAAGGCAGGUCAAAAAAAAGAAAAAAAAAAUUGAUUCACAUAAUUAUUACUGUGUACCCUAAAGACAAUAUCUGUGUUUAUUUAAAGAAAGAGGAAUAAUGUGAGUGGAAACAAAGAUCUGAGAAUCCACCAAUGCAAAUGAGCAAAUUGGCCACUAAAAGAAGAGAGCGCCUGGCGCUCAAAUCAGCAGCUCUAUCGGAUUCGCCCUAACGAUCAUGACCCGUGGCUGUAGCUUAACUACAAAAUAUGCCUGAGAAAGCAACGGAAGACGUGGAGAAUCCAUUCUCUCAAAGCUAUAGCGGUGAGGAAAACAUGAUGGUGAUUGGCCAUAUUGACGACCUUAUCACAGUAGAUAGGGUAUCUGCAGAUUUUGCUUUAGUCGUAUCCAAAUCUAACUAUUAAAUUAUUGCCUUUUUCCUGCUCCAUGGGAAGAAUGGCUUACUUUCCUUCCUACAUUUGACUCUGCCCUGCAAAGGACUGACAUGGAUAUAUAAUUUCCCACUAUAUCCAUCCUGAAACCAAACCCAAUAUCAGUUUUAAAAUGGGUUGGAUAAAUGCAGGUAGGUACCUACAGAAAAAAAAAACCAAAAAAAAAAUCACCUGUUAUUAUCUAAAGAACAAUCGAUAAAAAGCAUGUCUCAAAUUUGAGGAGCACGUAUCCUAAUUCGACCUAAGUGGGUCAGUGGGUAUUGGGAAAUAAACUUUCUUCCCAUCCCUUAUCCAAGGCUACAACAAUCUCUCGAUGUUGCCGACCCAUCAUAACAAUGCUGCCACGCAACCUAAGUGGCUGCAUUUGCUAUUUUUGUGUCACUCAGAUUAGGAAUUCUUAGGUAGACCAAAAGUAUUUAGCAACACAUCUCAAGGUAUUUCGCUACAAUUGGAUGGUCCACCGAUAACAUGGUGGAUCUAGUUCAUCAAAAACCUAUAUAUAACAUGAAAGCUACUUGGAUGGAUCAAAUCACAUGCAAGGAGUUUUUCUCGGUACUGGUCAGAUAGUCAGGUUUGCGAAAGGUGACAUUAUUCUUGAAAUUUAGUCUGACAAAGCAGCAUGGAAAAAAGAAGAAGGAAUUACCUGACAGGUUAGGCUUGUGAGAGGACCAUGCAAGAUGAGUCUUUAAAGAGGGAUCUUUGCUACAGGUGUCAGACCUGAGAACGAAUUUGAUGCUACAAGAACUGUUGAUUAACAGUAAUAUAAUCCUGCCAAGAAAAAUACUGUUGGUUAGUAGUAGUGAUAUUUCCACAUUAGUUUCUUAUAGGUAUUGCGUAAACAUGAUGUUAACAGUAAAUCACUAUGUAAGCAUCUUACUAUAUUCCAAUAGAAAGGUGAAGAAAAGUUUCAAUUGUAGCAUAUCCUUCACAACUCAUGAGACUAACAAUUUGCAUCAUCCAUGAGGGAGAGUCGAUAACCAUGAACCAGUCCUUUAGAGAUCAGCAUAAUCAUGUAAUCACCCAGCUUUAUGCCCAAGUUUGCAAGAGGACCAUUGGAAUUAGAAGGACUCAGAGAGGUGGAAGCCUUCCUUGCUGGACCACUUUGCACUCUCAGCCUUACCAGUCAGAUUUCACUUGGAAUUUUGAGACAUGGAAGAGGGACAAUGAUCAAAGUUCUGGCAUCCUUUACUGUCAGAUGUAAAGACCAAAAUGCUUCAGUUGCAUAGAUACCAACUAAAUAUUUGAUUAUGGCCCGUAACUUCGAUUGAUAAUUUGAGAACAUAAAAGAGUGUUCUGUGAUCCAUCACUUCUACCAAAUGCAUUGCACAGGUUUCUUAUAUCAUCAUAUUCCUGAUGAUGCUGACAGAAGCUAGUCACCAAAAUGUGAAUGAUAGACAUGGGAGUAUGGUGAAGGUUUAUAAUCUUGUUGCAGGACAACCCAUAGAGUUAGGUAGUCCCAACUGCAAGCAGCUGCAAUUUCAGGUACCACCACUUAAACAGGAGACUGAAUCUGCUUCACAUAUCUAAACUUGGACUAUGCAUGCCAUCUACAAUUACCAAUAAGGUAAAUUUUGGUUAGCAUCAUAUUUGUCUCACAUAUAAAAAGAAAAUAUAGACAGACACAGUAAAAUAUGUUGAAUGCUAACCUACAUUUCUUUAUAGGUUCUUCACGACAAAUGAACAGUAGCAAAAGAUCUGAUGGAAAAUCGGGCUGAUAUAUAGAUGGUAGUACCUUUCAAAUUUUCCUUUUUCACUUUGAGAGACCACGAGAUGGGAUGUGAGAGGUGGUAAGGUAAGCCAACCAUAAACUGGAAAAGAUCCAAAAUUGAUGGCACAGAGCAUCUAAAAGAUCAGGAACUUACACUAAUAAGUGAUGGAGGUUUAGCUAAAGGACCAUCAACCAAUAGGUGGAUCAGGUUCUGUGGCAUUUUAAAAUAGAUCUUUUCUUUUAGCUUCUUGGAUUCUCCAAUCAAGGAGAAGACAGUAUGGAAAGGAACUAUUCACAUAAUACAGGACUAAAGCUCCAUCCAACCCUGACAAUGAAAACAAAUUGAUGUUUUUCAUGUCCUUAACCUGUAGAGUGGUACUCAAGUUAUAUUUCCAAAUGCUGUUUCCCGUGGACUUAUUUGAUAACUUUAACAUUCUCACCAACAGGCUUUGUGGCCAAGAUGCAACUUCCCAUUCUUCCUAGGCAUCAAUCACCAUACAUGGCACCCACCAGGAAACCACAAAGUUUGGCACCCAUACUGUAUUCGGUAUCAUCCAACCUUCAUCAUGGACUCUCAUCUUCCCAAGGACAAAUCAAAUGCUGUAUUGAUUUAUGAUGCAUUUCACAGGAUCAUGAGGGUUAUCACUCAGUCAUGUCAUUUGCCCUCAGAAUGCAAUGUCAUUCUACUAAUGAAAUUCACAUGGUUGUGGAAAAAACUAACAGAACUUCACCAGGAAGAGAGAAAAUGAGGUCUUUCUGGUCUUAAGCCAUCUUUUGGCUAUGACCAUCCACAGGAUCAUAUAACUAGCUCUACAGAAUUUCGUGGUCACAUUCACAUUCACAGACCAGACAUGCAUUAUCCCAGAAGUGGUGCCUGAACACAGACAUCUAAGGGCAUAAUUCUGGGAACCCAAAAACAGUUCACUGUUUACAGUAGGCCCUCACCCCUCAAAAGGUCGAUAUUCAUAUCCUGAAAUUAGUUCCAAAGUAACCUAACAAACAGGACCUAGUUCUUAUGGUUCACUUGUUUUAUCUAUGGCCACCUCUAACCAAUAUUUUACGUGGGCCUGGAAACAAAUCCAUCCACCAUAGAUGUGUAAACCACCACAUACCUCGUAAGUUGGCUAAAACUUCUGCCCAUUGUUUCCAGAAAAUUAAUGUUCUGACUUCUUCAACUCAAUCUGCAGUAUUUCCCACUCCUAAUGAUUAGAUCCAAGUAAAAUCCUUUAUUAUGUCUUUUCCUUCUCGUGAACUUUUCCUCAUCCAAUCCUUCCUAUGCAUUGACCAAGCAGCCCACUUGAUCAAGGACAUCAGUCAGACAGCAACCUUCACUACCCUAUAUAUAUUAGACCUCUCUCGAGUCCCAUUACCACUGAAUAUCAGAUCACAAAGGCAUCAUAGUGCAACCAUGUUGUGCUCUUGUAUGAACUGCUUACAGCACUUUGGCAACGAUAGUUUCCAAUUGGAAAGUGGAGGAUACAGCAUGCACAAUGACCUUUUGCCAUCACUGGGAGCAACAAUAAACCAUACAAUCAAGCUCAGGAAGCACAUUGUUUCACCAUACGAUCCUCGUUACAGGUAUACUGACUCAUCGGUCUCCCUGUAUUCUCACAAUUAUAUUUUGAACAAACAGCAUGUUUAUUUUCUUCUCACCAACCACUUUUCAGGCUAUGGGAGAAAUUCUUGAUAGUCCUGGUUCUCUACUCUGCCUGGAUCUGCCCAUUUGAAUUUGCAUUUCGGCGAUACUUGCCAAGCACAAUCUUUCUUGUGGAUAACAUCAUCAAUAGCUUUUUUGCAAUUGACAUAGUACUCACCUUCUUUGUUGCUUUUGUUGACCAUAAAUCAUAUCUUCUUGUUGAUGAACCAAAGAGAAUAGCAGUCAGGUUAGGAUUUGUGAAUCUUGUACAACACAAAAACUUAAAAGCUGCUUGGGCUUAACAGAAUCUGACUUCACAGGUAUCUGUCCACUUGGUUCAUCUUUGAUGCAUGUUCAACAUUUCCCUUUCAAACAAUCAGCUUCUUAUUCAAUGGACAUAGUAAAAGCCUCGGCUUCAAACUUCUCAGUGUGCUUAGACUGUGGCGUCUACAUCGUGUCAAUUCCCUGUUUGCUAGGUCUGUAUCUUCUAUCAUUUCAUAGUAUACAUUUUACCAGAACAGGACUGAUUUCCUAAUUUUCUUUCCACAGACUUGAGAAAGAUAUUCGGUUCAAUUAUUUCUGGACACGGUGCACAAAGCUUUUCUCUGUAAGCCCAGCAUUUUGUUCAUUGUUUUGCUUCAAGCAGCUGCACAAGUAUUCCUACCAUAACAUUUUUGUACUUCAGGUAACUCUUUUCGCAGUCCACUGCUCUGGAUGCUUCAACUAUAUGAUUGCUGAUAGAUAUCCCGACCCGGAAAGAACCUGGAUAGGUGCAGUGAUACCAAACUUUAUGGAACAUAACCUGUGGGUUAGAUAUGUAACAGCAAUAUACUGGUCAAUUACAACACUAACGACUACAGGUUAUGGUGACUUACAUGCUGAAAACACAAGAGAAAUGGUAUUUGGUAUUUGCUACAUGCUCUUUAAUCUGGGGUUGACGUCUUACCUCAUUGGAAAUAUGACGAACCUUGUUGUCCACGGGACCAGUCGCACGAAAAACUUUGUAUGUCCUAUCUCACAAGUUCUUUAAAGAUCUCUUAUUUUGCUGGCAGAUAAACCUCAUACCUGUUUAUUUUAUCAGAAUAAGCAGUGGAAAAAGGAAAAAAUCAUAGCAUGCACAUCAACACUUACACAAGAUUGUCAAAGGUCCAGAUUCAAUAUGAUGUUGGAUCAUCUGGUUGCAUGGCUUUCUCAGUUGUCUAAUUGUUGUGUACAACUUCAGAGUUCAGUCUUGCAUUUUUUAUUCAAAUUUAAAAAUAUUUCUUCUUCUUAAAUUUCAUUUCAUUAAUAGAAUUAUCAAAAGCAUGAUCAGAGGAUCAAAAGAAUAUUUUAUUUCAUUGCUCCUAAUAAAGGAUCAAGAGAAUUAUUGAAACAGUUGAACAACAGUAUACCCCACUAAUUGAUUAGAGAAUUUUGUCAUUUUACAUUCUGUUAAUGAGUGUUUAUUUUGAUAUUCAGCGGGACACCAUUCAGGCUGCUUCUGAAUUUGCGUCAAGAAAUAAGCUACCAAAACAUAUGGAGGAACAGAUGUUGUCUCACAUAUGCUUAAGAUUCAAGACAGAGGGACUCAAACAGCAAGAGACUCUUGAUGGCCUCCCAAAGGCCAUCCGCUCAAGCAUAGCCGAGUACCUAUUCUUUCCUAUUGUCCAAAAAGUAUACCUUUUCCAAGGGUUUUCCUUUAAUCUCAUUUUCCAGCUGGUGAGGUUUAAAAUAUAAAUGAUCAAUUACAACACUAAGCAGGUCAAAUGCAUGCAGCAUGCUGAUAAGACCAUUGUGCAAUUAAUAGGUGACAGAAAUGCAAGCUGAGUAUUACCCACCAAAGGAAGAUGUAAUACUGCAGAAUGAAGCCCCAGCAUAUCUAUAUAUAAUAGUAUCAGGAGCAGUGGUGAGUAACUUCUCUUUUUUGCCUGUAUUCUUGAUUCACCCGCAUAGUUGUUUCCAGCAAUUUCACAUUCAUAACUAUUUUCAUUAGUAUUUUUGUUGCAGGACAUGCGAGCAUCUGCAGAUGGGGUUGAAAAGGUAAAGGCUUUUAAUAUGUGCAUCAAUAGCACACUAGCACGUUAACCAUUGAUAAUUAUUGUAAUAUCAAAAUCUUCAGGUUCAUGGAAGGUUGACUGCAGGGGAAAUAUUUGGGGAGAUAGGAGUUCUAUGUAACAUGUCACAGCCAUUCACCAUAAGAACCACUGAGCUCACACAAAUUCUCAGACUGAACAGGACAACACUCUUCAACAUUAUUCGACAAAGUAGACAGGAUGCGACUAUUGUCAUGAAUAAUCUUUCCCAGGUAUAUAAUUAAGAUUCGACCAGUGCGCUUUUUAUAGAGAAAAUAAUUUAUCAUUUUUGGCAAAAUAGGAGCUUAAAUUUCUCUCCAUUUAAUCUAACAGAAUUUAAGGCUACAUGAAAGUCUAUACCCCGGAAUACAGCAAAAUGAACCUGGUGAACUUCUUAAAAGAUGGCUCGAGAGAGAUCCAUGGAAGAGGAAUGAGAACCAUGCACCAGAUGGAAAUAAUUAUCAAGUCUGCAAGCUACACACACAGGAACUUAUGGAUAAAUGUAAAAGUCCAGGCAACGCAGAAAAAAACAAGGACAAUGGCACACCCAAUGAAUUUCCAAUCGGUCAGGUCAAUGCAAAAUUAGACCAUGCAGAUCGGCACAGUGUUUUUCAUACGGUUGCACAGGAUGGAUACAAUAUAACUGCCAAUAUUUUGCUCAAACAAGAAGCAACUAUAGAAGAGGACAAAGAUAACAGGUGGACCCAAAAAGGAUUGGUUGAGAAACAUGAAAAUACAGGUAAAUUUGAGUUUUCAUCAAGUAAUGGAAGUACAAGGAGACACACUGGAGAGCAUGAAAUAGAAUUUGUUGAAAUGAAAGCAUCUGGCUAUGAAAAUGACUUUGAGAACCAUGGCAGCAGAGAAUGGAAACCCAGGUUUGGGUAUCCAAAUAUUAAUGAAUUGACGAUAGCUUCUUGUUCACAAAGUGGAAGCCACAACUUCGAGAACAAUAUCAUGAGACUAACAGGCAAAAGAGUGACCAUCCACAUGCAUUCUCAAAAGGGAAAUCCAGCAAGACAGCUAACUGCAAAGAUGAUAAACUUACCAGGAACCAUGGAGGAACUCCUCAGAAUUGGCAGUAAGUAUUAUUUGGACUGAUUUACAUGAAAGGUAUAACCAUAAAAGCUGCAAAUGCUAAUAUAGAUAGUAUCCAAAAUCAGUGUCAAGCUUAAACUGAAACACACAAAUAACAAAGCAUAAGAGUACCAGUUUCAGGAAGAAACAUAAACUGUGAACCAGAAAGAAUUCAUGUGUCAUAUAUUCCAUUGUUGUGCAGGUGAGAAGUUUGUGGGACAUCAUCCUACAAAAGUGAUCAACCAAGAGAAUGCAGAAAUUGAUGACAUUACCAUAGUCCGUGAUGGGGACCAUUUGUAUCUCCUAGAGAUUUAAGAAAACUAGCAAGACUGUCAAAGAGGACAUGGUCUAACUAGGAUUCAAAGGUCAAGGAAUACUUCCAAUACACUUGAGUGUGUAGGUUUGAGCAAUGUUUCUGAAAAAUCAAAAUUAUGUAAUGGUUUCUGACUAAAUUAACUUUAGUUCUUUACUUCUACUAAUUUAAUGAAUAGUUGCUAAGUACAUGAGAGCUUGGUUCAAAAAUAUUCCUUGUGCCCAUAAACCAAUAUAAAUCACAAAAAAACAUUUAAUAAAAUUUUAAAAAUAAUCUGAAUUAGACAAAUCACUUUUGGUUUCUUAUCGAAAAAGAUAAUUUACUAAAAUUGGCAUUGCAGAGAAAAUGGCACAAAAAAAUUCACUUUUCCUUGAAGACAUUCGAGAAGGUUGAUCGACCAACUUUGCAUUGUAGGACAACUGGACUGGAGCUCAAUCGAAUUACCAGGGCACACCAGGAUACUCUGAACAUCAAAUUUACUAGAAAAGCUGAUAAAAGAAGUGCUUCAGUACCAUCAACAAAGUUAACGAGAAUACACAUAACAAUGCAAAAAUUAUUCACCAAGGAGAAAUUAUUCACCAUUUUUUAUUGAGAUGUUAUAUUGUCGCAAAUGCCACGUGAUCCCCACCAACAUCAUCAUGCAUGCAUCUGUUUGUUCACAUAAAACAUAUAGAUGAAGCCAACCACAGCACCACGCAUUCAAUAAACUUGAUCAUAAAACUUAUAGCUACACACAUCAAUGGUACUUAUACUGUCUUUAAAGAAAUAAUUAUGAUUUUGACUUGAGCAUGCAGGAAAAUUGAUGAUUGAUAAGUAGAAAUAUACGCAUACGGUCAUAUACAGAUAUAGAUGCAUCAUAAUUUGUUCAAAUACAAAUGCACAAUACAAACAUAACAAUAACAUAUAUAACUAGCCAAGGCAGCAAAAAAAUCUAAGUAAAAUAGUGAGACAACAAAAAAGACUGGCAUAAAACAUAAAUGAGUUAACAAAAGAGAUUAAAAAUGAUAUAGAAGAUCAUGAGGUAUCUACAAUUAAAACGAACAAAAGAAAAAGAGAGAGAGGAUGAGCCUAUUGCUCCUACCUAAAUCCGUUGCCUAAUACUGUUGUCUCAAGCACAUCAGACACAUAUUGGUCAUCCACCAAUUCAAGUAGUUUCUCGAUCGACUAUUUUCUUAGAAUACUAAUGUCCUACAGCAGCGAUCGAACGAUCAAUAACGAAACAGAGAACGUUCAACGACACUAGUUCCACGGCAUCCGCGAUAGCCAACCCUAACUCCAGACUUGCAGAGAUCACCACAUUUCGAGGGAUUAUUACGGUAAAGAAAUAUAUCAAGAGGAGCUAGAAGACCAACUCAUGAGGAGCUAAAAGACCUGGCUUAAAGAAAUAAAGGAGGAAGGAAGACCAGGAAGCCACCACCUCGAGUCUUGGACGUCGGCGAUCACCGCGAGCGUCGGACCAACUUCCGAUGCGCUCGAAUCCCGUUUAUUCCUCCAAUGGGCUUAUCUUAUUGGGUAACGACGCCAUUGACUACCGGAUGUUCCCCCCAUUUAAUGGGCCUUAUGUGCCCAUUAACAUCUAAGGUUAAUCGAAUGGUUUCUACAAGUACCAAAAUAGCAUAUUUGUCCCAACAUAUUUUAAUAUAGCAUGCAUAUAGGUCCAUAAUAUUAAUUAUCCUAAUAUUUUAGUUUGAUACUGAAAAUAUAUUUUAUUUUCUUACCAUUAUAAUAACGAUGAGUAUUUUAAAAGUACUUAUCCAGCCAGUCUAAUAACGUGUAACAAUCAGCCUCAUACAUUUGACUUAUAUCUUAGAUGUUGUCAAGUCACAAAAGGUUGGUGUCGAAAAUGACUCGAUUCAGCAAUGGACAUGAAUAACUAUAUUAUCGGAUAUGUCCGAUGAAGAUACUCCGAUAUCUAAAUUAAUGUCCGGAUGUGGAGAAAUAAUUGAAUGGAGAAUUAAAUCAUGGGAGCAGUUUAACGAGGGAUCGCCCAAAUCAUCAAGCUAUGGCACGUCGUGUCAGUUACGUGAGUCAAGCUGGCGAGGGGGUCCGGUCCGAAUACGUGUCGUUGUUAGUCUUGCCAAAACUUAAAUUUAAAAUGAUAAAUUAAAAUACAUUUCAGAAAUAAGAAACGGCACCAUAUUAUUACUUACUGGUACAACGGCUAUAACAAAUGUCGUUUUGCUAGUUCUUUGUCAUUGCACGCCACGUUCGCAGAACCUUUUAACGGCUACUCCACUCAACACGGCAGGCAGCGGGACCCACCCACGUGCCUUUGCCUGCGAUCCGACGCUUUCGAAUCUUUCCCUUUCCCAACGGCUCUCUCUUCUUCCUUCCCCCCCCUUCUCCGCCUUCACCACCUCCCUCUCUCUCUACGUUGUAUAUAUACACGCACACACAUCCUCUACCUUUUCACAUUCACCGCAGCUAAAACCAGCUUCUCGAGUUCGUUUCCCUUUGAGCCACUCCCUCACCGCUUGCUACCUGUGAGAAAUGGAAGCCUCCAUGAGACUUUCUUUGAAGGUACCGCUGCUGCUGCUGCUGCUGCUCCUACUCGCAUCUGUUGCAGUCCACGCGCAGGAGGCUCCGGCGCCUGCGCCGACCAUGGAGAGCGGAUCGGUCCCGGCAGGCCCCGGUCUCUGCGUGCUUGCUCUCUCUGCCGUGGCUUCUCUUGUCGCUGCCUUCGCGCACUGAGGGUCACUUUCUCGUGGCCCAGCAUACCAUAAUCCUAAUAUGAUUACAAUGAUGUGAGCUGGUUAUAUGAUAUAUUACGUCUCUGUUGCAUUGGGUGUUCGUAUUGCCUUCUUGUUUAAGAACGAAUUGAUCCGUGGAUGCUAUUUGUCGGGCUGUAAAUGGGUGCUAUAUAUUUUAUAUCUUUUUGCAUCUAAUUGGAGAAUCACAGAUCUCAGUAGCUUUAAUCCGAGUGUUUUUGAGGUAUUAUAUCGUAUAUGGGAAAAACAUAAUCACAUUUAGUGCCAGCAUUGUCUUGAUCGUAGUGAAGAGGAGCAGCUAAAUGAUGACCGAACUCUUCUUUGACCAUUCUUAGACAAACACCAACUUUUUUGUCAUUUUGACCGGUGGUCAAAAUCAUUAAUUAGAAGAUGACAAUGUGAAGGCACAAGCGCAAAACGUGUUCCUCCUAAUUUGCACUGGAUUUGGCAGAGGUAGCUUUAGUGGGCUAAAUUUUGAGUUGCGCAUGCCAUUUUCCUGCGACUGUUCUCUCUCUCACACACACAAAAUCCAGAACAUCAUGGGGACAUGCCAUUUGCUGGUAUCUGCUCUCCGCAGCACUGAUAUGUGGACAUGAUGAUGACGAGACUUGCAAGCAUCGGUUGGCAGCUGAGUAAAGGCUAAAACCAAGUGUAUUGACCAAGGUAAGAAGUAGCACACCUCCAACCAUGUGAGAGCAGCAGGCUUGGUGGUGAUGGUGAUGUCCUUCCUUCCAUGUACACUAAUAAUUUAUCCUCAUCAUACAGGCCAUACCUUCUUUGACUUUUGCCCCUCCUGAUAAGAACCAAAUCAUGUCGUAGAUCCCAAUGCUUCUCGGGCAUCUUUCCUCCAACUACAUGUUCAUAUUACAUGGUAAGAUGAGAACAAAGAACAGAGUUUUUUAUAGUCUAUACUUGCUGAUCAUUAGAUGCAAGCGAAUACGAGUUUCGGAUCAUCUGAACCUUCUCCUAAUCUGUGAAGCUGUUCUUGGACAGUCUCAAGAAAAAUUCAACAAAGUUCUGAGCAUAACAAUCGAACACUAAUCAAAAUUUAGACCACGAUCUCAGCCUGUACAGAACGACACUGGAAAGCAGAAGUUGAGAGAGUAAGACUUGCAUGCCACUAAUUAGCUGCACACAGAUCCUUCCCCUAUGUGCACCGCACACCGUAACUCAAGAACUGCAGCCGCGGAAGUCAACGGAGGCCGCGGUCAACCCUCGCCGGCGCCUCCCGUCUCAAGAGCCGCCGCCCUGCCGUCGCCCGGUCCAGGUGCUCCGCCGGUUAGUGGGGCAUCCCCUACGGCGGCCGGCUCCGACGGGGACGUUCCGGAGGGCGCCCCCGGCGGUCCAGUAGCGAUGGCAGGCCUUGCAGAAGUGCCGCGGCUGGUUGACGUUGUAGUUGUUGAAGUAGCAAAACUUGGUCUUCUUGCUCUUGCACCUGGGGCAUGGCAGCGCCUCCUCCGGCUCCACCGCCUCCACCACCCCGGCCGUCUCCGUCGCCGGCUGCGCCGCCUCCUCCUCCUUGCCUAGUCCGUCCCCCUUUAGGAUCACCGUCCCGAAAAGUUUGAAGCUUGGUGCUUCCUCGUCUUCUGCCAUGCUGAGAUCGGAGAGAGACAGAUGAUGAGGACUCCCGAUAGGUUGAGAGGGAUAGGAGGCGCAAAGCGAGAGAGAGAGGUAUAUAUAAGGGAGGUGGCAACAGAGGCUUCAUUCUUUAGUGCUCUUUAUCGUCAUCUCAUCCCAAUGGAUAGAAAGGCCACCCAAAGAGAGCAAGAAGAGAAAGAAAAAGAAGGCUUGUCUGACAACAAGAAAAAAAAGGUCUUCCAUUUUGGAUGUUAUCCAUCUCCCGGAAGAAACUUUUUUCUCAUUACUUGGGUGUGAAUUGUGGACUCUGCCACUCGGGAAAAGAAUUCCCCAACAAUGACAACAUGGAAACUUUGGAAUGGAGCUUUGUUUGUCAUCCAUUCAUGCGGUGAUGAGGUCUUCAGUUCAUGAAUCAUCGCCAUGUGCCUACAGCAUGUUACUGCGUAAGUCAACAAAGAAUAUGAUGGCAAAGCGAAACAUUCCAAAUUUUGUUUUCAGCUAUGGAAGUUGUUUUGGCACUGAUGAAGUAAUCACAAAAGUAAUUCAAGAUGCUCAAUGAAAGUGGAGAUAAGAAUUGUGGUGCAUAUAUUUCGUUUAUUGUUUUUUAUGUUGGGUUGAUUGCAGGACCACUUUGCAAUAAAUAGAGUAGGUGAUUUUGCCUACCCUUCCUCUAAGAACAACAUCAAAGUCCAAAUAAAUUGUGCCUAAUCUUCUCCGAUCGCACUCAGAAUAUAAAGCUUAUGGACUUGAGAUUUUUAAGGGAGUAAUGGAGGACAUGUGGGAAUAAAUGGCUUUGCUCGUACUACUGAGCAAGAAAGAUGGAGAAAUUUGUGGUUAGCACCAGAACUUAGAUUCUUUGGCUCCAAGAUUGACUUUUCUUCGGCAGAUGGGUCCAAAACUCAAUUUUUAAUGUAAUUUUACAUUAAAUUUUGUUUUUUGACUGCAUAUAAUGCACCGGAUAUUUUAUCAGAGAUAAUCUAAAUCUCAUUUGAUUGGAUUCUUUGCUCGCUGGAAUUUGCUCUGCUCACAAGCAUGAUCACAUGAUGUUGGAUUGAACGCCAGAAUAAGGUGAGUCUGAUUCGUUCUGGAAUUAGUUCGGAUGAGGGAAACGGAUCCGUGGAAGGAAUAAAGCUGAGCUCCUCUUUCUUCGAUCUUUUCCUUGCUUUUGACUCGAUCUUUUUUAUCUUGACGAUACUGCGCGCAAUGCUGGCGAUGAUGGAGGGGCUGUAGAAGAUACUGAUAGCUGCGCAUCACAAUAUAUCUAGAAUUAAACGUAAUUAAAUUGGUCUCUUUCAAUCGGUAGGACAACACUUGUUCUGUACCUGAGAAUGAUUGACUUGUUCAUUUCUGGCAUCCCUGUCUGCUUAGAUCAAGUCCUAGCUUUCUACAACCACCAUGAACAUCUCUUGGCUUCUUCCCAGCUCCCUUUCUCGGUUGAUGUCAGUGUCCGAGUAGAUGGGAAUUCUUGAAUGCACUCAGUGAAGAACUUGAAAAGGUUGUCUUACUGCUUCAGUCAGUGUGCACUUUUCUGCAAAAGAAAAUGACAAAAACCAUCUCAAAAUUGCAUCUUACUUUUCUUCUCCGUGAAGAGUAUGUGCUUUCUUCUCUUACAGUAGGAAAAAGUUGGGAAGUAGUUAAUAGGGUGGAAAGGAAGAUUGCCGGCCUCUUUUGUCUUUGAAUCAUUAGUCUAUGCCCUGAUAUUAUAUAUAUAUAUAUGAAGGAUAAACAAGCAUAUGUUCUUUUGUCUUUUCUAGGGUUCAUCCACCCUCAUCAGACUUUUAACAUGAUGAUACAAGACUGAUCCUUUCUUCGUUGGAUGGGAUUUGUGGUUGACUGACUCCAAGCACUUUUUUACACCUGAAGAAUCUAUAUGGUGAUCUCUUUGGUGUUUCUUUUGUGGGAAGGAAAGCAACAUGUGUAGCAAGCAUUGGACAGAUGGUUGAUGGUUGAAGAAUGUAUACAUCUCAUUCAGAUCAUAUGGAGGUCAGCAGCUCAUGUGGAUCAAUUAUCAUUAUAAGAUGAAAUCAUUAAUGACUUGAUUAAUUUUGACAUUAAUGUUGCUGAUGUCUCAUGACGCUUAAGCUGCAGAUUACAAAACAAUCAUUCAUUCCAAAUCCUUUUAUCAUCUUUAGUUUGGAGAACAGUCGCCAACAAAAAUGGCAUCCGCCAAUUCCAUGGCAACCUUCUCAACAAGUGCAGUCACGAUGUGCUCUUCCACCUUACUGACAACGUUAUAUGCUUCUUCCAUGCAAAAGCCAUUCCUCCAACCCACGUCCCACAUGGCGUUCGUCAACAUGUCUUUGCAUCUGAGAUCUCUUUCCAGCCUCACGUAGAGACUGUCUCUGUAAGGAACAUCAUCGUCAGCCUCACUGUACUUGGCAAGUCUCCCAAUUCCCUUGCUGAUUUCCCCCACUAUCUGAUCAAGUGAAGCGUGCUCUGUUCUGCUCCACCGGUGAGUCAGCGACAUAGGAUGAUGGCCAGAGAGCUCCGCGUGCUGCCUUUUGCGCUCUAUCAACUCUUCUGCACAACCCAAAUAGAGCUUAGCAUCUUUGUCAACCUCGUCCCAGUCCAGCUUUCCGUGAUUCGUAGGUGUAUGAGCGUCAAGGGUCAGCUCGUCGGCAUGCAGCAGGAAUGACUGGCAGCUGAGCAGUAAAGCUUCGAGGUGUUCUACUUUAUCUGCUCUUGUAGUGGUGCUGAUGAGUUCAUUGCCGACAUGCUUAGCGGCCGCUGCUUCUGCUUUGCCAGAAACCAUUCCACCUUUGCUGGUCUUUGGCAUGACUUCGCGAAUGACUUUCUGGUCUUUCCCAGUCUUCUCUGCAAGCGAGAAUAAGAGAAUAGCCUAUUUAGAACUCAUAUGCUUCCGUGACCACACGUCAGUUCUUAAUUGAUUGAAAGGAUGAAAGAAUGCUUACCAUUGUUGGAAGAUUUUGGGCUCAGCUUUCGCUGUUUCGAAGGUUCGGCAGCAGGCGAGAUGUUGAUUGCAGAUGCGUCAUCAUCUGUCUUGCAGGAAGGACUCAUUUCCUGGCCAUCUCUCUGCUUUGGAGUCUACAAGAAAGUAUGGUAGGAUUGUACAAAUAGAUGUUUGUUAAACUUUGUGUUCAUAGUUCUCAUCUAAAUAAGCAUCACAAUAAUUGAGUAAAAUUCCUGAGAUUAGUUUGGCCAUCUUCUGUAUCGAACGCUUUCUUUUGAGUAAUCUCUACAUGGCUGACCAAUUCAUGGGCUCAAAAAAAUUUGAAUGGCAUGAAAGGGAAUACCUUGACCUUGGUCAUCUUUCGAGCUGGUUUUGCUGCAGCUGUUCUCUUUUCUGCUGCGGCAUUGGUGGAAUUCCCUGAUACCAUUUCCCUCUGGGGUUUCAUCAUACUCUUCUGCUGUGUCGCCCCUGCUUUCAUGGCAAUGCUCUUUGCAGAAGCUGGUCUUCUGUUGGGCUCGGUAGAUGCUGUUGUAGCUUUCUUGGCCUGAGAUAACGGAGCUGCAGCAGCUUUGAGGCCUUUUCUGCUUUGAGGAGUCGUUCGAUCUAACAAUGACCUCUGUCCCUGAUAGCUUCUCUUGUGAAGAUUCGCUUCCUUCUUCUGCUGUCCAUGGCAUACAGAAGCUGGCAAUUUACUCGUCUUGGACGACUCUACUUUGCUCUUCUUCGAGCUCACUGCUUCUUUUCUCACCGAUUCAUGUGCUAGCUCCCGUCUUCUGUUGGCAAUGACCUCGUCAUGCUCCACCUUGGUGGCUUCGAUCGACUCCUGGCUUGAAGGCGGACGAGAAGGAAGGAGCUCAUGCUGCUCCCCUCUCUCGGGAAACUGCAUUGCCUUAACAGUCGAUGGGUCUUCUUCAUCCAUAUGGAAUCUUUUACUGUAGCGUUCAUCUGCCGAAGUAUCGUUUGAAUCCGACUGAUUUCGGCAACCUAUUUCUUGGCCUCUCUUCACGAGCCGCUCGAUCUUUUCUCGUUCGAUGAUGCUCCGUAGAGUCACUCUCUCCGGUUUCGGACUCUGCUUAGACAACAGCAACCUUCCUGCCUCAGGCUUCCCAACAUGAAACAUUGAUCUUGGUGCAUUUAGAUUCUCCCUGAUCUGUUCCUUUCGUAUGGUUUCGGCAGCUUCUGCAGGGACUUCUUCCAAGCCCAUCAGCCUUGCAAUCAGGCUCGGAGCUUUCAUCUUCACUGGCUGCUCCGAGGCAGCGGUAGAAUUCUUUCUUCCCCCCUCUGUCUCAUGAUAGGAUGAACCGAGUGCACUUCUGAAAUACACUCCCAAUGACCGGCUGGAAGACGUCUUCUCGUCGUCGGAAGAUAUUUGCAGUAGAUUCUGACCAUGGAGACCCUCUCCGAUCACCUUCUUCAUCCCCUCACCGCAACUCCUCCAUGAAAGACUACUGCAGAGCUUCUCUUCCUGCAGCCUACAGCUGUAACUGUUCACUGCGUACCUAUGUGGCUUCUCUAGCUCAUGACCGAUGUGUGCUCCCUCCAUGAAUUCUCUUUGGCGAGGAAUCGUCUUCCUCGAUUGAAGCUUCAGUGAUUCCUGAGCGUCCAAAGCAUCCUUCAGAUGACCGUUGCUGACACAUUUCGAUCCUCCAUCAAGAUUUGCCACCCCGAACCAUGUGUUGAUCAUGUGACUCAGCUUGCGAGCUGGUUUGGAUACCUCCAACAGCUGCACGUCACUGUUCUCCCUGGAGGGGAGGCCAUUGCCUCCUCUUCUUCUUACCAUCAAAAGGAGUGCAAUCCAGGCCUCGACAACCUCUCCAGGGAAUCCACCACCCGCAGAAGUCAAUUGUUUGUUUCUGCCGACAAGAACAGGAUCAUUAAAACCCAUAAGCUACUAACCUUAAAUUGUCUGAGAACAAAAUUCCAGUUGUCAAGGAAGAAAACAAAUAUUCCAGUAGAAGUGAAAAGCUCUCUGGUUUUGGAACUCCACUAAUUCUUGAUCUGUACAUAUCAUGACAAAAUGACCGGCUAUAAUCUAUAUAUGCGGGCUAACACUGGCUUCAAAGCGAGAAGUGGAGAGAACAGAGCUACCUGAAACAGGAGCCAUAUGAGCUGAGGGUGGAAGCCAAGAAGAAAAAGAAAGGUGGCUGAAACCAUCAGGAGUCCCCCAUGCUGCUGUGUCUCCACUCCCGGUUUGGCUCCUUGAGAUCACAAACGUGUCACGUUAACUCCCUCUCUGUCUCAGCGAAACAGCAGAUUUAGGUUUUUUGCUACCUGCUGGUCUUCUCACAGACUGAGAUCAUUGAAUUCCAGUAAUGUUGGUGGGUCAAAGUUGGCGUAAUGAGUGAGAAAGGAGAACACAGAGAUCUGAAGACUUUUGCUGUUUGCUAGCAGUGUUUGCCUUUUCCUUCCCUUCCAUUUUAAUAUGAGAGAGCUCAUGUAGUUAAUUCCCUGUCAUGAGCAUAUCGAUCACUGUGGGGCUAAUCUGAAUCAUGGAUUCUUGUUGAGAUGUCUUCUUCUUUUUCAAGGAAGAAGGGAGGAUUUGGACCACCCAAAGUUUAUUAGUGAAUGUUCGCUUAAAACAUGUAAUUAAUGCAAGAGUUCUUCCCAGAGCUUCAUUAAAACAGGAAAGGUUCUGCCACAAGAAACUCUUGCGGCGAUGUGAAGCAAUGGUUUCCAUGCACUUAGAGGAAUAUGGUAACGACAUGGAAAUGCUACAUGAUGGAAUGAAAUAGGAACUGGAUAUCUCAGGUCUGAUCUCAAACAUAAGUUGCCAUCAUUACAAGCCUCCUUUGUCUUUUGUUCCUACUCAUUGUUGUUUGAUGGAGCAGUAGGAGAUGGAUAAUUCUUAGUGUUUUCGUUUUACCUGCACCUCUUUUCUUUUACUUUCUCUUUUGGUGUGGUCCAUGACAUGUUGGAAAGCUGGUCGAGCAGCACAUCAAUGCAUCUGAGAAAAGAUACGUAGCUGCAUUGGCAGUGGUGACAGUUUGCCGGGGUAGUCCCAUCUCCUUUGCUCUGUCUUCUUCCAUUUGCCAUCUGAGUUACUAGGCUGUCAAUCUUCAAGCUCUGUAGGCCCACAAGUAGCAUGCAGUGCAAGGAAAGCAGAGCUCGUUUGCUUGAGCUAGCAAUCAUGAGCUUUCCUGAUGAACUAUCAAUACCACCAUGAGAAUUCAUCAGCCUCCCUACACCAAUCAAAGGAAGAUGACACUCUAAAGCUCGGGAUUCACGGAUUAAAACUUCAUAACUCUCACACCACGACAAUUAAUUAACGGAAUUUAUUUUGAUAUCGAUAGAUUAACUUAGAUCGUUGUUUUCUGACUUGAUCUAUCUGUAUUCGAUGAGACGAGAGACUAGUGAUAUAAUAAUGAUGAUCCAUCGCUAAUUAAGCAUGACAACAAUAUCCAACUAUUCUCGGUAACCAUCGAUAAUUAUGAAAAAAAGAGUUUUCUCCCCGAAUACGUUCUUCACACAUAUAUAUUAUUAUUUCAAUCCCCAACUAACUUAAACAUCAUACGAGCAUUAUUCGAGAAACGUUUCCAACGUAGUUUUACAAGUUCAUUACCUUUUGAUUGACAGUAAUUUAUUUAAGACCAAUCAAUAAAAAUACUCUUAAAUUAAGAUAAUUUAACAAUGUCAGGUAAAAGAAUGGUUGAAAACAUCGUCUUCUCGAUGAGCUUAGAAAGGGUAUCUUUGUCAUGGGAAGAGAAAUAUCGACGUGAAAGGGGGAAACUGCCCUACCAACCAUAUUUGCAGGGCUCGCUGUUGUCAGCCUCAGAAUGUUGAGACCACAAUACUGACCAUCCACUUCAUAACCUCCUUUCUAUUUUAUUCUCGUCCCUCAACCUUCCCUUCUCUUCCUCGACAUGCACCCCACGUCCACUCCUUCUGGGUGCAUGGUGGAGGUCGCCUUCUUCCCUAUCUCUUGCACUGCUUCCCAGAGACAAGGCCUCAACCUGUGUCUCCCCCUCCCUCUGUUCGUCUCCUCGUGAGAGAAGGGCUUUUCUUUGUGCAACCUUAGCCGCUACACCAACAAGUUUCAGCCUGCGUUGCCUUCCAUAUGUUGGCUUAGAGAGAGGGAGAGGGAAGGGGCAGAGAUAUAUGCAUCUUCCUCUGUUGCUCAAUCUAAAUCCAUGCGCAUGCACAAUCCGAGAGAAGACACGGUUGCUUCUCGAGUGUAUCGAUCACCUUCGGUGGCAGACGUGUGAAGGUCGGGUUUCUCACGAGAGGACAUAGCCUUGACAGAUUGAAAGUGCAUGUUAAGUCGACGCUGGAGACCUCGAGGCGCUGAGUGCAGAGCUUUUCUUCGGAUAAUGAGGAAGGGAACAGAUCUUUUAAGGAGGAGAUCAAGGUGUUCUUCAGAAGCCAGGGCUUAAGAACCGCUGACAACUCUGUAGAGGGCCAGUAGAUUGGUGUUGCGUUUGAUCGGUCGCCCGAGGAAGGAACCCCUCCCAAAAAUCAAGGAAGGAUGAGAAAGGAUUGUGCAGGAAACGGUCCUCCAUCAGGUAAGGCAGAUGAAGGAUUGGGUGUUCAAAUUUAGGCUGAGAAGACAAGAUCUAAUUCGUGAACUAAUCUACAUAAUAUCCUUAAUGCAAUCCAAUGUUUGUUUUGCUUUUCUUAUUUUAUGGUGAAGAUACAUAGCCUUUUGAGUUUUCCUCAUGGACUUUUGUCAGACAUGGAGCUAAUGAAGGAGAAGUUUGCGAAGCUUCUUCUCGGUGAGGACAUGUCAGGUGGAGGAACAGGAGUUUCCUCAGCUCUUGCUCUCUCUAAUGCCAUCACCAAUCUUGCAGGUUUUGUCUAAUACGCAGUAAUACAUAUUAUUACAGCUAUUCAGCUAUUCUGAUCAUUCUCUCUCUCUCCCUCCCUCUCUUGCUCCUGCUUGAUUCAGCUUCUGUCUUCGGAGAGCAGCGGCGCUUGGAACCCAUGCCAGAGGAAAGGAAGGCAAGGUGGAGAAAAGAAGUCGAUUGGCUCUUAUCCGUCUCUGACCAUAUCGUGGAAUUUGUUCCCUCACAGCAGGUUUCAGGAGAUGGAAAGAGCAUGGAGGUAACUAUCGACGUCCGGAAGCCCUCCUUGACCUUAAAUCCAAAGAUCAAACACUUACAUCAUCAUGCUCUUCACAGAUAAUGAUAACUCAGCAACGCAAAGAUCUUCGCAUGAACAUUCCUGCCUUGAGGAAGCUCGACGCAAUGCUCAUCGUAAGCAAGAAAGAUGAUCCCCGCACGAACAUUCCGCUUCACUCUGUUCUGAUACCGAUCUCGACACUUGUGCAGGAGUACCUCGACAACUUCAAGCAGAAGAACGAGUUCUGGUAUGUGUCCAGGGAUGCGGAUGAGUCUGAGAAGGGGAACGUGCAGAGGACCGAUGACAAGUGGUGGCUCCCUACCGUGAGAGUCCCCCCCGGUGGGUUAUCAGAGGCCUCAAGAAAAUGGAUUCAGCAUCAGAAGGAGCUGGUGAACCAAGUGCUCAAAGCAGCUAUGGCUAUCAAUGCCAAUGUUCUAAUGGAAAUGGAGAUUCCUGAAGACUACAUCGAAUCCCUCCCAAAGGUGUUCGUUCACUCGAGCAAUGCUUUUUUUGCUCCAACUCACCAUAAUCAUCGCCUCAGUCUCUGCCAUGGAUGGAUGCUGAUCAUUUCUCAUGGCACAGAACGGAAGGUCAAGCCUCGGAGAAACCCUCUACAAGAACAUCACCGACGAGGAUUUCGAUGCCGAAACAUUCCUUGCAUCCGUAGACCUGUCCACGGAGCACAAGAUCCUGGACCUCAAGAACCGGAUCGAAGCAUCGGUCGUCAUUUGGAAGAGGAAGAUGAACAACAAGGACGCCAAGUCGACGUGGGGUUCGGCUAUAAGCUCGGCUAUUAGCAUGGAGAAACGCGAACAGUUCGAAGACAGAGCAGAGACGAUCUUACUCAUCCUCAAGCACAGAUUCCCCGGCAUCCCCCAAUCAGCACUGGACAUAAGCAAGAUUCAGGACAACAAGGUACGUAGAACUCCAAGAAUUGGCACUCGCACCGUCCGACUUCUUCUGCUGCUGUAAACAUGCGACUCCCCUUGUGCAGGACGUGGGAUACUCGAUCCUGGAGAGCUACUCCAGGAUUCUGGAAAGUCUAGCUUUCACCGUGAUGUCGCGGAUAGAAGAUGUUCUCCAUGCAGACUCCGUUACUCGAGAUCAAAGUCUUGAGGGCUCCAAGACGAGGCCUUCGGUGGCAGAUUCGGAGCCAACUGCAGGAAUAGCGACGCCGCUUGAUCCAGCAGAGGAGAUCGAUAAGCUUAAUAACAUGGAAGCCAACAAUUCCAUGACGCUGUCGGAUUUCAUGGGCUGGCAAUUCGACAUGGACACCCAGACAAAGAAGGAAGACGAAGAUGCAAAGCUGGUGAAACAGCCUCCAAGCAUUGUGGUGGCCAACAACAAGCUUUCCAACUUAGAGAAGUUAGAGACAUGGGAGGCUUGAGCUUUCAAGAAGCCCACAGAAAAGACGAGAGAGAGAGAGAGAGAAGAGAUGCAUUUUACAGAGAUUUUGUACCAUAAGUUUCUUGCUUUAUGAAGAUCGAAGAGCAUUCAUUAUAUGGAUUUUUUUUUCCUUACUUUGACACAGAAAUUUUUUGAGAAAAUAAGGUUCAUUCCAUCAAAUUAAUUGUUAACGACUGUUCAUAGCUUCAGGAAUUCAAUUAAGAAAAAUAGUCUCGUAGAAUUUAUUUAUAUUAUGAUGAUCGAAGUGAAAUGAUGGAGUUGAGAUUCCAUUAAAUUCGAUCUGAUCGAGUUGCCCAAAGUGAGCCCAAAAGAAGCAUUCCAUGUCGAUCUUUGUUCACACACGACGAGCAUAAAGUUGGAACAGAGUACAAAGGAAAUAAUCGAGCUUCUUUGAUGUUUACACCGAUCGCUUAGAUCUUGCCGCGAGGCCCCGGAGUAGGAGGCAGCUGCGGGCCCUUCUUGAUGGGUAGUAUGUCGCCGGAGGCGGUGGAUCCCAGGUAGGCUAUCGAAAAGCCGCCACCCAGCAGCAAGAACUUGAGCAACAGACCCCGCUUGGUGAAAGGAGCAACGAACGUCUCGAAGAACUUGCUCUGCAAUUCCACAAACACAUGGUCGGCAUCAACCGUAGCCGAGGGGAGGAGUUAUGGGUUUGCCUACCUGGAGAGGGUUGUAGGGCGAAGGGGCGUCGGAGCCGUAGAGGUCCCACUGGCCCGUAGUGUUGCCGAUGUCUUCGAGGUCGAAGUACACGCUCUUCUCCCCGUACUUGGCGACCACGGCGGCGCCAGGCCUGCUACCAACAAGAUCGGAGUUCGAUCGCGUCCAUUGCGUUCGACGAGAAAGGUAAAGGAAUCGUACCUGAGGUUGGCGCGAGAGGCGAUGCGGCGGGAGGGCUUGAGUGCGAGCUUGUUGCCGUUAAAGGAGCUCCCUGCGAGGCCCUUCACGGCCACAGGUUGCACGGCCGCGACCGCGGUGAGGGAGGCCAUUGCUGCGUCCUUCGCGUGGUGCUGCUGCUAAGAUUCCGAGGACUGCGUUCUUUGCCUCACGUUGCUGCUGCGCGAAUCUUUAUCCGCUCUCCUAUAUCUACGAGGCUGUGGUGAUUCCCAAUUGCAGGUGGUGGCGCGGGUGAUGGGAGAAUCCAGUGAGGGAAUGCCACGUGAGUCGAGUUGAGAUUGGCUUAUCCAGAUAGAUGCAUAGGAAAAAGACACAGAAUUAUACACAAAUAUACAUAAAUACCUAUAUGUUACAACCUUAAUAUUGUUGACCAGGGAGUCGAUACGACCUAGCCCCAUCCCGAAGGUAUAAGCUCGUCCUGAAAGCUUACUUAAUGCUCUUGAAUACUAAUGGGGUGAGGCGAACUAAUUAGAACGAUCUUGAGGUGUCGCUUGUUCGCUCGAGGUGAAUUUUAUGUUUGGACCGAGGUGGUUGGAGCUUCCUCGGGAUUCUGGAGUCGAACCGAGGUGUGUCUUGGUUUUAUCGAGAUUCCUACACAUGAGAUUAGCAUUGUGAAAAUUCCCAACUCGACCCCUCCGAUGAUAGAAUCAGUAGUGGGAAUGAGAAUAGUAGGCUUUUUUUUUUCGUCCCCCUUUUGGGUUUCGGGUGUUUACUUUUAUACUUGGACGACCGAUUAUGGGAGACUGAUAGCUCCUUCAAGGGUUCAUUUAUGUUGAUGAUCGAUUGGUUCCUUCUCUUAUCAACAAAGGAUAGUCAAAGGGGCAUCGUUUGUUUGGGCUGACAUCUGUAUAGGAAAAGAGCAUGGAGAUUGCCCAUGUCAAACGAUCGGGAAAAGGGAGAUGAAUUUGGACAUCGGGGAUUAAUAUCCCUUGGAAAUGGAGAAGACGUAUUUUAAUGAAAGUGAGAAUUUUGAGUAAAACAGUAACGAGCCUCGAUUAAUAGUAAAAUAAUAAUUUUUAUAUAGAUUUAAGAAAAAAAUAUUUUAUAAUAUAAAUAAAAAUAUUCUCCUCUCCUUAUAUUCCGUUUUUGAUAGAUGUGCACGUGACUCAAUCUUUCAUUGAAACUCAUUUUUUCUUAAUGAUAAUGCUGCCACAUUGUUAUUUGAGCUUGAAGUAUAAUUAUCGAGCUAAUAGAUUUAUCAGUUUGGUUGAAUCAAAACUACAUGAAAUGUAACCCAAUGAUAACUAAUGAUGAUUUGUAAUCCUAUACAAUGAAUUUUGGGAUAGUGAUUCAUGCACGAUACAAUUUAUUUGGUGAGUGAGUGAAAUCGUAACAGAGCGUAACAAUAAUAGCCAAAGAAGAUAAGAGUGACAGGCUUGUGAAGGCAGCAGCAGACAAAACGUCUCACAAGCCAUGUGUAGUAGUUUUAAGGGAAGUUUAAGCUUCCAUCACUUCAAAAUUACUUUUCGCCAAUUCAAUUGGCUUUAGAAUCUCAAUUGUUACAUUUCCCUAAAUGUUCGGAUACAUUGAAAUUUGAGUGACUUUAUAGCCGAUACAUGGGAGUCAGACAUCAUCAAGUGGUGAUGAACCAUCCUCUACUUCAGUUGAAGCAUCAAAUACAUCAAAAAAAUAUGAAUGACUAAAGAAGACUUGGAGACCUGUAGCUAAUAGCACCUGCACUAAACCGUCAUCUUCAGGUCUAAAAAGCAACCUGCUUGCCAAACUCUGUCAUUUCAACUAUGAAUCAUCCAUCUACUAUGUUCAGAGGCAUGCUUUAUUACCAUGUAUGCAGCCCCCUCAGAUUCCUUAUGAUGUCACAGGCUUCGAUUAAAAAUGUGAGCAAUAUCCGGAAGCAAGAUUCCAAUAAGAAGGACCUGAUGAACAGAUAAAAAGCAAAGAGAUGAUCAACUAAGGAAAAGCAAAUGAUCAAUUGAUGUCAAUUCUAAUAGACUAAUUAUAAAUUGCAACAAAAAUGAAGAAAGAAAAAAGUUAAUAUAUGCUUCCAGCAGCAUAUCAGAAUAUUAUAGAAUGAGGCAGUGAUGGGUUCUGAGACUUGCUUACUUGUUCACGUAUCCGAUUUCUCAAUCUUAGGUUUGAUGUCGCCAUUUCCUAUGGCUGCUUGUCUGAUAGGAGUAUGCUUAUUAGGAUAAGCAGGGAUUGGUUUCAACAUCUGAGGCAUCUCCAUAGCAGUUGGCAUUGUAGUCCUAGCAGCGGCAUUUUGAGGUGAUUCCAUAUGAUAAGGUGUUUCAUACUUUGCAGACAUGGAUGAGUACUUCUCUUCUGCAACACGUCAGAGAAGAAAGCAUCGGAUCUGAACUAGCAAUGCAAAAACAAGAAAUUGUAUACUGCUUAGUCUAAAUAAUUAAAACAUCAUUAUUCAAUGGCACCUUUGGACAAUCGAGGGAAAAUGAUUUUCAUUAUAACUGAGACACUUUAUCACAUAAUGACUUUUGUGUCAAUUCAGGUUAGAGAAAGAGACUCUCAAAACUGCAUGAAGUUGCCAUUUUAGAAUUUCAACUUAAUAGCAAAAUGAGUCAUUCCUCACAACAAGAUUAUCCUGAUACUAAUACUUCCCAAACAUUCAAACAGGCUAACUGGGGAUAAUAAAAAGAUCACAUCUUUCUGAUAACAACAGAAAAAACACUUGGAUGACAGAAUCAGGUUCAGAAUCUGGGCAAGACAAACGGUCAAAACAAAGAUUUCACAUAAAACAAAUGUCCACCUUUCGUGGUCAAAAGACACUUCAAAUUUCAGAAGAAACAAACAUAGAUGAAAGAACAAAAUGAUCCAUGGUCAUUCUGAAAUGACAUAAUCAGCAGACUCAGUUAAAACUAUUUAUCUCUACUACCACGGCACAAGGAGAAAAUGUUUACCUUUCAUUCGUCCAUAGGUAACUAGCUUGUGGAGAUAGUCUCUGAACUCCAUUAAUACACACCUUUCUUGCUCCGCAUAGACCUCUGACAUGCUCUGGUCGUUGGAAGAUCUUGGAGCUGUACCAGUAGCUCGAGAUGUCAUAAAAAUUGUGUCUUGCUCAUCGCACAUCAGUGCCAGUGUACCAGGAGACAUCGACCGUUCACCCUUCUGUCCAUCCCCAGAAUCAGAUCCAGACUCUUCGGUGUUAGUUUUGUCUAUAGGAAUUCCACUUGAAUACUCAUCCACUAAUGCAUUCUGCAUGUCUGGAUCUUUUUGACUCUGAUCUCUGUCAUGAUUUGGUGGUCUGAGAGAGCUUUCAUCUUGACCUUCCUUCUCUUCUAACCUCUCCUGAACUCUUCUGUCUGAAACAUUUUACGUCAGAGAAUAAGGAUUUGACGGAAUCAAAGGUAAAUGACCCAUAAAGAACCCAAAUUCAGACUCAGCAGCAACAUAUAGCCAACAAAAUCAGCAUAUGUUAGGCAAAAGAAAAUUUUGAUCAAGUAGAAAUUGGUCAACACCAAUAUCGCUAAAACCAAAUCUUUCGACCGAAGUAUCUUAAAUUCUAGCAUUCAUGAAACUCCAAAAUAAUUAAUUAUAUACUAUAUUAAGUUCCGCACAAACACUGAUGAAACAUGCAUUUGUUGAAGUAUUUUAUUUCACAACCAAUGUUUUUAGUAAAAUUACGAUUCAAACCCCCAUUUAUCAGAAAAUCCUGCACCUUGUAUCUUCCAUGCUAAUUUACAAAAUAUAGAUUUUCUCUGACUUUGAUGUCCAGAAAGAGAGAAGUAGUCAACAUUCUAGAAGGCUACUCGAUGAGCACAUUCACCAGGCCCCAGCAUCGGACUUUGUUCAUUACCAUAUAAGAUAUGUUUCAAUGGAACAGUAGCAUUCUGACGGUUGCAUUACUUGCAAUUUAACAAGAACCAAACAAUGGUUACUAUAUAUUCAGAAUCCAAGUGUAUGAUCAGAAAGUAAAAAUAUCAAAUGAAUCAACAGAGCUCAAGAUAAUAAUAGGUCAGCAAAUAGAAAAUGCAUAGAAAGAAAGAAGCAUAACAACUGUUUUUAUAAAAUUUCCAGAAGAAAAUAAAUAAUCUAGUAAAGAAUUUAAGACAGAACGAAGAAAUAUAUUCAAAAACUCUUUUUCCUUUAUGAAAAAAAUACAUAAAGCAUUAGAAUGACUGGGUUAGUUUCGAAUAAUUAAAUAUGUGAACAAUGGAAGAACAAAAUUCUCCUCAUGACUGUCCACUUCAUUCUUUUGAUAUGUGUCACGUAUGGGUAACAUAACCGUUGCAAGCUGACAUAGGAUGGAGAUGUAAGCAUGUUUAACUUGUCCUAUACUGCAACGGUUUUCAAUAAUUAAAUAUGUAAACAAUGAAAGAAUCAUGACUGUCCACUUCUUUUUUUUUUAAUGUGUCAUGGAACAGUUUUUUGUGGUGACAUGGGUAACAUAACAGUUGCAAGCCGACAUAGGAUGGAGGUGUUUGCAUGUUUAGCUUGUUCUAUUCUGCAGCAAUAUUACUCAAAUUGAUAGUCCAAAGUGUACCAGAAUACUGUAUGAAUCAGUUAUUGAAAACUGUCAAUUACUGUGGCAGUCAUACCGGAAAAUGUUUUGGCAACCUCUCCAGACACUACCACCAAAAGCUUGCACAGAUCCCUAACGUGCUCAGGUUGAACUAUGUCUGCUAGAAGAGACCUUCAGAUGACCAACAAAAAUUAAACCUUGAAGGCACAAAAAAACAACAAUUCAAAAGUUCCACAAACAAGAUUAAUUAAAUAAAGAAGAAAACUAUUGGUAGAUUGACUUUAACCUGUAAGUGACCUUAGUGGAUGCCGCAGGAGCAGUAUUAAUAGCACAAGCCACAGGAAUGGAAGCAAAAGAAGAGCCCGAUGCUGAAGCGUUAGCCUGAUAAAUGCAGAGUAGCAUUGGUAACAACAAUGAUAAAAAUUAUUCUCCAAUGUAAAGUCCGGCAAAGGUUAAUCAAGCAGUCAUGUGCAAGUCAGAAGAGUGACAAUAAAUCACUGUUACAUCUUCUUUCAUUGCCUAUAAAUGCCUGUCAGAAAAGCCCUUUGGACAAAGUUAACUUAGCCAUCGCAUGGGCAAUCAUCCAGAUUUUCAAUCAAUCCAUGCAAUGCAAAAUUUGAAGUGAACAAUAAAUUUUUGUCUGAUUAUUUAGUACCAAUUUCAUGGAAAUAACAAGUAAAAUAACAAAAUAAUCUCUAUAAUAUUGCAAAUAUCAAAAAAUUACCUGUGGAAUUUGUGCAAGCCUUUGAGUGGGUUGAUCCUUUACUGAUGCACCAGCUAACAGCACUUGGUUUUUUCUCUUCCUUGGUGCUGAGGGAGACAUGAACCCGGAGGGACCAAUAGCCCCAUUCAGGGCUGCAUUGGUUGCCUGCUGCAUGUAAAGAAUGCUCCCAUGAUCACCCCGAAAAAGAGCCUUCCUCUCUUCACUCCCUUCAAAGUUCUUACAGUCCAUACAUUUACAAUUAUCAGAGCAAAGAAUGUUGGCUUGGAAGCACUCGCAGUAUUUCUUGAGGCAACCAGACUUCUUACAGUGGCAUCCUUUAUUGUGCUUUCCCACUAAAGGAAGUUCUCCUGCCUCAUCCUAGCAAAUAUAAACAUAUUAAUAUUAGUAAUUAGCACAUAUAUUAAAAAAAAUUCCUUUAGGCAAAAUGGAACUUUUAUUUCUUAUCCUGAAAGUAGCUUAAAAGGAUUUUAUAUAGGAGUCCUAAAACAUAUUUUUUAUAGAACAAGAUAAACAAAACUUUCGUGAUCACUUAAUUGCCUGUUUGACUUGCAGAAGAUUGAGAACUUCACGAACAUGUCCUCUGAACUAAUCACUUAUUUCUCAUCACCUAUCACCACCUUGAGAGCAUAUACAAGCCAUCAAUAUCAAAAAAUAUAAUUGUUCUUUUCUGAGAACAAUUGCUAAGUUGCUCAAAACUCACAAUAAUCUGUUGUUAUCAUAGGACGCAAUUGCUAAAAUUUGUCAUUACUUGCAGAGUAUAAUAUAAGACCCAAUCACCAAAUGUGCCAAAUAUCUUGAAUGUCACACCUUGUGAAACAAACCAAUUAUUUAAUUAUUCUAGGAUAUUAACUACAUACCCUGCUAUCCCGCAGUGUGUGUGGGCUACUUCCAAUCUUAGGCCUGAAGGCAUUAGGAUUGCGCUCUAGAGUAGCUUCAACAGCCUCACGCCUGGCAGCUUCAUUCUCGAUAUUGUUACAGCAGUUUGCACAGUUGCAGCCAUCACAAUAAACUCCAGACGCAAAACACUCACAGUACCUAAGCAUGCAAUAAUGAAAACGUUAAUAUAAGGACAAUAUGCUAGUUUACAAGAGGACAUAUAAAUAAAAUCAUAAUAUCAAGCACUUAAUUGCAAGACUAUGUUUUAUACCACAAAAGACAGAACUCAGCAUGAACGGGACAAAAAUAUCUAGUAGUAGUAUUUGCAUAUUCACUGAAAUUUUCAAGCGACUAGCAAAAUAGAAACUCUAGCAUAGUAGAGAAACUUAAUGUCCCCAUUCCAUAUUUGUGAAGCAUUUAGCUGCAAGACUGCAGGCAUAAACUUUCCUUAUCUGGAGUGCACAGCAAAAUUCAUUUUAGACGAGCAAGUAAAUAACCAAUACUCCUUCUGGCAUAAAACCUAUCAAACAGAGUAAGCACCUAGAGAUUUUCCCGCAUUUUUCGUUAAUUAUUUUCAUCAAGUGGGAUUCUUGCGAUGUAUCUAUCCUUAAUUAAAAAACUAGAGAUAAGGGUAAUGAAUUAGACAGAAUUAUUCAAACGAUUAUUGAACUCUCUCUGCACAUUAUUCAUGAGUCAUCUACAACUUCCUUGGGAAACAAGUUAUUCAUAACCCAAGAUUUAGUUUCUAAAGGUACCACAAGGAAGAAUUUUAUAUAUGACUAAUUUACCAACAAAAACUGACAAAUUCACUAGCAUAUGAACUUCGCUUACAUAAUUAAUUAAUAAUCAAGUUGCAUGCCUGACUUAUCAGAAAUCUGUUUUCCAUUAAUGAAUAUCAAUAAUCAUAAUACAUCCAAUAUUUACCAUGCUAAUUCUCAGUCAGAGAAAUCAGACAGGGAAGGCCCCAUAAUACAUCAUAGCUCAUACAACCGAAGUACAACACUCUGCGACUACUACAAUUAAGUGUAGCUAAAAUAGCAAUAAGUGCUAUGUAACAAUUUAAGUUGUGUGAGUUCUGUGUUUGUCUAGAUGGGAGGUCUAGGAAUAUGUGUUACAUAGGCCUGCACUUGAUGAACCAUAUACAUGAAAUCACCGUGUAGCAAUUACUGCACUAGUAAGGUUUAAUCAGUCAAUCUAUCCAAUGACCAUCUUAAGUGGUAGUUAACUAAUGCUAUGAGAUAUUGUAAUACUGAAUAUGGGUCACAAUCAAGAUACCAAUUGCAAAUUACCGCUGCAGCAUAAGCAUCAAGUCAGAAAUUCCAUGGUUGUUUUGGCUGUAAGAAGCAGCUAGUGAACUAAGAAGUCUUAGUAAUUAACUACUUGAAAAAAUCUUCUAGAGGACAGGGAUUAAAGGAGCAUAACAGAGACACAGAUGAUAAUUUCUGACAAUAUUUACAACAGAUUUCCUUUUUUGGGGUCCUAUCCUGCCACAAGGCAUGAUGUUUUAUGGCAUUCUUGGUCAUCUGUGCAAUCCUUAGACUAUAGAUGAUCUCAAAGAAGUAACUAUGCCAUUCAAGUGUUAACACACCAUAAUCUUAUCAUGAAAAAAAAUGAAACUAAGAAGACGACAAAAACUUUCAUAACAAAAGUUAAUUCCACCUACAGCUUCAAGCAUUUUGAGUGUUUGCAGUUGCAGUUCUUCUUUCUUGUUGGAGUACCAUCUUUUGCAUCAUGUAAUGGUCGUGGCCUUGAUUUGGGUGAUGCUGGCUUCCUGGAGAGGUUGGUUGUAAGAUAGUGAGCCCUUCUUUGCAACAAAAAGCAAUAAUACACAGAGACAUCAGGUAAAGAUAAAAGCUUCUCUACUGCUAGUCAUGCCUCCGAGAAUAUUAAUAGGUAUCCCUCCCAAGACUUGCAUGUCACUGAAAAAAUAUGGAUGUACUAAUGUAACUAAUAGAUUGCAGCAUGUUCAAUACAAGAAUAUCUCGGAAUAAACUUUGAUGCUUGAUAUACCCUGGGCAUUUAGAGAAAUAUGUUGAAGGGACGAAAGCAGACAUAUUAGCCACUAAAAACUAUGACUGAAAAGAAGCAGAAGGUUGAUAAAAAAGAGUAAUCAAUUUCAAAGUUCUCAUCUACUGUAGAAGACAGUCUAAUUCAACUGUAAUCGUAAGAAUUAAUAGUGUACUUUUGAAAGACUCCUGUGUCCUAAAUGACAUAUAUGAAAUAUACGGAUGAAUCUUAUCACUAUAAAUCCAUCAUUAUUAGCAUCAUUAAAUACUGGCCAAGAUGUCCAAAUCUAACAAGAUUUAAGCUUGUAGUCUGAAGUAAAAGAACACUAAAAUACAAAGAACAAACAAACAAACGAACGAAAACAAAAAUGGACAUUUCUGAGGCAUUAUAUUUCGAAUUGCAUUCCGAAUUAAAAGACGAGGAAUCUUAACAUAAGAGCACUGCAGGGACAGUUUCAGACGGAGCCGAGAAACUCUCAUGGCCAUCCUACGCUAUAUAACCUUAGAAGGUAGAAACUCAAGCUCCCAAAACCUAACCUAAGAUUUAGAAGAGUUUCGCAAAUCCAUAGUGAUUUCAAAAAGCCCGUUAGAUAUUAACUCACGCAGCCACAGAAUUUGAAGGAACAGAGGGGCUCAAGGGAUCCGGCGUGGGCCACGGCGGUCGUUGCUGCUGCUGCUGCUGCUGCUGCCGCUGCUGCUGCAGUUGCUGCGGUGGAUCAAGGGCCACCGGUACGCCCGCCGAAGCCGGGGCUCCGCAACAAGCCGCGGCCGUGAAAUCCAGCUGGCGGACGAGCUUUCUUGGAGGGAAAUCAGUCGACGCCGACGCAACAGGUUGAACACUUUGCUCCAUCGGAGUAGUCAAUCGCCGAUUCAAGGACCAAUUCGAGAAAACUGCCAAAGGUCCCCUCCAGAAUUCGGGUCCUCCUUAAAAAUCUGAACCCGCACAGAUGCCCAACGGCUGGAGAUCACUUGGAUCGAGCACUGGAAAUCCCGCAGAUCGCCGGAGGUGGAGACCAAAGAAGGUCCCGUGGAGCCUCGGAAGAUCUCCGGCGUCGGAGAGGGAAUUAAACGGCAGAGAUCCACCGAGAGGAGCAGCGACGGGUGGUGGAGGGCGGGGGAUAAAGGUGGAUUUUUUAUUCGGGUGCGGGAAAUCUUUCGAGCACAAGGAGAUGAGAAGGGGGAGGAAGAAGCGAAGUGCUUUCUCUCUCUCUCCCUCUCUACUUUUAAAUCGAAUUCUAAUAUUUCGACGGACAGAUUUAGGUCGAAGAGGCGAUCGGACGGUCAUUCUCUCGAGAAGAGAUCGUGCGGUUAAAAUUCAUAGGUUCUCGAUGUCGGGCCGUCCGAUCCAAGAAAAGGAAGAUUUUUAUUGUAGGGAAAUUUGUGGAUGUACGUCACAAGACGGCGGUGAUAUGAUCCUGUAAUAUAUUUCUGGGUAAUUUACUCACAAAAAUCACUUAUAUUUAUAUUUUAUCAUCUUUUUCAAAAUAUUCAAUUCACUUUCAUUAUAUUGGACCUAAAAAAUAUGUAUAUAAAUAUAAAAAUAAUAAAAAAAUAACUUUUAUGUUUUUUGGACAAAUUUUAUCAAAAUGAUGCAACAUAUUGGACUUACUAUAAAAAUCCCUAAAAUCAGUAAAGUGCCUAUUUAUAUCAUAUUUUCAUUUGAUGGUUAAAAUUUAAGAUGAACGGCUACAUUCGACAGCGUAAUUAGGAGUAACGUAAUUUUAUUUUGAUUUUGAUUAUAUAUGGAGUGUAAUACAAAUCUUUUUCAAGAGUAACAAUAUACAGUUUGUUUAACUCAUCUCAAUCUCUUAAUGUAUCAUACAAAUAUGAUAUACAUGAUGAUGUCAUUAGUUUUUCUAUUUUUAUAUUAUUUAUGAGUUUUGAGUCAAUUCAAUAAUUAAGUGUGACACAACUCAUUAAUAAAUAUGACAUGAUAAAGUUGGUCUAACUUACUUCAAUCUUUUAAUAAAUAUAACCUAAAUAGUAAUUUUCAUAAUUUUUUAUUUUUAAAUAAAAAUUAUAUAUAUAAUUUGAAUAAAUUCAUGCUAAACCCAUGCUAAUUACGUAUUACAAUUUUAUAAUUUUUGCUUGGAUGCUAUUGUAAUCUCUCUCUAUAUACUUAAAGUAAAACAAAUAACUCUAUUUGUCCUAAUGUUAUCGGAUACAUUAACAAAAAAAAAUAUAAGACAUGACAAUAACAUUUUGGAUCACUAUGAAAAUGAUUGACAAAAAUAAAAUUUUUCGACCAAUUUCAUAUUCAACUAAGAUGUUUUUAUUUUGAUAAAAUAAAAAGAAAUAAUAUUAAAAUUACUUUUUCACUUAUAAUAUUCUUAUCAACUUUCAUUUAUUUCACUUUCAUCCCAUGUAAAAUUUUCAAACACGAAAAUCCUAAUACUAAUAGGAUAAAAGUACAAUAGCUAAUAUGCAAAUUAGCCACUCAAAACCUGUAAGUCAUGUGAUAACACUUCCAUCGCAUGUAAAUUUUUUGUUGGCAGGUAAACCAAUUAUGAACAGCUUUUAUAGGUAAAUUGUCUUGGAUAUUUUUAGUUUAUUUAUUUAUUUUUGCUAUAAGUCAUGAGAUUGAUUAUAUGGAUAUUUAUUUACAUGGAUAAAUAUGCUAGCAUAAAUUUAUACGAAAAAUACGAAAAUAUUGUCACAUAAAAUGUACAUAUACACUAAUAUUUAAUAAAUGUGUGAUAUAUAUAUAUAUAUAUAUAUAUAUAUAUAUAUAUAUAUAUUUAUUUAUUUAUAUACAUCCCGGCUCCGAUCCUGCUUACUUCCCAAUUCCCCUUUACAGGCCGCCUCCCUCAUCGACAUCAGCGCACAGCGCCGCCUCCUCGAUCCAUCUCCGUCUUCCCCCAAGCCCCUCUCUUCUUGGAGCCCACCGCCAUGGCCUCCGCCGACGCGCCGCCGAAGCCCCCUCCGUCCACCGCCGAACACGACGACGACGACGACGAUUACGAGGAUUACAUCCCCGUCAAGAAGCGCCGAGCCAUAGAGGCCCAGAAGAUCCUCCAGCGCAAGGGCCGCCCCACCUCCGCCGGGGACUCCGACGCCGCCAACCGCCCGCAGGCCCUCGCGGAGGCCAAGCCAAGCCUCCUUGUCAAGGCCUCCCAGCUGAAGCGCGAUCUCCCCGAGAUCAGCCCCACCGAGCAGCUCGUCCAGCAGGAAAAGGAGAUGAUCGAACACCUAUCCGACCGCAAAACACUCAUGUCCGUCCGCGAGCUGGCGAAGGGCAUCACCUACACCGAUCCCAUCCCCACCGGGUGGAAGCCGCCGCUCGCCAUACGCCGCAUGCCCGCUCGCCACGCCGAUGCCAUCCGCCGCCAGUGGCACAUCCUCGUCGAGGGCGAGAACGUGCCUCCCCCCAUCAAGAACUUCCGCGACAUGCGCCUCCCCGAGCCCAUCCUCAAGAAAUUGAAAGAGAAGAGAAUCGUCCAGCCGACGCCGAUCCAGGUGCAGGGACUGCCGGUGAUCCUAGCGGGGCGGGAUAUGAUCGGGAUCGCGUUCACUGGCUCGGGAAAGACGCUGGUUUUUGUUCUCCCGUUGAUUAUGACGGCAUUGCAGGAGGAGGUCAUGAUGCCGAUCGUCCCUGGAGAGGGCCCAUUUGGGCUUGUGGUAUGCCCGUCGAGGGAGCUCGCGCGACAGACGUAUGAGGUUGUGGAGCAGUUCCUUGUUCCGCUGCGGGAUCAUGGAUACCCGGAGCUGAGGCCGCUGCUAUGUAUUGGCGGCGUCGAUAUGAGGUCGCAGCUGGAAGUUGUGAAGAAAGGGGUGCAUAUUGUUGUGGCUACUCCAGGGAGAUUGAAAGAUUUGCUUGCAAAGAAGAAGAUGAAUCUUGAUAAUUGCAGGUAUUGUUGCAUCAUAAUUAGCAAACUGCUAAUUAUGAUAAUUGUCUUAAGAAUAUUUGUCUUCACAUAUGUUUUGAAUUUCUGAAUUAUUCUUGUGCUAAUGCUUCGCUGUUACUGAUUAACUGUACCUACAGUAUUAAUCUAACCAAGAGUUCUUGAAUGAUAUUCUUUCAUGCUCUAUGAUCCUCCUGCACUGGACUUCCUCAUGACAUUGUUGACAGGUUUUCUCUGAAUGGUAGCAUUUUAUUCCAGUUUUGAGUUUGGUUGGAUUACUUCUUUACCAUGUAAGUUCGAGCAAUAUUUGGUCAGCCAUGAAAUUUGCCUUUCAUUUUAAUUUCAUUGACUUGUAUGAUUGACAAGAACUUUUGAGGUAUUUUCUUCAUAUUUAGAUUCUUCAGUCGGAAAAACUAUUGCCAGCACUCUUUGGACACCCUUAUACUCGAUAGGAAAGUUGUGUAGUGUGGCACACCAUUCUUUUUUGUUGAUUCCUCGGACAUCAUCUUCUAGCUUUUCAUUACACUAAUUUUUUUGUACAUGGGCGGAAAUGAUCAAGUAGAGAGCUUCAUGAACUGACGUUGAGUCAACAUAAAUGAAAUUAUGAUUCUGGAAUUAGAUGACAACGUCAAUAUCUGACCUAUACAUUGUCAGAUAAUAAAUAAUGACUAUUCUACGAACGAACUUUGUGAAGCUGGUGUUAAUAACAGUCUGAUUAGAACUUUAAAUUACUGUUAGCUAUGCUGUAGAAUCUAAUACAAUUAGCUUAUUGUGGAAUCAUAAGAUUAUUGAUUUCCCAUAUCAUAAUGCUAAGAAGUUAUUCCACAUACUGUCACUUGCAGCCUUAAUUACCUUUGAAUACAAACACUAUAUACAGGCAAGGAAAAAGACAUCUCUUAAAAUAUACUUCUUGAUUGUAUUGCCAAUGGUCAGCUCUGAAUCUUUUCCAGUUUUCUCAUCAACGUCCUUUACUUCUUUCUUGUGGUUGGCUAUAUGGAUUGUUUCAUGUUACUGAUAUUUGUUAAUGGAAAAUGUUACUAGUCAAACUAAUAGACAGCAAAUUCCAGUAGUAAUCUUUAAUCACCGGGCCAGCCUAACCAUGUGGACAAAUAUGAAGUCUUUUAUCCCCAUCUCGCAGAACAAUACAAGAACUAUUUACUUGUGAAGCUUUGGAAAAUAUAAGAGCUAGUUUUGUAAUUUUCCAAAGCUUGUUAAGAAUAAGUGAUUUCUAAAAGAAAUAUUUUUAUUUAAUAAGUAGUUUUUUUUUAAAAAAAAUUUAAGCUUUCUUGGAUCAAUUUACUGAAUAAUUUGGAAGCAAACAUCCCUAAGUUAUAUAAGUGUGUGAAUCAAGGCAAUCAUUUCAGUAGAACAUGUAUAAUUAAUGAUAGUUUCAGAAAAAUAUGGAUUAUUCCUUCUACCUGCACUAGAAAAUUUAUUUGUGGUUAAUAAAUAUUUUUAGAUCCUUGUAUCAUUUAUGCAAAGGCAGCACAGAUUCUCAUAUAUAUUAUCAGAACAAUUGCAACAACCACCCCCUCUCUCCUCCUCUUUUUCUAAUAUCUGACCUUUUUGUUUGGGUUGAAAUAUAUGAAGACUGAGCCAUCUUCCUAUUCAUUUAUGUGAUCUCACAUUUUUGCUACAGGUACUUGACACUGGAUGAGGCUGAUAGGCUGGUGGACUUGGGCUUUGAGGAUGACAUACGGGAGGUUUUUGACCAUUUUAAAGCCCAAAGACAAACCCUACUCUUCUCUGCUACCAUGCCAAAGAAGAUCCAAAACUUUGCAAAAAGUGCUCUGGUGAAACCUGUGACAGUCAACGUGGGAAGAGCCGGAGCAGCAAACCUUGAUGUCAUUCAAGAGGUUGAGUAUGUGAAACAAGAGGCUAAAAUUGUAUAUCUUCUUGAAUGCCUCCAAAAGACACCUCCUCCUGUCUUGAUUUUCUGUGAGAAUAAAGCAGAUGUGGAUGACAUUCAUGAGUAUCUGCUUCUUAAGGGAGUUGAGGCCGUUGCCAUUCAUGGUGGCAAGGACCAGGAAGAAAGAGAAUAUGCCAUUGCAUCCUUCAAAUCUGGCAAGAAGGAUGUAUUGGUUGCUACAGAUGUUGCUUCCAAGGGCCUUGAUUUUCCUGACAUCCAGCAUGUGAUCAACUAUGAUAUGCCUGCUGAAAUUGAGAAUUACGUCCAUCGGAUCGGCCGAACUGGAAGGUGUGGCAAAACAGGAAUAGCAACAACAUUCAUAAACAAGAACCAAACAGAGACGACACUCCUCGACUUGAAGCACCUCUUGCAAGAAGCAAAACAAAGAAUUCCGCCAGUAUUGGCAGAGCUUAAUGACCCGAUGGAAGAUGGUGAUGCUCUUACUGAUGCUAGUGGAGUAAAAGGUUGUGCAUACUGUGGUGGGCUUGGUCAUCGAAUCCGAGACUGCCCAAAACUGGAGCAUCAGAAAUCCAUGGCUAUUGCUGGUUCUAAAAGGGACUACUUUGGUUCAGGAGGCUAUCGGGGCGAAAUAUGAUCCUGCUUCUUGUAUCUGUAUAUACGGCGAACUAUUGCGGGAUUUCCAUUAAUGACCAAGUUUUUACUAUGUCUAGAUGUCUGUAAACCAGGAAACAUUUCUGUAAUCAGAUAUUACAACCCACCUUAAAAUUCACAGUGCCCAACUUUUUUCAGUUGGAUGGUGGAGAACUCCUUUGCUGUAGAGCAACAUAUCAGCUGCCAAAUUUGUAUGGAGUUUAGAAGUUAUUUUAGCAUCUUGAAACACAUCAUAAUGUGAAAACAUCAACGUGAAUGCAGCCGAGUGAUGCAUUGCUUGUAAUAUAAGUGAGACAUCAGUUUAAUUAUGGAAGCCAACUAAAUGCUCAUCAUCUUCAGGUUGCUUGUUGAUUGUUAUGAUGAUGUUGCUACUGUUUGGUAAUUGACUGUUGAUUGUAUUUUGGGUUUAAAGCCUUAUGUACAUAUGCUGCAAAAUCUAAUUUUAUCGACCGUAUGCUUAAUCGAUGUAUAUAUAUAAUUUUAUUUGGUUAACCUUCUUUACUUCUUUUUCCUACGUAAUAACGAUAAUUUAUUUGGUUAACCUUCUUUACUUCUUUUUCCUACGUAAUAACGAUAAGGGGAGCAUACGAGAAAUUAUUUUGAUUUUUAAUUCCUAACAUGUGAAAAUAUAGGAAAAAAAAUAAAAGAUUAUUUUGUCAAUUUGAUUUAGUUGACAUGAUAAAUUCAACCAAUUAAACUUAAUUCUCAUAAACAUGUCAUCAUAGUGUUCCGCUAUUAUUUAAGAUUGGCUACAGGAUCUUUAUAUACCUAUUUAAAUUUUCAGUUAAACAAUCAGCUACUUAAAAUUUUCUAUUACUGCUAGUGAGUCUUUCUAUUUCUCAUUAAAAAUUCAAAUAAAUUCAAAACCUACUAACAAUAACAUUUAUGCCUCAAUCACAAAAUUAUUGCUUAUGAUAUAUAUUUUAAAGUAACUUCGCCUCAAUAUUUUUAUCUUAACUGUACUAACUAUUCCACACAGUAAGGCUGUGCUCGUCCUGUGGCACGCAGCGGUGCAAGCAUGUGCCGAUCACUCCACGGUCGCCGUGGCCACCGGUGAGCAAAGCCGCCACCUUUAAGCACGAGAUCCUCCACAUGACCAAAGGUACGCAACUCUUUUAUCUCUUCAGGCUUUCUCCGGUCGCUCUCUUCCUCGUCUCCUCUCCUGCUUCGUCGACUUGCGCUUCCGAGGCGUUUCUGCUAGCUAGGGAUGUAUCUCCACUACACUUUAUAGUGCGUGAUGGUCCAACCUGCAUCGAGAGAAAGGUCAUGGUGGCUCGACUAUAGUUACUGAUCUCUAUGUACGUGUGUUUUCUUGAACAGUAUCUCGUGCAGAUGUUGUAUGAUCUUGAUGGCUCCGGUGCAAGGACGAUGCUCCUUCUCUACAACAUCCAUCUCCUUGGUGCUCUUUAUCUGCUGCAGUGAGUAGGAGAUACCUCGAUCUGGAAUCCCUCAGGUCAUGGGCGAGGAAGCUGAUGACUCCGACGACAAAGCUGACGAGGAGUUGCUUGCAUCGACAGACAGCUCAAAACAGCAGAAGGUGGCUGCUCCACCGUCGUGUAUGUACUAUAUGUCUCGACCAACCGGAGGCAUUUUUUAAGGGAGAACACAGCAGAAUCCACUCAUGAAAGCUGAAGUGAUCGGGUCUCCAAUCUGUGGCUAAAGGAAGAAGAAAGAAACCAGUGCAGCUGAAUGGGAGCACAUGGGUUACACCAACUCUACUGUCAUACUCCCAUUCUCGCAUGCUUUGGCAUAAAGCUCUGCAAGAGAAUAACACCACAUUUCUGGAUGAUUGGAUGCUACACGCAGAUGGCUCCUUUGGAGUCCCAUCGUCGCUGAGCUGUUUGUAUCCACUUUUCUUCUCCCUGAGAAGGUAAAUGGCUCCCUUUCAGUUUUAUCACCACUUCGAUUCUAUCUUCAUACCUCAGACCACUGUGAAGCUAACGAAGAAGAUGACUUAGCAGUCUAUGGAUCUACGAAUGCCCAAAGUAAUUCAGGGAAGAAAUAGGAACACCCUUCAGAGACUCGGAUCCAUGCAACAAAGGGAAAAAGAAAGCAGAGCUGCAUCAGCCACUCACUCGAGACCAUAACCUUUUUCAUCGGGCCCCACAAGAGGAGCCAAACAAGAAUCCAACACCAACCUCCCAUGGAUUUGGUUCCUUUCUACCGCGCCAUCAAUGUCCGGUGGUAGAUUCGCCUGCUCGAAACAUCAAACUAUCAUAUGUCCCAGUCGCACCACCAACGACAGCAAACCUCAACCGGGGUUCGGGGUAGGGUUAGGGUUAGGGACGCACGCAAGCACAUAUGAUGGGUGCGGAUGACAUGUCGCGUAUAGACACUCUUUUAAUUCAAUGGAGGUGUACUAUAUCUCCUGCUUUUGUCGUUCAUAGAUUCCCUCUCUCCCGCAUGGAAAGCCCUAGGCCAAAAGAGCUUGGGUUUCCGGAUCGAACACUCGCUGAUCCCUCCCGUCUCUCUUGCCCCGAGCUAGCCUUCGGUUUGGCUGAAGAUUGAAAGCUGAAUCGCAGUGGAAGAAGCAAGAGAGUUCGCGUUCGGCUUCCUCGUAGAAGGUACUCAUUCUUUGCCCAGGUUCGAGUUCAAGUUCAGAUUUUUUUUCUCCCUUUCUUGUUCACCUCUCGUCUAUCGCUUAACUUUGUUCCGAAAUUUUGUUUGUGAUUGAUGGGUGUUGGCUUCUGGGAUUGUUUCUUGUUAGGUCUACUGGUUGUAGUACGAUUAGGGAUGUGGUCUAGAAAAUGGGCGUGAAGGAGUCUUCUUUUCUCAUGUGGAUUGCGGCUCAUUGUUGGGCCGUAGGAUCUCUUGGCCUGUCCGUUCAUUUUCGGAGGUGGGUGGUCGGCAAAGCAUGGGUUAGAUGAGGUGUAUCACGUUGCGUCUUUCUUGCCACUUUUAUCAUUUUAUGUAGGAAACUUUGAUUUUUAUAGAGCUUGUUUACUGCAGCUUGUACUCAUCUUGCUUUGUAUGAUGAUCUUCCUGUUCUGGCUUGAAUUGAUGUGCCCACUAUUUAACCUAGGUUAUGGUUGUAUAUUAUUAUGGGAAGUUGGAUAAAGCCCCUGUUAGCCCUACUUCCCCUAAAGAAAGCAUCAUUGUUUGUCCUAAGUCUAAAGUAACAGUUUAUUUACUGAUUUUGGCUCAUUUUUUUUAUGAUUAGUUUUCAACAGGCAGAGGUUGCUUGAUGUCAUGACCUUAAUUCUCAUCAUGAAUGGAACUUCAAAAUAUUGUUUCUCUUAUUUCUCAUGUUGCAAGUUUGAUAUUCUUAUGGUAAUUAAAACGCUAUCUUUUCUUAAGUGCGUGUGACUUGUUCAGUUUCUGUUGAGCUGGUCAAACAGCUCCACUUCUCUGAUGAAGAUGCAAAAUUAAUACCAGAGUGAGUCUGACUUGAUUAUAAAUAAAUUUAAACAUCUUGUGAUUAAUGGCUUGUUUUUUUUGUGUAAUUGGGGACUGCUUUAAGUUAGUCGGUCCAUUCAGUAAUAUACACAUUGUUUGUUUUCACCUUCAUGUUGGCAAUGUACUAUUCUGUAAGCACAAGUUUUCCUUCUCCUUCCAUGAGUUUGCUGUGAUAAGCGGUGUGGCCGUGGUCCAUCAAAGUUCUUUUUGGAAUGUUGUUCUCAUGCUUUUGUUUCCUCUUUUCAAUUUAUUCUGUUGCAUUAUUGCGGAAAUCUGCAAUAUCAUGAAUCAAAGCAAUUAUCAUUAAUCUUAUAUAAUUGAGUCAUGACUAAAUCUUAACUAUGUUAGAGUUAGAAUCUUCAUUGAGAAUUUUUAAUUGUUUUUAAUUAUAUACAGUUUUGUACUAUGUAAAUGACAAAUCAGCUGAUUAAUUUAAGCAACUUUUGUAAACAAGUGGAUUAUACUUUCAUAAAUCCUUAUUUAAUGUAUUCAACCUCGGUAUGUUUUUUAUAAGCUGUUGUAAUGUGAAUACCUUGGAAAAGGAACAAUCAAUUUUGACCAGCUAUUUUUCUGAUGCAUGAUAAUAUACAUGUACAUGGGACUGGAUCUUCUAUUAUAUCUCACCGAUAUUUAAACUAUUUUGCAGCGUUUACACUAAAUAAGUCUGAUGUGACUGCUGCUUGGAAUUAUGGUAGCUUAAGUUACAUUCUUAAUUCACAUAUUUACAGCAAGAAGCAGGUCUAGUUUAAACUCAUACAACCUGCUGGAGAUGAUUUUGAACAUUAUUUCAAGCUAUGGAAGUAGCAGUAAAGGAGCUCAAUGCUGAAGGAAAGGAAUCUGCACUUGUAACUCAUGGCAAGCACGAUGGAGAUGAGUGCAACCAUUUUACCAUCCGGUAUUCCCACUAUUCACCUGUUUUUAACUGUUUAAUCUACUUCCUCAAGAAUUAGCAUGCAAAACUCUUUUAAAACUUGGCAUUAUGAAUGAAAUGCUGUAUUGCUGCUAACGUAUUUGCUUUAGUGACUUUAUUCUGGUUUAAUUACAAUUUUGUUAAUGUUAAAACUGUGAUUGAAUAACAAAACAGAGUAGCUUACGUAUUGAGUGCAAGAAACAUAAAUCAACUUGUUUAUAACAUAUUACUUUCUUGUUACUUGCUUUAGUACUUAAUGAUUGAGGCAUUUACUUUCAAGCAGCGGUUAUGUUGCUGGUGUUCGGAAGAGAGAUGCAAAGAUUUGCUGGCCAUUAUAUAUGGCCGGGAAUGAAAGUUCAGAUGCACUUUCAAGCAUGCUGCCUCCGCUACAUGUUUCUAAGUUCAAGCGAUGGAGUUGCCUGAACUGUCUUCAUACAAUUUGCGCUUCUGCUGAUGUAACAGGAAGUGCAAACUUUACAAAUGUAUGUAAUGAAGAUAUGAAGACAAACAACUCCAUAUUUCUUUUUGAUCUCAAUGCAAAAAGGUUGUUUUUUUCUGGUCCUAAACAGUCUUUUGAAACCGUCAUACUUGAGGAGAGACCAGUUUCAGACUGUAUUAUCAAAGUCAGUCAUGGUGAACAUAGCCCAGUACCAUAUCACGGCAACAAAAAUAAUGAGUCCAAAACAGAUGAUGCGGCAAAAGAAGGUACCUGGUUUGUGACUGUGUCAUACAUAUUUCAUUAAUUCUCAUGAAUCAUCAUGGUCAUUUCUUCCUCUUAACAGGAUACCAUGUAUUCACAUAUAGAAAUUUUAGAACGGAAGAAAAAGAAAAUCAUUCAUGCAAGUCUAUCACUGCUGUGGCUGAAGGUGAAGAAUUUCAAGCAGGACAAAGCCAAAAAAGAAACACGACAAAUAAGGAAAACAAGUUUAAGGCAGCUCUUCUUUUUGAUGAUGCUUCUCCCAAGGUUGGUGCCGAACCAAAUGGAGGUAUGAGGAUUGGGCUUUUUGAUGCAACUAUAAUUUUCAGAGGCACUGAUCUUGCAGCAUGUGAAAACAAAGAUGAUGAAGGGAUUACUGCAAAAGGCAACAUAAAUAUAGUGCCUGAUGGCAUGACCAAAGAAAGUAGAAAGUUAGUUGGGGUUGAUCUCUGCAUCCCAGAAGACGAUGUUCUAACUACUACUGCUGCUAAUCUCCCUAAUUAUGAUUUGAUGACAUUAGACCAGAACAAUGAUGAAGCAUCAUAUGGUAAUAAGAAUUUAUCAGAUGGCAUGUAUUUUAGCCGAAACCAGAAAUGUGUGUCUAGCAGUUCACAUAGAAAAGUGACCCAAAAAAGGGUUCUUAAGCUACGUUUGCUGGAGGACAUUAUGAAAAAUGAAGAGUUACACAUAUCAAAAAAGAUACAUACUUUUAAAGGAAGUGCGGAUACAUGUGAAAAGAGCCACAAAAGAUCAGAUGAAUGGAAAUGUGAAAUCCAUCCUGAAGACUAUAAAAAAGGCAAUUUCUUCAGGCAGAAUUGCAAAGUGAUACCAGCGAAACCUAUUAAUGCUACAGAAGCUACUCACAGCAAAGAUGAGGAAAUUUCUCUAAUGCAUUGGCUAAAGAAGGUUUCUAAGAAAAUUGUCACUGAUGAUUCUCAAAGAAAGAAAAACAUUGUUGGAAAAGGAUAUGCUGAAAUCAAGUGCAUAGAGAAUAAGGUUGUUACAUCUCCCAGUACACAUAAAAAGAAGGAUGCUGAUCCUCUUUCAAAAGGUUCUAGAGCGAGUAAAUAUAGUAAAAGUUGUACUGUUGAGAAGAAAAGUAAGUUUACUCGACUAAAACCAAGUGCCCAUUGCCUCAAGCCCCAGCUGGAAAAUUUGAUAUCUAAAGAUGCAUCGGUGAAACAUGUACCUCCUGAAAAUGUUUAUCCUCAACUGAGAAACAUAAUUUCUGAAGAUAUUUUGCCCCCUUGUCUUGAAAAUCUAGAGAGGAGUUGUGAGCAGAAGUCUGAAUUCAAUAGAAGGAAAAGGAAGGCGUUUCAAGUUAAGGACAGAAAUCCUUCCCAAAUAAACUGCUCAAAGGUAUGCAUGCAAAGUCUAUCCUUCUAAAUAUAGAAAGCAGACAGCUCAUUUACUUUUAUUUUUUAGCUCCUUUUCCAUAUGGUUUUCAACUGACAAGAACAGAAUCCUCUUGUAGCGAUAAAUAUUCUGUUCUGUUCAUUCUCUUUUUGAGAUUUUAGUUAAAGGUCUCGGCAUCCUCGUAUUCAAGCAUGGUAUAUCUUAGAAUCUUAUAGUUCAUUCUGUUGCAGUCGAAUAAUUGUUAUGAAGAAAUCAUAUAUGUGAAUGCUGUGCAUUGUUAACUAGGUCAUAUUAUCUUUUUUUGUUCUUCGGUGUUGAGUUUCAUGUGAUUUAGUAGACAUUUUUAUUAACUGUAGCAUGUUAUAUUAGAAUGAAUAACCAGGAAAGUUAAAUUUUAGAUCUGUUAUCGACAGAACAAUCUCUGUAUUUGCUUAUUCUUCUUGGGAAAGCUGAUACUCUUUUAGGUUCUUAUAUUCUGCUGGUUACAAUAUUUUCAACAUAGUUUCUCGUUGUGUCUCAGUGGUAUAUCAUUUUUUGUUGAUAAGUUCUCAGUGAAACAAAUAAUGUGACUGAUGAUAAAUAAUCUUCUCUUUUCAUCACACAUGUGCAUGCUUGUUUUUGAAUGCAGAAACAAGUGAUAAAGAAACAAAGAAACAUGAUGCCUCUUGAAAAGAAAACUGUGGAUGACAUUCCAAUGGAUAUUGUUGAACUCCUAGCUAAAAACCAGCAUGAAAGAAGUAUGAUGAAUGCUGAGGUUUCUAACAUGAACAAACAUGAGUUGUCAAUGAUGAAUGGAGAGUUGAGACAUGGAAUUUAUUCAAAUGUAACUGGAUAUUGUGGAAGCAAGUUUCCAAAGGCAAUAUAUCAGAGACAGGCCAAUGAUACAGUACUUUGUAUUCCUACUGCUCCUCAUGGUAACCAGAAUGACGUGUAUGGACCAGAAGCCUGCAAAGCUAUCGAGUUCCAGAAACAUGCCCUUAUUGAUCUGAACCAACAAGCUGCAGAUUUUCUGGCAAUUCCACAAUAUGAUGGAUACCAACCCUGUACAACUCACCAUUCUGCUGUUGAUUCUAAGAAAACCAGUUCUUUUCAAAUUUCUUCUUGGGAUAGAAUGAGGAUGCAAGAUUCAGGAUUAUAUCAAAAGAAUCAGGGAGUUUCAGCUCAGAGAUCAUGUGGAGGACCUAUCCAUGAUAUGUCGUCACUAUCGUUAAAUGGCAGAAUAUUUGGAGUCAAUAAAAGGAAAGUUGAUACUUGUCACAAUCACGGGAAAAUGGUUCCUUUUGAUUCAUUUCUUGAUACAACUCAGAAGAUCGUUCCUCAAAAGACUGGUUAUCAGGAAUCAGUGAAUUUAACCAGCUCCAAUCUCCCAUAUGGGGAAGGAAAAUCCGAGCAAACAACAAAUGGAAUAGCUCUACCAGGCAGAUCAUAUCUCAUGGAACGAGCAAGUAGGUGCCAUCCAGGAAGAGCAGGGACGAUAGAUAUGCAUAACAAUGAAACAGUAUCGGCGUUGCAUUUGCUUAGGCUAGUUGAUCAGGCAGCUCAGUCAGGUCCAUCAUGGGAUAUUAAUUGUACAGGAAUUACCCAAGACUCCCGCUUAAAUUAUAAUCGUCAAUCCAGUGAGAUGCAUGGAGCAGAAGUUGGAGUUAAAAAUAGAAAGACCCAGGAAAUUCCAUCCACCACUGGAUACUGUGCUCAUGAUCAAACCGAAGGUGGUUUCAGCAGCCCUUGCCAUCCAUUUCCUCGAAUAGGUGCUCUUGGUUCUUUGCUGCAAAAUGAAAACAUGACUCUUUCAUACAAAUCUCUGGCACCAUUGGGUUCUAAAGCUGUGUGUUCUGCUGAACUGCCAUCUUUCUGCAUCUAUGACAUGGACAAAAUAGAUGCUCCUUCAGCCAGUAGUACAAAAUACAGAGACAACAAAAACCCUCCAUCUGUGACUACAAAUACCAAGCAGAUUGUUUCGGCUGAUCAGGUUGGAAUCAACAGAAAGGGUGAACAAGUCCAACCUUUGAGUUAUGAUCCCAUGACUAUAACCUGCGUUAUCAAUCGAAAUCCUGCUGACUUCAGCCAACCUGAUGAAGACAAUAUUUACAUGCGAGGAAAUGACUGAGCUCUGAAAUAUCAAACUCUCAUCAUGACGGGAAGAAGUGUCAGGUGCUGAAGAUGCUACUAAGAUGCAGCUUUCUCCCUCGAAAAAAGGUGACAAUCGAUGGAUGACACAUCCUACCAGCUUAUAUCUUUCAUCAGUAACUCUUCUGUGGCCUAUUCUUGUACGCAUUUAUAUGAUUACAUAUGAUCUAUAAUUUGGGUUUGCUAAUGUCUGCCUCCAGCAAUGUCUCAAAGGUAGCUUUAAAGCGUGCAGUGAUGAUGAUGAUCCAUUAUCAUCAACACGAGUUUAAUCGUCUAGAUGUAAUAGUUAUCAUACCUAAUCAAAUCAUAAAUAGAUUUUAUAGUGUAUAGAUCACCACAUGUCUAAGCAUGAUACCCCGGUGGGGCCCACCACGUGUAUUGCGGAGGGCCCCACGGAAAGGAUAAAUAAAUAGCCUGAACCCUGUCGGGACGAAGGCGGGUGAGCUUCAGGUUCCCCGACAAUUAAAGCAUUCAUCAGACGGCUGGCAUCGCGAUGCUCAUGGGCCACCGAACCCGGGGAUGGAUUGGGGAGCGUCGAGGCCAUUUCCCCUCUGUCGAAGCCUCCAAACCUACCCACCGUCACCGUUUCCUUACCGAUCGUCCCAAGUCGAUGACAGCGAGACCAUAUAGAAAUCGAAGCACCAAUACUUCUCCUCUCUUUCUUGAUUCUUUUGGUUUUCUUUUCUCUUGGGUUUACCGCGGUGGGAUCCAGUGACGGAGCUAUUCUGGCGGUGGUUAGUCAAUGAGCGCGAGAGUCGUUGGGAGACGAUUACUGCUACUGUCGGGGCUACAUUAUGAGCGCAUUCAAAGUUUCCUACCGUCUCUCCCCUCUUUUUCACGACCUCCUCUUUAUCUCUUCAAGAUCCUCCUCCCCGUUAUCGCUACUCCAAUCUCGCCUCUUCUCAGGUGAACGCUCUCUUUCACCUUUUUUUAUUUGUUUUCUUCUCGAUCCGUUCCCAGGUUUCUUGAUCCGUGAGUGGGGUUUGAUGUAACCGGGUUUCUUAUUUCUUGAGCUACGAUAGGCUGGUUUUUUGGAUUAUUUGUGAGCCUUGAUAUGUUGAUCGGAGGGUUUCAUCAUUUUCUUGUUUCUUGCGUGAUAAUAGGUUGCCUUUUUGGAUUCUAUGAGAGCCUUGAUGUUUUGUAGGAGAGACUCAUCAUCAUCCAAUCGAUGUGGCUGACGAUUUACAAAGCAUGUCUUGGAAUUUCAUGACCAUACAUUCGAAUCUCUAGCAUAGAUUCAAAAAUAAAUGAAUAUUUUCUUGAAACUUGUAAAGGAGAAAGGAACUUCCUAAAAUGAUCCAAGAUAUGCGUGUUUUCAAAGUGACAAUAUGCAAGAAAUUGAGAGUUGGCCUUCAACAAUAGCUUCUUUCUUGUAGGCUUAUAGUCAACCUGAGCACUUCAUCAUCAAAAUCAGAUGGACCUUUGACCUCUUCAAUUGUUUCACUGAACGAAUCAGAAAUUCUUUGGUCGUUUGUCUUCUGCUCUAGACAGAUUAUAGAUGAACAGUUCCACAUUUACGCCCUCUAUCAGCAGGUUAAACAGGUUCAAACUAGCUUAUUAUUAUGUCAUCUCAUUUAAAGCUUUUGAAGUCUCUUCAACUAGUAGCACAUUAUGUAGCUUCAUAUUAAGAAUUAGAAGUUUCUGCAUAAUUAGAUUGAGUCCUCUCCUUCCUACUUUACGCGGAAGUCGGUAUUUAUGCUACAAAACUUUUGUUCUGUGAAUUGAUCACUAAUAACAGUGGUGUCAUCAUAAAAUCUCCUCUUAAAGUUAUAUAACAUGAAAUGUAAUCCUAGUUUUUGCUAUAUAGCUCAUAAUACCAGACCAUCAUCUGGUACAUUCAUGGAAGUUGUUAAGGCAGCACUCAGCCAUGUCUAUGCGACUCAAGAACGUGCUGUUAUAAGGGCUGAACAAAAAAGCUAUGGUUAUGCUCAAAUCGUCGCUUCAGCUGUGAACAUCUCAAAUUUAUUGCAUGAUGCAGAUGUUAAAACUGUACGUAUGAUUUUUAUGAAUUGUGCUUAUGCUUUCUUGUCUAAUGUAUUACAUAGUAUAUUUUAAUUACAAAUAGACCUUAUUAAAUUUAAUUUUCCAACUUGAAAAUAUAUGAUAACAAACUGUGGAAAUCAUUGGUAUAAUACAUGUAAUUUUUUUCGUGCAUAUGCUUUCUUGUGCCAUGCAAUUUAUGUUUUGAAGGUUCACAUUAUGUGUAGACAUGCACAAGUAUACAAUGCUAUUCCAUGGAAGUGCUAUAUUCUAUGGAUGUGGCUUUGUGAAUCAGUGUUAUUCUGAUGUAACUAAAUUAGCCAAUUGUUGCUGUCGACCAUUUGCAAGGAUUGCUGACAUCUCGACAUUGUUGCAUG
rnacentral:lncRNA from 1 species